UGAGUUCUGUUUGUUGAGACGCAUAGAGCUAGCUGCUAGCGACGACAAUGUCGCUCGUGAGGCGCAGCAACGUGUUCGACCCCUUCUCGAUGGACCUCUGGGACCCCUUCGACACCAUGUUCCGCUCCAUCGUCCCGUCGGCGACCUCCACCAACUCCGAGACUGCCGCCUUCGCCAGCGCCCGCAUCGACUGGAAGGAGACGCCCGGGGCGCACGUGUUCAAGGCCGACCCCCCGGCGUCAAGAAGGAGGAGGUCAAGGUCGAGGUCGAAGACGGCAACGUGCUGGUCAUCAGCGGCCAGCGCAGCAGGGAGAAGGAGGACAAGGACGACAAGUGGCACCGCGUCGAGCGCAGCAGUGGCCAGUUCGUCAGGCGCUUCCGCCUGCCGGAGAACGCCAAGGUGGAUCAGGUGAAGGCUGGCCUUGAGAAUGGCGUGCUCACGGUCACCGUGCCCAAGGCGGAGGAGAAGAAGCCUGAGGUGAAGGCUAUUGAGAUAUCUGGUUGAGCAUCCAAUCCAAUAUGGACGUGGAAGGAAGGUGUACUGCUGCUGGUCCGUGGCUGUCGCUGUCUUGUGUGAUGUUUCCUGUGUCUUCUACGAUAUAUAACGUACUUCCGUUUGUUUCGUUUCGUAUGUACAAUCUUCCGGGUAUCGUUCAUGUAUCCCUUUGAAUAAUAACAAAUAAAAUCGGGUUUUCACGGUAAUCUGAAUAACCUUUUAUCAGCCAAUGUUUAACCAAAAUUACGUAUUGCACUGGGCUUAGGAUAUUAAAGAGAGCCCUGAUCGGUAACAGGGGUCUGGUCCGCUGAACCAAACACGCGUGUGUAUGAUGGAGACGAUAUAGAGAACAUGCAGUACCGACGACGCCGUGAUUCGGUUCGUAACGGUAAGGCGACAUAUGGUAGUGGGCGGAAUUAUAGAGAUUAGAUUUCUCAUGCAAACGUGGUUACUCUGAAACGUGGGCGGGAAUUUAUGGAUCUUGCAUUGAGCAUAAUGGCGGUAGGUAAAGAUAAUAUCGAAUAAGAUGUUAAAAGAUACGACAUAAAACAGUUACGCUAUAGAUGUUGCAUAUAUAGUAUAUACCGUUUGACAUAAAACAUUGAGUCAUUGUGUGUAAAUAGUGAGUUAGGGAUAUUUGUAUUACAUGUAAAUUGCUACAUUAUCGGUACGGGUUCGGAAAAUAUGGAAAUACCUUGGAAACCUGGAUGCAGUUACUUGUUUAGAAUAGCAUCCGUGAUUUCCUUUCAUUCGAAAAAAUACCGCCAGACUGUAGACCUAGUUUGCGGUGGAGAUGGCCGGCUCUGGACAAUCGCCGACGAUGGUAGGAGAUGGAGGUCGGAUUUGUCCAGACACUAAGGGACUAGUUGAUGGUAACUUAAUGGUUACACCACCUCCUAUUCUAAUGGGACCUGUAAUCGACGAGAUAAGCAAUGGGGAGGAAGGAGAACAACAGAUUCGACUUUCGAUGACCAAUAUUAUCUCCAGGGAGAUGGAUACGCCUCAAAUACUGCAUUCACAUGUAAGUACAAUUGUUGUAUUUGAUUCUUGAUUGAUUAGAUUGUUAUGAUCAUAAUCCUUGGUACAAACAACAUUGUAAAUGAAUUGCAGCAAAAAAACAUUGAUCCGAAUAUAGUGCCAACAGUAGGGAUGACUUUCAAGGAUAUUGAUGAUGCAUAUAAAUUUUAUAAAUGGUAUGCAUAUGAAGUUGGAUUUACCUUGAAGAAAUACAGAGAGAAGACAUUCGGUAAGUGGAUAAAUUGUUCACGUGAAGGUAAAAGUACACCAAAACCAAAUGAUACACCUAGGAUGAGGAAUAGGAAUUCUGGACGUACGCAAUGUAAGGCUGUAAUCAAAUUAAAAAAAAUAUGAUGAUGAAAAAAAAUGUGGUAGCUGCAAAGAUUGAACUGGUGAAUUUGGAGCAUAACCAUGAGUUCAUAACUGACGAAGCAGAGAAACAACAUCUAUGUUGCAACAAAAGUCGGGAUGCCGAAUUCAUAAAUUUUGUUGGUGCAAUGCAUGAUAGCCGAGUGCCCCAACAUUGCAUAGUUGAUUUUAUAUCAGACAUGCAUAAUGGGCCAGAGAACGUACCGGUAACUACUCAAGAUCUGAAAAACAUGUAAGGAAUCUUUUGUGUUGCUAUGUAUAUAUUGAGUGCCAUAGAUAUUACUAUAGUAAAUGUUUGGAUGGUCAUUUUGUGUACAACAAUUGUAGGAGGGCACCAAGGAGACGAGAAAACUGCGCAAAUGAUGUAGCCAAACUUCUGUCUCUCUUUACAGAAUGCAAGAAACAGUAUCCACAAUUUUUUUGUGUUUUUCAGCUAGACAAGGAUGGGAAAAUAGUGAGUAUUUUUUGGUCACACGCAAGUAUGCAGGGGGAAUAUGCAGAUUAUGAUGAUGUUGUGACUAUUGAUACAACACACAAGACCAAUAUAUAUGAUAAACCACUGGGCAUGUUUAUUGCAGCUAACAGCCAUCUGCAAUGUACUGUGUUUGGAUUUGUGUUGUUGGGAGAUGAAACAGUUCAAACUUUUGAAUGGGCUUUCAAUUCAUUCAAAACAUGUAUGGGAUGCGAGGGACCGAGAGUUAUGCUAACAGGUAUGUGAAUUUUUUAUGCUAACACGUCAAAUAAUUUAUUGUGAUAGUCAAAUAAUGGUUUGUGAGCAAUUGCAUAUCAAGAUCAUGCAAUGCCAAUUGCUCUACGAAUUGUAUUUCCAAAAACAAUUCACAGACUGUGUUUAUGGCAUGUUCAGAACCGAUUUAUGCCAUUCUUAAAUGAAUUAUAUGUAAGGUUUGCUAAUAAAGAUUUUAAAACAAAAUUCCAAUCUAUUAUACAUCAUCCUUUAACUCCUCGUGAGUUUGAAUGUGCCUAGGAAAUGAUGCUAGAAGAAUACAAUCUGCAUGAAGAUAUGACUCUACGCAAGUUAUAUGAAAUAAGGAAAGAAUGGAUACCAGCAUUUUUAAAAAAUGACUUCUAUGGGGUAAUGAUGUCUACACAACGCAGUGAGAGCAUGAACAGAUUAGUGAAGAAAUCACAUGUAGAUGCGAACACCCCUAUGCAUGAGUUUGCUAAACAAAUGAUGAAAAUGUUGCAUAGCAGGAAAAUAAAAGAAUCAAAGGAGGCAUUGAUGAGCAAGGUAUAUCGUGUUUGUUAACAAUAAUCAAUGGCAUACAUGUUUAUGUAAUUACGUUAUUUAAUUAUGAUGUUAACAUCUUAUAGGGACCAAGGACAACCGAUACGUUGUAUAGGUUCGAAGUCAGAGUCUCUAGGGCAUACACCAGAGUUGUUAUGAAUAGAUUUGAGGAAUUAAUGAAAUACGCCACUGCAUACAGAAUAUUGAAGGACAUAGAUGGUUGUGAUAAAGAUUUGAUCAUACAACAUACAAAAAGAUCUAAUAAAAUUGUGUGGGGACAACAUCAAUUCAAGAUAAUAGCGGACAUAGAAGCUGGAGAGUAUACGUGCAAGUGCAAACAGUGGGAACAUAUAGGUUUGAACAUCUUGUCUUGAUUAUUCUAAUAAAAGUGCAUAUUUGAUAGGUUUGUUUUUAUUGUUAAAUAGAAUAAUAUAUGGCAUUAACAAUAUAAUGAUUAUUCUUCAUGAUUGCAGGUCUACUAUGUGUUCAUCUUUUAAGAGCCUUCAUGCAUCUACAAGUAGAAAAGAUACCUUCAAAGUAUAUAUUGCAAAGGUACACUGUCUCAUCAAGAUAAGAUGUACCAUUCAAAAGAAUUGAUAAGAGCUUCAUGGGAAAGGAUGGAGUUACUAAAUCAUACAGACAGAAAAUGUUGCUAACGAAAACAAUGAAAGUUGUUCGCUAGGCGUGUAUGUCAAAAGCAGGGUACGACAAGGCAAUGGAUGUGUUGAAUGAGCUUGAUGGCGUUCUAUGCCGAUUGGAGUCAGACAUUGGAUGUAAUGAGUCAUGUGAUGUUAGUGAUGAUGAGGAAAACCAGGUAAUAAAAUUCAAUUUUUAUAAUGUUAAACUAAUUGGAACAUAUGGGUAUGUAUGGUCAUAUAUUUUUUGUAACAGGAAGGAGAAAUAAAUAAUAAUAAUAAGGCUGGGGAGGGAAUGGAUGAAGAUGACAAUUAAUCACAUGCCACACAAUAGUAUGUAAAAAGAUAAAUAUAUAAUCUUGCAUGAAGUAGUGUAUGUAAUGAAUAUAUGAAAUCACUGGACUAAAAAAUAUUUUAUAAUGUAGGAUGAUCAUAAUAUUAUGACUGGAUGUGGACCUGCGUUAAAAUUAUUAACAGCUGGUAAACAGGUAAAUAUUCAAAAUUUGGUGUUCAUUUGUAUAUAAUGCAAUGGAUGUUUAUACUACAUUGAAAUGAUGAUUGAUUUGGGUUAUGCUAUAUAGGUGGACAACAUGAAAAUACAACAUGUGGUGUGUGAUACAAGUUCUCCGUUUCACGUAUCACACGACCAAAUGGAACAGAUGGGUGCAUCCUCAGAAGCUAAAAAGGUUAGCCUUGAUAACUGGUUUUUCUGAAUGGUACAUAUAUACUAUUUAUUUAUAUGUGUAUACUAAUUAAUAUCGAAUUUGUAUUAUAAGAGGUUGAAUUUUAAUGUGGAUGUUAUAAAUAUGGGUAUGCCGGAUCGUGCAAGACCAAAAGGUCGGACAAUAAAAAAUACAGAAGAAAGGAUUAUGAAACUAGGUGCCAAAGGAGAAAAAAAGAAGAAUAGGAGAUGCCAAUUGUGUGGAAUUGCAGAUGGACAUAACAGCAGGACGUGUCUGUCUGUGGAAUAGAACAGGGCAAGACUAGCAAGACUGGCUAAUCGAAAGAGAGGAAGACCGGCGGGAUCAAGACUCAAUAGUAAAACAACUGCUCCACAAUGGAAUGAAACCUCGACUGCUAAAAACAUCGCAUUGAUGAAGAAGUAGACAAUGAAUCAACCAGUGAACAUAUGGGUUUGGGUGAAGAAUUAUAUGUGUGAAAAUAGAGAGGUUGACGUAUUAAAUAUUUGUAAUAGCACAAUGGCAUCUGUUUGUUUGAGGUUAUCAAUAUUUUGCAUGAAUGGGUUAUAUAAUGCUUGAAUAUAACGGAUUGUGCUAGAUCAAUAUGUAAAACAAAUUUAAAAUAAUUAUUACUUAUUAUGAUAUGAACAUCAUAAUAAGUAGACUGUAUUAACAUAAAUAUACUAUAUAGGUAGCACUCAUUAGUUCCAAAGUUAUACAAUGACAAUUUAGAAAAAUGAACAUAAGUGUAUCGAAUAUAUGAAACUAUAAUAUGUUGCAUAAAACUUGAACAUUAUGGAAAAUAUGAAACUAGAUAUAUGCCAACAGUUGGUCUGGAACGAUUAACAAUUUGACAAACUGGACAUGAAUGGCAUAGAACUUGGCACACUUGACAUAACUAAACAUUUAGUUACCACAACGGUUUUACACACUUGACAUAAGACUGAUAUGAAGUAGCAUAAACACUGGACACAGUAGACAUAAGUGCCAUGAGAAGUAGCAUACAAGUGUGCAACACUUGCCAUAAGUGCCUUAGGAAGUAACAUAAACAGUUUGUGGAUCCCAUACAGAAUCUUGUUCAACUAUGAUAUCUAGGUCUUGGCUUUUAAACAACGCUGUUUCCUUGGAACAUACUUGAAAGGCAGCAGUUCUGCAGGGAAGGGGUAAACCCUGUUGUUGCGAUGAAAGGUCAGGUAAUGUAGAACAAACGCACAUUGGUCCAUUGGUUCAUCCUGUAAUAGUCAUAAUAGUUGAAUUAAUGAUAAGAAGUUGUAUGAAAAGUAAUUUAUGCAGUAACAAAAAAGGAAUUUAGUAACGUACCGGUACAACAAAUUCUGAGACAUCGACAUCAUCAAAGUCGUAACAUCGAAUGAAGCUAGUGACAAAAAAACCACAAUCAUUGGAGCCUGGUAGCAUUGUUGGACAGUUGGGAAGAAGCCCAAUCUUGUAGUUGCCAAACUUUGGUAAACAAGAAUCUAGUCGAGCUUCGUGUAACACAAUGCUAAGUCUUUUCAUGAUUAAUCUGGACCAAGGUAUUUUCGUUCCAUUUAUCAUCACUUGAUCAUUGUGGAUUUGUUUCCAGGUAGUGCCACCAAGUGAUGGCCCAUAAGGAUUUGAAUCUAAAAUGUCUAUUCGACGAAGUUGGAAAUUGAUUGCAUAAAGGGUCCAGUGACUACGACGUAGCAUAGGAACCAUGAUCUGUUAACAUAUAUGUAUAGGAUAUGAAUUAACAAUGAUAUGGCUGUGGAAAAAUAAAGCUAUAAUAACAAAAAAUAGAAUGUGGACAAAAAUAAAGUGAUUGGCAUCAAAAAUAAAACUUAUAACAAAAUAAAGAUUAAAAUAUUCUUACAAAUAAUACUGCUUGGUGCUCACCAGUUUAAUUUGGUUUAGAAAUUCAUCUGGAGGAAGGAUCAGGACUAUUAAAUCUUUAAGAACAGAUGUUGAUAAUGGCUGCAGAUUUGUACUGUGUUGUUCGAGCUCCUCGAUAUUCAAAAUAGCCUGCACAAAAAAUAUAUUGAUUAGUAAUAUAUGUUUAUACACUAAGAAUCGAAACAUGAUAAAAUAUUUGAAGAGUAAAAUACAAAAACAUUACCCCAACAUUGACAUUUAGUAUGAGUGUGUUGAUUAUGGUAUCUGGAUUGUAUAAUAUAUCAUCAUCACGAAUACAGUCAAUGAAUCCCUACAUGAAAAAGUUCUCAAGGCAUUUAUUAGGCCCAAAAGAUUGAACAACAUCCAAGACAGAACCACCAUAUCCUCCAAAAUCAAUGAUGGACCUGAAAAAAUAGCAACUUGAAAUUCAAAUAACCAAGGAUACUUAAUUGAAGGUAGAAUAAUGAAUGCAUACAUGCUCGGGUCUAGUUGUUGGGAACAAAUGAACUUAAAUAAUUGGCGAGCACAUUCUUCACGUGAUACAUGGGGAGGUUCAGCAACUGCAGUUUGAGUGGAAAUAUUCCCUCCAACCAGUUCAGGAGUUGCCUAAUAUAUAUAUAUUUGUUAGUAAACAAUGGUAUAAAUGAUUAUGUAUUGUACUGUACAUAUAUAAGAAAGAUAAGAACAUGACAGGACAUGACUAACUUCUGUCAGGGGGGGGUUCUGUCAAACUUUGGUGCACCAUAUGUGGGAGGAUCCUGUACAACAGGAUUUUGUCCUUCCUGAAACACAAUAAAGUAUACAAAUAUACACAAUCAAACAUAGGUUAUGACUAAUAUAAACAAAAUAUUAUGAAGAAUAAAUACUGACAGUAUUUAGGGGUGGAGUUACUUCUGAGACAGCACUCUUGUCAGUUAUGGGAGCCUUGUGAAAAAAUAAAUAAAAACAUUCAGAUAUAUUAGGGUUACUAUCACAUAUUGUAAUUAAAAGUAAAAUCAUUGGGAAUAAAAUAAAACAAACAUUUGAAGUUGGAGUUUUGUCAAAUAUGGGAACAUCCAUGACCGAAUCUUUUAUACAAAAGUUUCCACUGAAUACCUGUAUGGGAAACAUGUGAAGUUGGUGUACAUGUGAACUUGUAUGCUAUAUUUUAUAUAUGCUUAAUAAUUAAAGUUUGUAUGAAAAAAAUUACUUGUUCCGAUAUUUUAUUACCAUCAGUAGGAACUUGGGUUGGCUGAUCGUGAUGCUGAUGUUCAGGGGUUCGAACAGGAGGCGUGGAUAUAGGGUCAUUUGUUGGGGGCAAUGAGGUAGUGGGUGGGUUAUCUCCAUUUGCACAAUAACAUGAUAAAUUAGUCGAUGCUGAUAUGAACCAGAAAUAGAAAUGUAGAGUAAUAAAAUAAUGGUUAUACAAACAUAUUAGUACAAACUACAAUCGCAUAAUAUCAUGGUGCACAAAACAAAAUGAGAGGGUGCAUCUAAAAUCAAAUGAAAUUCAGCAAACGAAGAAUUAGACACACGUGAAGCUAAUUAUACAGGAAAGGUAUUGGUGAUGUUGUAAUGGAACUGAAUGCAUAAGUAAUGUAUAACAUGUUGCAUAAAAGAAUGUAUUUAAAAACAUAUACCUAAAUACAACUUUAGUUUGAAUUAUCAGUGAGCUGAAUAAUGUAAGAAAAAAUAAGCAUGACUAUUAAUACCUUCUUGCUGAGUAUCACACUGCGUGGCAUCCCUUAAAACUUCGUCUAUCAUUUCACCAAAUAUCUCAGAUAGUUCAAUCUGCUUAGAAACAAGCAUCUGAUGGCUCUACUGUAGAGAAGCACAGUACUUAUCAACCUCAUUGUCAUGCGCAUCAAACAUUGGUUCGAACAUGGGGCGAUGCUGGGAGGGCAGACAAUUCAGCUUGUUGCCAAUCAAAUGUUUUAUGCGUGGCACAUAAUGUUGAAUACUUCAUAAACCGGCCAUUCUGGAGCAAUGACAUAACAUGUCUCUGUGCGGCUACGAAACUGUUUAAAUCCAAUAAAUAACUGUUAGCAUAUAUUGGAAUUUAACAUUUGCAUGAACAGGAAAAUAAUAUGUUUAUGGCUUACCUCUGCAUGACCAAAUGGUUCUCCAAUUUGGUGGGGGCCACGUCUGUCACCCCUAGCCAAAUCUCUUAUUGUCUCAUUGUCAAAAUACUUGAUGCGGGGAGUAUCAUACUUGUUCUCAGGUGAUGCAGGGUGGUGUAAAUGGUCAAGGUAAUAUAUCUGAGCCAAAUAGAAAAAAAUCAUAGAUAUUUAGUAUGAAUGUUAUAAAUGAUUAUGUAUGUAAGUACAAAACAAAUAUUUGGAUAGCAUAUAUGGACUUGGUAAACAUAGAUUAACUUACAAGAAUAAUGAGUGAACAUCCAUAAACUGUUGCAGUUAUGUUUGUUCUGUUCCUCUUGUGCCAAUGACUAGCAGCAUCACACAGAUCAGUAUAUACUAAUUGACACCAAUCAAUCUCAGCCAUCCGGUCCAUGUUUGUUGUCAUUAGGACCUCGUUGUUCGUAAUACCCCAUGAAGAAGAUGGGAAUAGAAGGCGAUUGAAUAAAAUCAGAAAAAAAACAUCUGAUGGAUAACUCAUCAUCAUUCCCAAUAACUAGCUUGUCCUAUAGCUUAACAACAUCAAACUCUUCUUUAGAAAUGUUGAGAUCUCGUCUCAGUUUUGAAGCAGCGUCAAUUUCACCAUACCAAUCAGUGAAAUCCCUGCCACCUCCAGCACUUGGCAAUCCCAAUAUGAGACGAACCGUCUCUUUUGUGAUCUUGAGUUCUUUACCAGCCCCUGGGCGUAUUGUCAUGUCGUCUGGAUCCAGCUUAUCCAUCAACCACCUUAUGAGAGACCUGCUCUCUAAUGCAUCGGUACACAAAUCAAAUAUACUUUGAAAUCCCAACCUAGCAACAACGUCACGCUGUCGAUCACUCAUUAUCCAAGUUGACACAAUGACAUCAUACGGGAUGCAACAGAUAUUCAAUUUCUGCUGGAAUAAAUGAAUAUGUAUUAAUACAUAGUGUAUAUAUAUUGUUAUAACUAAGGAUAAUAUAGUUCUACAUAUAAUAUUUAUUGGAUGGUUGUAAAUAACUAUAGUCUAACAACACUAACAAAAUAAAAAGCAUACCAAAAUAAUAAUAUAUAAAAUGUAACAUUUGGGUAAUACAACAUUGAUUGUGCACCAAAAUUAACACCUAAACAAAAAUAAAUAUAUGCAUAGUACCUGGUAUUUUCUGGGUGUCAUCUGUUUGGAUGAGCUUGUUUUCAUAAUGUUCUUUGACUUGAUAUCAAUAUCAGACUUUGAUCUGCUUGACACAAUGGGGACUUGUGGGGGAGGGAUGUCCAUUUUCAAUACACAAAACUUCUUCUUUGAACGUUUAUUUACCGAAGUGGAGGGUACAACUGAUCUGAAAUUGCGCUUCAAUGUUGGAGCAUCCAUGAAAUCAUCAUCAGACAAUGCAGAUGGAGUUGUAGGCUGAUUUUUUUUGACCAGACAAGCUAGUGGCUUUCUACGGACACGAGUAACUGGUGCUGUCUGAGGAUCAAUCUGCUGCUGGUUAUGGGGAUUGUCAGCAUGUUUGGCUGAGUUGCUAGAUCGUGUGCGUCUUGAAAUGUCAACAGAAAACACCUCCUGACUUGACUCAAUAGUUAAUCUGUUUGCAUUAGAUGGUGAGCGAUCAACAGACCUCAUGAUUCAGCAAGCAAUAUAACUGUUGACAAAAAUGAUUGGAUUUAAGUAAAAUGAUUUAUGCAUAAAUAUAUGCCAAAAACAAUUCGAAUAUUGUAUAUAACUGUAUACAAUGCAUACUACAUAAUACGAAAUGGAGUUACUUAUCUUAAACUACCUUUUUCGGUUAUAUGCCAUAAUAUUAAUGAACCAUGGUUAUAUACAAGCAUAAAUAUUAAUUAACUAUUUCAUAUAAUUGUAACUGGUGCAUGAUAAAAAAAUACCUAUUUUCAUCAACUAACUAUACAAAAUAUUUAAAUAACUAGUUCAUAUUAAUAUACACAAUUUGAUGAGAUUCAAACAUGGAUAUUUAAAUAACUAGUGCAUAUAUAAUAGUACCUGUGUGCAUAUAUAUAUAAUACAAUGGGUGUGUAAAAUAAUGUUUCAGAUAUGGGGAAAAAUACCUAUGUGCAUAACUAUCAUGACCGAUGUUCAUAUAUAGUUGUACCAAUGUGCAUAAAUAGCAUUGCCGAUGUGCAUAUAUUUCAGUAUCGAUAUGCAUAUAUAUAUAUUACUACGGGUAUGUAAAAAAAUCUCUGUGAACUCGGGAAGAAAUACCUGAACCGGCGAUGUUGCCGAAGUCUUUGAAGGCCGAGCGAUAUCGCAGAUCUAAACGAACUGCAGAGGCUCUUCAAUCGGGGCUCCAGAAUCAAAGAGAUAUGCAAUGAGAAGUUUUUUGUAAGAUAACGUACCCGAUUGGAGAAAUGUAGAAACGGAUUCAAAUCACACACAACUUUUAACUAAUCUUGAUUAUGAUUUAUUUGGUCUUAGUAUCUGUUGGUUAUGAUUAAUCUAGAUGUUGAUGACUAAAUUGGAGACAUGUAUAAUCUGGUUGGUUGUGUGUUGGUAGCAGUUCUAUCUAAUCUUGAUGAUGAUGUGGUUACUUCCCUCCAAAUAUGUAAAUUCUAUAUAUAACUAUCCAAACAUGAUAUUGAAUUUGAUUCAUGGAAAAAAAUUCCAUUAACAUCCAAACAAAAAAAUUGAAUUGAAUUAAAUUCUACGGUAUUACUUUCUCUAGGAAUCUAAUAUCUAGAAUGUUAUUCAUGGAAUGAGUUUCAUUUCCAAGGAAACAAACGACCCCUAAGGGAAAUAUGCAAAACGACUUCAAAUCGACAAAAAUACCUCAAACGGUGACAGAAACCUCGAUGUGUUUCAAGUUGGAGCGAUAACCUGGAACUUCACGGGAAAGCAAUGGCUCUUCAAUCGGGGCUCCAAAGUUCGCAAAUUGAAGGAGCGGAGAUGGAUGGAAGAGGCGGAAGUCGCCUGACAGUCGCCUCGGCCACCGGGAUUCAGCGGUUUCCUUCCUGUUUGGCGGAUGCAGAAGCUAAAAACCCCUAUGGACUUGCGUGUGUUUAUCUCGAUUGAUUGUGAGAAGACAGUUUUGGAAACCGGGAAAUGGGGGAGACGUGCGUGGGUAACGGAGACCUUGGCUAAUGGCGACCGUGACUGUGUAUAUGCUGACCAGGUUCGGUUCAACCAAAAGUGCAUAUUGACUAGCCUGGGCUUUCUCUAUUAUUGAAAGCCCAGUACUCUUUAAUAUAUAUAUAUAUAUAGUUAUAGUAUUUAGAGACAUGGGCUCUGUAUAACUAUUGGAAGCCCCGACCACGUACCGACCAGGUGCUCAGACCGCACCAGACCCUUUUUGGCUUAUUAUACCUAACUGCUUACGGCAAAUUAUAAUACGAGUUAUGUUGAUGUGUGUAACAAUUUAUGCAAAUAUAUGGGCCAUCGAGUAGAUUUCGUCCCGCAUAUUAUGUGCAUAGGGCCCACGAUCCCACCCACACGCUCGCAGUUAUCCAGUCCCACGUCGCCACUAUAAAAACACCCCCACGUCGCCAAGGAUUAGGUUUUAGCGGCGGCGGCGGUUCCCUCGGGCGUGCGAGCGUCGGUGAUCUUGGGGGCUAGCAGCGGUGCUGUCCUGAGGCAGGCGACCGACAGCGGUGCUCCACCAGGAACGGGCGACAGCGACGCUCCUGAGGCAGGCGCGCAAGCGGCGACGGCGUUCUCGAAGCGGACGGACGGUGGCGGCGCACCCUAGGCCCGAUGGCAAUGGUGUUUGUCCCGUCCGUCUCUGCGAUGGCCACCGCCGCUGCCGCUCCAGCGUCUGUGGCGCCGUCCCCUGCGCCAAAGGCCAACAACAGCAGGAAGGCGGUGGUGCCUGGGAUGACUGGGUACGAGCUGCUCAAGCACGUCAAGGAGUCGGCGGCGCUCAGGGACAUCCUCGCCGUCAUCAUGUCAUCGGAGAACGUGCCCACCCGCAUCACCCGCUGCCUGGAGGAGUUCGACCCGUGCCUCGCCGUAAUUUAGGCCCUAUUCGUCGUUACGAAAUAAAUUGAUGAUGUACGCUAAAAUUUGUACCCAUUUACGCUGUUUUGGUUCACGUUUUACGCUGAAAUUUGACCGAGCGAGAAUUCGUGCACGAUCGAACGUGCGCAAUUUUGACGCCGUAAUUUUCGGGCCUCAUUCGCUGUUACGAAACAGGUCUAUAAUUUACAUAAAUUUUGUAUUCAUUUACGUUAUUUCGGUUCACGUUUUAUGAUUAAAUCCACCAGAGCCAGAACCCUAGCACGAUCGGCUGUACGCGAUUUUCACGCUGUAAUUUUGGGCCCCGUUUGUUGUUACAAAACAGAUAUAGGAUUUACACUAAAUUUUGUAUUCAUUUACGUUGUUUUAGCUUACGUUUUACGCUGGAAUCGCCCGAGCUAGAACCCGCGCACGAUCGACUGCACGCGAUUUUCAUGCCAUAAUUUUGGGCUCCGUUUGCUGUUACAAAACAAAUAUAGGAUUUACGCUAAAUUUCAUACUCAUUUACGCUGUUUUAGCUCACGUUUUACGCUGGAAUCGGCCUGAGCCAGGACCCGCGCACGAUCAGCUGCACACGAUUUUCACGCCGUAAUUUACGCCCCGUUUGCUUUUACAAAACAGAUAUAGAAUUUACGCUAAAUUUCGUACUCAUUUACGCUGUUUUAGCUCACGGUUUACGCUGGAAUCCGCCUGAGCCAGAACCAGAACCACAUACUGCAUGAUUUAUGCUGUCAAGUACAUGUCAUUAUGCAGUCGUAAACGCUGUCCACAGUGUCAUAUUUGUUCCACGUGAUUCGAGCGUCAAAAGAUUCCUUUAUGCAUGGUUUACACAUCUUUAUAUAUAUAUAUAUAUAUAUAUAGGGAAGAGGUAAUGGAAGCCCUGGGCUUCCGUUAGUGGGCGAAGCCCCAGCCAGGACGCCGAUCAGGUCGCGGUCGGCCCACUGUAUGCCAGCUUGCGUCAGCCAUGCAUAUGAUAGCCACGUAUCCCGGCUGAGACGCGACAGGCGAUAUACGCACGCAUAAAUAUAUGUAGAAAUGUGCAUAACUCAUGCAUAAAUAUAAUCUUUUAUGCCACGAAUCACGGGAACGAAUAUUACCAUGUGCUCACCGUUUACGACUGCAUAACGCUAUGUAACAUGAUAGCAUAAACCAUGCAACAUUUAAAUCUCCACCGGUUUGAGAUAAGGAAAGACGUGCUCCAUGUUCGCGUAAAUAAAGGCACAGUUACAGGAGGAAACAAAUUCUAAUUUACAGUCGCUCGUCCACGUUCGUAUCUGAGAUAUUGGCGGCAGUUAGCGGCGGCGGAAGUGAGAGCACCGGCCGGCGAUUAGCGGCGAGAAAAUGUCCAGCACCGGCGCUGGCGAUGACAUGCCACCUGUAUCGUCUAUGCAUAAGUCAACAGGUACGUCUAUUUCAAUGGACAUGCAUCCUGUAGCGUCUGCGAUCGCCGGUUACACAUAGGGUGUGUCUGUUACUCCCCCGGCGGCAUUGAGGGCACCUGGACAUUUCCUCGUGUUAUUAUGAAUUUUGCAUAAAUACAUGUGGAUAAUGAUCCAUGUAUGUAAUGAUGAUAUAGGUCGAAGCGUAUGAAACAGAAGACAUAGUUAUAGACAAUUUACGCAAAUUAGAUGAUGGGAACGAGGUAUGGAACAAAAUUUUAUAAUGUAUUAUAUAUGCUGCUCUAUAAAAUUUGUGUCUUCACUAGAGUUUGCGUUAUUUCACAAGAAAUUUUAAUGGGGUCUAAUACAAAUGAAUGCAAUGCUAACGACGAUCAAUGUAAUAUGUUGAUAUUAACAUUGGAACAUAACACUGAUAUUCGACUGGUUGAUAGUAGUGCUACGGAUGUGGAAGCUAGAAAGGUAAUAACAUUGCUACAAUAUAUGAUGAAAUACGUGAAUAUAAAAACUGACUUAAUAUCUUUGAUUUGUAGAAACUGGAGUUUCAUAUGGAAGGUGUAAACUUAGCAAGACUAGAUAAGGCCAAGCCUAAGGGAAGAACAAUCAAAAGUAGUGAGCAACAAGUUCUUAAAUUGGGUGCGAAAGGAGCUAAGAAGAUGAGCAGGAAGUGCCAGAAAUGUGGCAUAGCUGAUGGUCACAACAACCGUACGUGUUUAACUGUGGAGGAUAAUAGGGUUCGAUUGGCUAACCUAUCUGGACGUAAGCGAGGACGACCUCCUGGUUCAAGGAACAAAAUCAUAGGUGCAGCACCACAGUGGAAUGAGACAUCAACGUCGAAAAAACGAACGGUGUAUGUCGGAGAUGAUGAUUCAUCUGGUAGAGAGUAGAAUACCAUAAGAUUUAUGAUAAAAUUAUAUUCUGGAUGUAAAUGUGAUUCCUAUGUUUAAUUGACAAUGCCCAGAAAGUGUCAUAAAUAUGCUUGCAAACUGGCAUAAACGUAUGUGGAAUUUAUCAUAAGCAAUUAACAGUUAUGUAGCAAUCUGAAUGUACAUCUACUUAGCAUACAUGUAUGUGCAAAUAUGCAUAACACGUCGUUGUGUAAUGCAUAAACUGGUCAGACUGUGAAGCAUGACUGUACAAAAAGAGAUGUUUCCAGUAUAGAACAGUGAUAAUUGUAUCAUACACUUGAGAUGAAACAAGAAUAAUGUAUGGGCAUAGAACGGGGAUAAUUGUAUCAUAAAUGUAUGGGCAAACAUGCAUAAGACGGCGUUGUUUAUUGCAUAAACUGGUCACACUGUGAAGCUUAUGACUGUACACCGGCAAUAAGUAUAUCAUAAACUUGAGACAAAACAAGCAUAAUCCGAGGUUGUUGACAGCAUAAAAUUGUACAGGAAAUUGGUAGAAUCAAAUGCAAGAAACACACAUGACGAUCAAACACAUAGGGUACAAUAUUCCAGUUUAGACAUUCACUGAUCCCCAAAGUUGUCAUUGACAUAACAUAAGAAACGUCUACCAUCUUUGCCCAUAUUAUACACACAUGACUGAUCUGAAGUUUAGGGAACCAUUGUAUACACAAUAUAUUACAUGUCUAAACUAAACUACAUCCAUUAGACCUUGAAUCUUUGGAUGUCUUCAAGCAGCGAUAAUGCUUUGUUCUUCGGAUGGAAUAUGAUAUAAUGCAGCGCAAGAGACCGUAUCUCACUAGUGUUGCCCUGCAAGACAAUAAAAUUGUGUUAGUUAUACAUGUGUACCAUAUGUUGCCUUGUGCCAACUAUAGAAUUAACUGGUAAAUUUGUACGUACUGCUUCUAUGUCUGACCGCAGAGAUCCUUCGUCGCAUUCAUAAAAGAGAAUGUAACCCAUAACAUAAAACCCACAGUCAUUGGAUCCUGCUGCCAUGUUAGGACAAUUUGGGCACAAGUCAAUUGCGAAGUUGCCAAAUUUGGGAAAGCAUGUCCUAGGCCGUACAUGUUGUAUUGCUUUGUUUAAUCUACUCAUAAUAACCUUAGCCCAUGGUAACUUUCUGCCACCUAAGCCCAAUUGUGCAAAAUGAUAGUCCUUCCAUGUAGUACCACCUAAUCCCAAUUGUGCAAAAUAUGAAUGCACUUCUUGACUGUGUUGACAACAUACAAUGUCCAAUGCCCCCUACUUACCAUGGGAACCAUGAUUUGACCGUGUAAAAAAACAUAAAGAUGAACACUGUAAAUUACAAAGCAUAACAAUGUGAUAUGUUCCAUUUAAAAUAAAUUAUGUUUGUAUUAUGAAAUACGAUUGUUACCGCUUUGCAUUUAUCCAAUUCAUCUGUCUCGGGCAAUGCAUUGUCUAGAAGUGUCGGCGUUUCGAGACCGGGGGGGUCCCUGGGCCGACGAGUGAAAUGUCACCGCGUGCCCCAGCCCAGAUGGGUCGGCGCGAGGCCGAGCGCGAAGGGGGGAGAAAGGUGGCCGGAGACAGGCGUGAGAGAGGUGGAAAUCCCGCGGCCUUCGUGUUCGUCCCGCGCCCAGGUCGGGUGCGCUUGCAGUAGGGGGUUACAAGCGUCCACGCGGGAGAGGGAGCGAGCGGCCUCACGCGAGCGCCUGUCUCGUCCUCGUCCCCGCGCGGCCAACCCUCUGUAAGAGGGCCCUGGUCCUUCCUUUUAUAGGCGUAAGGAGAGGAUCCAGGUGUACAAUGGGGGGGUGUAGCAAAGUGCUACGUGUCUAGCGGAGGAGAGCUAGCGCCCUAAGUACAUGCCGUCGUGGCAGCCGUGAAAGGGAAAUGUGCCCUUUGGGCCAUUUCUAAGUAUUUUGGUGAUUGAGUGCAAACACAAGUGCUUAAAUGUGAAUUUAUGUCCAUGGAUGAACAAAGUGAAAAUCAAGAGUAAAGGUAUGUUUCUAAGCCUUAGUACAUUGGUUUUGUGUACUAAUAUACUUGUCUAAGUGUUAGAAACAGAAAGAAGAAGAAAAGAAAAGAGAUGGAAAAAGCCUGGCUGUGUACAGCCAAGACUCAGCCCAGUCUGGCACACCGGACUGUCCGGUGGUGCACCGGACAGUGUCCGGUGCGCCAGGCUGACUCGGCGUGAAGUAGCCGCUCUCGGGAAUUCGCCGACGGCGUACGGCUAAAAUUCACUGGACUGUCCGGUGUGCACCGGACUGUCCGGUGAGCCAACGGUCGGCCGGGCCAACGGUCGGCCGCGCGAUCUGCGCGGGACACGUGGCCGAGCCAACGGUCGGGAGGGGGCACCGGACUGUCCGGUGUGCACCGGACAUGUCCGGUGCGCCAACGGCUCCCAGACCUGCAACGGUCGGCUGCACUGUUUAAGGAAGGAAAUCGGGCACCGGACAGUGUCCGGUGUGCACCGGACUGUCCGGUGCACCCGACGACAGAAGGCAAGAUUGGCCUUCCAGAUUUGCUCUCAAUGGCUCCUAGUUGCCUUGGGGCUAUAAAAGGGACCCCUAGGCGCAUGGAGGAGGACACCAAGCAACCUUAGAGCAUUCUUGAUCAUCCACACUCAGUCUUUGCACAUUCGUUUGUCAUUCUUAGUGAUUUGAGCUCCGUUCUAGUGAGAACUUUGAGAUAGUCUCUUGAGCUCGAUUCUUGGCCGUGUUUGUGUGCAUUUUGCUGUGGAUUUGUGUGUGUUGCUUCUCUCCCUUACUCCGUGCUUCUUUGUGAACUUCAAGUGUAAGAGUGAGAGACUCCAAGUUGUGGAGAUUCCUCGCAAACGCGAUAAGAAAAGAAAAGCAUAACACUGUGGUAUUCAAGUUGAUCAUUGGAUCACUUGAGAGGAGUUGAGUGCAACUCUCGUCUGUUUGGGACGCCACAACGUGGAGUAGGCAAGUUUUGUACUUGGCCGAACCACGGGAUAAAUCACUGUGUCUUCUCUGUGUUGAACUUCUUGUGAUUAUCAUAUUGUGCAAGAUCUUCGCUCUAGCCACUUGGCAUUAACUGUGCUAACACUUAACAACUUUUUGUGGCUUAAGUUUUUGAAGUGUUAUAGGAUCACCUAUUCACCCCCCCCUCUAGGUGCUCUCAAUUGGUAUCGGAGCCGUUCUCUUCAAGAAAGGGACUAACCGCCCAAAGAGAUGGAUCCUAAGGGCAAGGGGAUGGUGAUCAACGACAAGGAGAAGGAGGCCUUCGUCAACGAGCCCAAUGAUGACAAGCCCACUGACUCAGGCUCGGGCCACAAAAGAAAAGACGGGAGGAAGAAGAAGACAAGGCGCAUCAAGGAAAUUGUCUACUACGUCAGCGACGAAUCUUCCUCCUCCCAAAAGGACGACGACGACUAUGAUAGACGAAAGACGGUUAACUCAAACUUUUCUUUCGAUUAUUCGCGCAUCCCGCAUAGUUCAAAUGCUCAAUUGCUCCCCAUUCCACUUGGCAAGCCCCCUCACUUUGAUGGAGAGGAUUACGGAUUUUGGAGCCACAAAAUGCGUACUCACCUGUUUUCUCUCCAUCCAAGCAUUUGGGAGAUUGUGGAAAGUGGAAUGAAAUUUGAUAGCUCGGAUAGCCCUGUGUUUAUUAAUGAACAGAUUCAUAAAAAUGCACAAGCUACUACUGUGUUGCUAGCCUCUUUGUGCAGGGACGAGUAUCACAAGGUGAGCGGCUUGGACAAUGCCAAGCAGAUCUGGGACACCCUCAAGAUCUCUCAUGAGGGAAACGACGUCACCUUGCUCACCAAAAUGGAGUUGGUGGAGGGCGAGCUUGGACGGUUCGCGAUGAUAAGGGGCGAGGAGCCGACACAAACAUACAACCGGCUCAAGACCCUUAUCAACAAAAUAAGGAGCUACGGGAGCACGCGAUGGACGGACCACGACGUCGUCCGCCUAAUGCUAAGGUCAUUUACCGUUCUUGAUCCUCAUUUGGUGAACAAUAUACGUGAAAAUCCCAGGUACACCAAGAUGUCGCCCGAAGAAGUUCUUGGGAAAUUCGUUAGCGGGCGAAUGAUGAUCAAGGAGGCGAGGUACGUGGACGACGCCUUGAAUGGUCCGAUCAACGAGCCGCAACCCCUUGCUCUCAAGGCAACACGAAGCAAGGAGGCGCUACCUAGCAAGGUGGCACAGAUUGAGGCGACCGAACUUAAUGAUGAAGAGAUGGCUCUCAUCAUCAAAAGAUUCAAGACGGUGCUUAAAUGUCGCAAGGGACAGCCAAGCAAGACCAAAGCCAAGAGGAAGCGCUCAUGCUUCAAAUGCGGUAAGCUUGGUCAUUUUAUUGCUAACUGUCCCGACAAUGAUAGUGAUCAGGAUCAAGGGAACAAGAGGGAGAAAAAGAAGAACUAUAAGAAGGCAAAGGGCGAGGCUCAUCUUGGCAAGGAGUGGGAUUCGGACUGCUCUUCGUCCGACUCCGACAAUGAAGGACUCGCCGCCACCGCCUUCAACAAGUCAUCCCUCUUCCCCAACGAGUGUCACACUUGCCUCAUGGCAAGGGAGAAGAAAGUAAGCACUCAUAAUACUAGUACUUAUGCUUCUUCAAGUGAAGAUGAGUCUAGUGAUGAUGAUGAGAUAGAUUACUCAUGCUUAUUCAAGGGAUUAGAUAGAACCAAGGUAGACAAAAUUAAUGAAUUGAUUGAUGCCUUGAAUGAUAGGAAUAUACUUUUAGAAAAGCAAGAGGAUUUGUUAUAUGAAGAACAUGAUAAAUUUGUAGAAGCUCAGAAAUCUCUUGCUCUAGAAAUUAAGAGGAAUGAAAUGCUCUCUAGUGAAUUAUCUUCUUGUCAUGAAACUAUUGCUAAGUUAAAAGGUUUUAAUGAUGAUUUAAAUGCUAAACUAGAAGUAGCUAGUAAAUCUAAUUCUUGUGUAGAAAUUGUUGAAACUUGUAAUAGGUGUAAAGAUUUUGAAAUUGAUGCUUGUAGUGAUCAUUUAGUUUCAAUUUCCAAAUUAAAUGAUGAAUUAGCUAGUCUUAAUGCCCAACUUAAGACUAGCAAGAAUGAAUUUGACAAGCUAAAAUUUGCAAGGGAUGCCUACACGAUUGGUAGACACCCCUCAAUUAAGGAUGGUCUUGGCUACAAGAGGGAAGCCAAGAACUUGACAAGCCAUAAGGCUCCCAUCUCCACCAAGGAGAAAGGGAAGGCCCCUAUGGCUAGUAGUGUGCAAAAGAACCAUGCCUUUAUGUACUAUGAUAGAAGACAACGUAGAAAUGCUUAUAGGAGUUGUAAUGUAUUUAAUACCUUUGAUUCUCAUGCCAUGUUUGCUUCCAGUUCUUCUUAUGUGCAUGAUAGAAAUGUUGGUAGGAGAAAUGUUAUUCAUAAUAUGCCUAGGAGAAAUGUUGUUAAUGUUCCUAGGAAAGUUAAUGAACCUUCUACAAUAUAUCAUGCUUUAAAUGCUUCUUUUGCUAUUUAUAGAAAGGAUAGGAAGAUAGUUGCUAGAAAAUUAGGGGCAAGAUGCAAGGGAGACAAAACUUGCAUUUGGGUCCCUAAGGAUAUUUGUGCUAACCUUGCAGGACCCAACAUGAGUUGGGUACCUAAGACCCAAGCCUAAAUUUGCCUUGCAGGUUUAUGCAUCCGGGGGUUCAAGCUGGAUUAUUGACAGCGGAUGCACAAACCAUAUGACGGGGGAGAAGAAGAUGUUCACCUCCUACGUCAAGAAUAAAGAUUCCCAAGAUUCAAUAAUAUUCGGUGAUGGGAAUCAAGGCAAGGUAAAAGGGUUAGGUAAAAUUGCAAUCUCAAAUGAGCACUCUAUCUCUAAUGUGUUUUUAGUAGAGUCUCUUGGAUAUAAUUUGCUAUCUGUUAGUCAAUUAUGCAAUAUGGGAUAUAACUGUUUGUUUACAAAUGUAGAUGUGUCUGUCUUUAGAAGAUGUGAUGGUUCACUAGCUUUUAAGGGUGUACUAGACGGCAAGCUUUACUUAGUUGAUUUUGCAAAAGAAGAGGCCGGUCUAGAUGCAUGCUUAAUGGCUAAGACUUGCAUGGGCUGGUUGUGGCAUCGCCGCUUAGCACAUGUGGGGAUGAAGAACCUCCACAAGCUUCUAAAGGGAGAACACGUGAUAGGUCUAACCAAUGUUUAUUUCGAAAAAGAUAGACCCUGUGCAGCUUGUCAAGCAGGGAAACAGGUGGGAUGCUCUCAUCACACCAAGAAUGUGAUGACAACAUCAAGACCCCUGGAGUUGCUACAUAUGGACCUCUUCGGACCCGUCGCCUAUCUGAGCAUAGGAGGAAGUAAGUAUGGUCUAGUUAUUGUUGAUGAUUUUUCCCGCUUCACUUGGGUGUUCUUUUUGCAGGACAAGUCUGAAACCCAAGGGACCCUCAAGCGCUUCCUCAGGAGAGCUCAAAAUGAGUUUGAGCUCAAGGUGAAGAAGAUAAGGAGCGACAACGGGUCCGAAUUCAAGAAUCUUCAAGUGGAGGAGUUCCUUGAGGAGGAGGGGAUCAAGCACGAGUUCUCCGCUCCCUACACACCUCAGCAAAAUGGUGUGGUAGAGAGGAAGAACAGGACACUCAUAGAUAUGGCGAGGACUAUGCUUGGAGAGUUCAAGACCCCCGAGUGCUUUUGGUCGGAAGCCGUGAACACGGCUUGCCACGCCAUCAACAGGGUCUACCUACACCGCCUCCUCAAGAAGACUUCUUAUGAGCUGCUGACUGGUAACAAACCCAAUGUAUCGUACUUUCGUGUAUUUGGGAGUAAAUGCUACAUUCUAGUGAAGAAGGGUAGGAUUUCCAAAUUUGCUCCCAAAGCUGUAGAAGGAUUUUUGUUAGGUUAUGACUCAAAUACAAAGGCGUAUAGAGUCUUCAACAAAUCAUCGGGUUUGGUUGAAGUCUCUAGCGACGUUGUAUUUGAUGAGACUAAUGGCUCUCCAAGAGAGCAAGUUGUUGAUUGUGAUAAUGUAGAUGAAGAAGAUGUUCCGACGGCCGCUAUACGAACCAUGGCAAUUGGAGAAGUUCGGCCACAGGAACAAGAUGAACGAGAUCAACCUUCUUCCUCAACAACGGUGCAUCCCCCAACUCAAGACGAUGAACAGGUUCAUCAACAGGAGGCGUGUGAUCAAGGGGGAGCACAAGAUGAUCAUGUGAUGGAGGAAGAAGCGGAACCGGCACCUCCAACCCAAGUUCGAGCGAUGAUCCAAAGGGAUCAUCCGGUCGACCAAAUUCUGGGUGACAUUAGCAAGGGAGUAACUACUCGGUCUCGAUUAGUUAAUUUUUGUGAACAUUACUCCUUUGUCUCUUCUAUUGAGCCUUUCAGGGUAGAAGAGGCCUUGCUAGAUCCGGACUGGGUGCUGGCCAUGCAAGAGGAGCUCAACAACUUCAAGAGGAAUGAAGUUUGGACGCUGGUGCCUCGUCCUAAGCAAAAUGUUGUGGGAACCAAGUGGGUGUUCCGCAACAAACAAGACGAGCACGGAGUGGUGACAAGGAACAAGGCUCGACUUGUGGCAAAAGGUUAUGCCCAAGUCGCAGGUUUGGACUUUGAGGAGACUUUUGCUCCUGUGGCUAGGCUAGAGUCCAUUCGUAUCUUGCUAGCAUAUGCCGCUCACCAUUCUUUCAGGUUGUUCCAAAUGGAUGUGAAGAGCGCUUUCCUCAACGGGCCAAUCAAGGAGGAGGUGUACGUGGAGCAACCCCCUGGCUUCGAGGAUGAACGGUACCCCGACCACGUGUGUAAGCUCUCUAAGGCGCUCUAUGGACUUAAGCAAGCCCCAAGAGCAUGGUAUGAAUGCCUUAGAGACUUCUUAAUUGCUAAUGCUUUCAAGGUUGGGAAAGCCGAUCCAACUCUUUUUACAAAGACAUGUGAUGGUGAUUUGUUUGUGUGCCAAAUUUAUGUCGAUGACAUAAUAUUUGGUUCUACUAACCAAAAGUCUUGUGAAGAGUUUAGCAGGGUAAUGACGCAGAAAUUCGAGAUGUCGAUGAUGGGUGAGUUGAACUACUUCCUUGGGUUCCAAGUGAAGCAACUCAAGGACGGCACCUUCAUCUCCCAAACGAAGUACACGCAAGAUCUGCUAAAGCGGUUUGGAAUGAAGGACGCCAAGCCCGCAAAGACUCCGAUGGGAACCGACGGACACACCGAUCUCAACAAAGGAGGUAAGUCCGUUGAUCAAAAAGCAUACCGGUCAAUGAUAGGGUCUUUACUUUAUUUAUGUGCUAGUAGACCGGAUAUUAUGCUUAGCGUAUGCAUGUGUGCUAGAUUUCAAUCCGAUCCUAAGGAAUGUCACUUAGUGGCGGUGAAGCGAAUUCUUAGAUAUUUGGUUGCUACGCCUUGCUUCGGGCUCUGGUAUCCAAAGGGGUCUACCUUUCACUUGGUUGGAUACUCAGACUCCGACUAUGCUGGAUGUAAGGUCGAUAGGAAGAGUACAUCGGGGACGUGCCAAUUCUUAGGAAGGUCCCUGGUAUCGUGGAACUCUAAGAAACAAACGUCCGUUGCCCUAUCCACCGCUGAGGCCGAGUAUGUUGCAGCAGGACAGUGUUGCGCGCAACUACUUUGGAUGAGGCAAACCCUCCAGGACUUUGGCUACAAUCUGAGCAAAGUCCCACUCCUAUGUGACAAUGAGAGUGCUAUCCGCAUGGUGGAAAAUCCUGUUGAACACAGCCGCACAAAGCACAUUGACAUCCGGCAUCACUUUUUGAGAGACCACCAGCAAAAGGGAGAUAUCGAAGUGUUUCAUGUUAGCACCGAGAACCAGCUAGCCGAUAUCUUUACCAAGCCUCUAGAUGAGAAGACCUUUUGCAGGCUGCGUAGUGAGCUAAAUGUCUUAGAUUCGCGGAACUUGGAUUGAAUUGUAGCAUACAUGUGUUUAUGCCUUUGAUCAUGUUCCUUAUGCAUUUUGUUGCUUAGUUAUGGUGCUCAAGUUGUACAAACACUCCCUGGACCUCACAAGUCCGUUGCAAAGUGAUGCACAUGUAUAGGGGGAGAUGUGUUACAACUUGACCCUUUGAGACUAACCAUAUGCUUGAGUUUGCUUGAUUUAGUCUCGAAGGACUUGGACCAUGAAAGACUUCCACUGCACUCCGAUGAGAGGGUAACUUAUUCCAAGUUCACCUCAUGAACUCUUAUUGCCAUUUGCUCUUAAUUGAAGAUUUUGGUGAGGCAAUGGGGUUUUAGGGCCAAGAUUGAUCCUGUUUUGGUGCUUGAUGCCAAAGGGGGAGAAAAUAAAGGCCAAAGCAAUAGAUGGAUCAGCUACCAGAAAAUAAAGGCCAAAGCAAUAGAUGGAUCAGCUACCACUUGAGAAACUUUGAAAAUAGUAGAAUAGAGCUUUUGGUUUGUCAAAACUCUUGCAUUGUCUCUUUUGUCAAAAGUUGGCUUCUUGUGGGGAGAAGUAGUGAUUAUGGGAAAAAGGGGGAGUUUUUGAAAUCUUUGAUCAAUCUCUUUUGGAAUGACUCUCUUUAUGCUUCAACAUGUGUGUUUGACUUAGAGAUAGAGAUUUGAGUUUGAUUUGCAAAAACAAACCAAGUGGUGGCAAAGGAUGAUCCAUAUAUGCCAAAAUCGAAUAAAACUCAAAUUUAUUUUUAUUUGAAGUAAUAUUGCACUUGUUCUAGUUGCUUUAUGUUGUGUUGGCAUAAAUCACCAAAAAGGGGGAGAUUGAAAGGGAAAUGUGCCCUUUGGGCCAUUUCUAAGUAUUUUGGUGAUUGAGUGCAAACACAAGUGCUUAAAUGUGAAUUUAUGUCCAUGGAUGAACAAAGUGAAAAUCAAGAGUAAAGGUAUGUUUCUAAGCCUUAGUACAUUGGUUUUGUGUACUAAUAUACUUGUCUAAGUGUUAGAAACAGAAAGAAGAAGAAAAGAAAAGAGAUGGAAAAAGCCUGGCUGUGUACAGCCAAGACUCAGCCCAGUCUGGCACACCGGACUGUCCGGUGGUGCACCGGACAGUGUCCGGUGCGCCAGGCUGACUCGGCGUGAAGUAGCCGCUCUCGGGAAUUCGCCGACGGCGUACGGCUAAAAUUCACCGGACUGUCCGGUGAGCCAACGGUCGGCCGGGCCAACGGUCAGCCGCGCGAUCUGCGCGGGACAUGUGGCCGAGCCAACGGUCGGGAGGGGGCACCGGACUGUCCGGUGUGCACCGGACAUGUCCGGUGCGCCAACGGCUCCCAGACCUGCAACGGUCGGCUGCGCUGUUUAAGGAAGGAAAUCGGGCACCGGACAGUGUCCGGUGUGCACCGGACUGUCCGGUGCACCCGACGACAGAAGGCAAGAUUGGCCUUCCAGAUUUGCUCUCAACGGCUCCUAGCUGCCUUGGGGCUAUAAAAGGGACCCCUAGGCGCAUGGAGGAGGACACCAAGCAACCUUAGAGCAUUCUUGAUCAUCCACACUCAGUCUUUGCGCAUUCGUUUGUCAUUCUCAGUGAUUUGAGCUCCGUUCUAGUGAGAACUUUGAGAUAGUCUCUUGAGCUCGAUUCUUGGCCGUGUGUGUGUGCAUUUUGCUGUGGAUUUGUGUGUGUUGCUUCUCUCCCUUACUCCGUGCUUCUUUGUGAACUUCAAGUGUAAGAGUGAGAGACUCCAAGUUGUGGAGAUUCCUCGCAAACGCGAUAAGAAAAGAAAAGCAUAACACUGUGGUAUUCAAGUUGAUCAUUGGAUCACUUGAGAGGAGUUGAGUGCAACUCUCGUCUGUUUGGGAUGCCACAACGUGGAGUAGGCAAGUUUUGUACUUGGCCGAACCACGGGAUAAAUCACUGUGUCUUCUCUGUGUUGAACUUCUUGUGAUUAUCAUAUUGUGCAAGAUCUUCGCUCUAGCCACUUGGCAUUAACUGUGCUAACACUUAACAACUUUUUGUGGCUUAAGUUUUUGAAGUGUUAUAGGAUCACCUAUUCACCCCCCCUCUAGGUGCUCUCAAGCCGGAGAGGUUUUGGCACCCGGUUCGUGUGGUGUCGUGGCCGUCGGAGGAGCGCUGGAGCCUGGCGGAAGGACAUCUGUCGGGACUAUCGAGUCCUUGCUGACGUCCUCUUGCUUCCGUAAGGGGGCUGAGAACCGCCGUCGUCACAGAGCGUGCGGGGCGCCAUCAUUGCCUAUCUGGCGGAGCGAGCCAGAUGGGACGCUGGUCUUGUUCCCCGUAGCCUGAGUCAGCUUGGGGUAGGGUAAUGAUGGCGCCUCCUGUCGACGUGGUCGGUCCGCGCCCUAGGUUGGGCGAUGUGGAGGCUCCUCCGAGGUCGAGGUCGAGUCUGUCUUCCGUGGCCGUGGUCGAGUCCGAGCCCCUAGGUCGGGCGAGGCGGAGACCGUCGGCUGAGGCCAGGGCUGAGUCCGAGCCCUAGGGUCGGGUGAAGCGGAGUUCGUCGUCUUCUGGGGCUGAGCCCAAGUCCGAGCCCUGGGUCGGGCAGAGCGGAGUUCGCUGUCUUCCGGGGCUUAGCCCAAGUCCGAGCCCUGGGUCGGGCGGAGCGGAGUUCGCCGUCUUCAGAGGCCUAGCCCGAGUCCGAGCCCUGGGUCGGGCGCAGCGGAGCUCGCCGUCUUCUGGGGCUUAGCCCGAGUCCGAGCCCUGGGUCGGGCGGAGCGGUGUUCGCCGUCUUCAGGGGCUUAGCCCAAGUCCGAGCCCUGGGUCGGGCGGAGCAGAGUUUGCCGUCUUCCGGGGCUUAGCCCGAGUCCGAGCCCUGGGUCGGGCGGAGCGGAGUUCGCCGUCUUCAGGGGCUUAGCCCAAGUCCGAGCCCUGGGUCGAGCGGAGCGGAGUUUCCAAUGGUGCCUGAGGCCAGGCCUGACUGCCUGUCAGCCUCACUCUGUCUAGUGGCACUGCAGCCGGUGCGGCGCAGGCGGCGCUGUCCUUCUGUCAGGUCGGUCAGUGGAGCGGCGAAGUGACUGCGGUCACUUCGGCUCUGUCGACUGAAGGGCGCGCGUCAGGAUAAAGGUGUCAGGCCACCUUUGCAUUAAAUGCUCCUGCGAUUUGGUCGGUCGGCGCGGCGAUUUGGUCAGGGUUGCUUCUUGGCGAAGACAGGGCCUCGAGCAAGCCGGAAGUAUGUUCGUCGCUGCAGGGGGGCCUCAGGCGAGACGGAGAUCCUCCGGGGUCGGCUGCCCUUGCUCGAGGCUAGGCUCGGGCGAGGCGUGAUCGAGUCCCUCGAAUGGACCGAUCCCUGACUUAGUCGCACCCAUCAGGCCUUUGCAGCUUUGUGGUGAUGGGGGUUACCAGCUGAGAAUUAGGAGCCUUGAGGGUACCCCUAAUUAUGGUCCCCGACAGUAGCCCCCGAGCCUCGAAGGGAGUGUUAACACUUGCUUGGAGGCUUUUGUCGCACCUUUUUGCAAGGGGACCAGCCUUUCUCGGUUGCGUUUUGUUCCGGUGGGUGCGCGCGAGCGCACCUGUCGGGUGUAGCCCCCGAGGCCUCGGAGGAGUGGUUUGACUCCUCCGAGGUCUUAAUGCCUCGCGCAAUGCUUUGGCUGGUUUGGUCGUUCCCUCAUGCGAGCUGGCCGUAGCCCGGGUGCACGGUCGGGUCCCAAGUUCUCGGGCUGGUAUGUUGACGCUGUCAACGGUUUGGCUGGAGCCGGGUUUGCGAGAGCAGCCCCCGAGCCUCUACACAGGGCGAGAGGACGAUCAGGGACAGACUCGACUUUUUUACAUACGCCCCUGCGUCGCCUUUCCGCAAGGAGGGGGGGAAAGCGCCAUGUUGCCCUCGGUGGGCGCCGAACAUGGUGUCUCCGGUGAGCUGCUGGCGGGUAAUCCGAGCGGACGUCCGUGCCCCAUUUGCUAGGGGUCGGCUAGAGGCCCAAAGGCGUGCCCAAAAGUACCUGCGGGUGAUCUGCCGGACCCGGUCCCCUGUCGACGGGGUCCGAGGGCUCGAUGCCUCCCUCUGAUGGGAUUCCGUUACAAGAUCGUUCCCGCUGGUCUCGGAAAUGUCCUAGGGUACCUCGGGAGCGCAGCCCGAGCCUUGGUUAUGUAUCGAACGUACCCAUGGUCAUCCCUCGCUCUGCGUCUGAGGCGGCUGUGAACCCUUCGAGGGCCAGCCUUCGAACCCCUGAUCAGUAGUGGGCGCGGAGCCCAAGUGGCCUGAGGCAGCCGUUGAACCCUUCUGAGGGGCCGGCCUUCGAACCUCUGACCAGUAGUGGGUGUGGAGCCCACGUGCUCUGAGGCGGCAGUUGAACCCCUCCGAGGGGCCAGCCUUUGAACCUCUGAUCAGUAGGGAGGCUCGGAGCCUGGUUCCUUCACGGAGAAGGGUCCUUUUCGGGGUAUCCCCCUUUCCCGGUCCCUGUUGUAAGAGAGAGAAAGAGGAAAAGGAUACGAAAUCGAAUGACAUGGCGUACCUUUUUUGACGCGGUCAUUAUGGCGAAGGUGAAGCGUCGCUCGCUUCUCCUGCUAGAGGCGCCGCCUAUCCCGCCGCGGAGUUAAUGCGACGGGGCGAGCGGUUUGCGGGGCGGCCGUUGCGCGUGCGCGAGCCGUUCGAGGAACGACCGUUUCGCCUUGGGUUUUUGAAUCCCGCGGCGGGUCCGGACGAAACGUUGAACGGGUCUCGCCUUAGUCUUUAUAUACUCGGGGGAGGGCCUGGCGACGGUUCUUUGCUCCGCUUCUUGCCUCCUUCUUAGGUUUUCGCAACCUGAGAGGUUUAGUCGGAGAAAAGGAGAACCAUCCACCCAGUCUUUUCCGCCGCCACCCCUUUCGCUCGGCGAUGGCCGACCGGGUGACCAUCAUCUCGCCGCGCGAUCCAUGGCCCUUCUCCACAGUCACAGCGAAGGACCUGGAGGAUCUUGUUGCCGAGGGUUUACUUCUCCCUCUCUCUGAUGAGAGGCAGCCGGAGUGGAUUCCUCCCGCGAGCGGAACCGCCCCGUCCCCACCGCCGGGGUACGUCGUGAGCUUCGUCUCCUUCCACGAGCGGGGGUUCGGCGUGCCGGCAAGCCGCUUUAUGCGGGCAAUCCUGUACAACUAUGAGGUGGAGUUGCGCAACCUCAGUCCCAACUCCAUUUCGCAGGCCGCCAUCUUCGUAGCGUUGUGCGAAGGAUACUUGGGGAUCGCCCCUCACUGGGACUUGUGGACUCAUCUCUUCCCCGCGGAGCUUUUUGCUUCGCUGACGGGAGAGAGAAGGGUUCGCGCGGUGGUGCGGGCCGGCGGUUGCAUUCUCCAGCUGAGGCAGUCGCGGGCGUCGCUGUACAUCCCCGCCAUCCUCGCGUCCUUGAACAAAGGGUGGCAGCGCCGGUGGUUCUACCUCCGGAAUGACGGCGAGAUGCUUCCGCCGUUUUCCCAACGAGUGGUCACCGCCGCUGCCGAUACCUGGCACUACGGGAUCCCGCACGACAGGCAGAAAAACCUCGAGCCCCUUCUCAAGGCCCUGGAGGUGUUGCGGAAAGGAGGACUUACUGACACGGGAGUGAUUGCUGCCAUUCACCGCCGUAGGGUGCUUCCCUCGGCGGAGCGGCGGUUGCCGCUUUGGGAGAUGACGCCGGAUGCUGACUUGGAGGGCUCGUGGAUGUCCUCGGAUCCUCUUCCCGUCGACGUUCUCCACGGGCGGGUGGCCGUCGCGUUGGGGAAACCGGACGCUAGCGCCCUUUCCCAGCCCUUGAUGCGCCCCGACCAAGGGUGCGUGACUCUGGUGAGUGUCCGCUCCUUCCUUCUUCUUGCGUCGGGUUGCCCCUGGUUCUUACGGUCGGGAUCUCCAUCCGUCUCCAGGAGGUAGGGUGGCACAAGCCUUCCCUGUCGCGAGUCCCGGAGGAUGCGGUGAACCGAGCAGCGCGGUGGGUUGCCGCGGAGGAGAAGAAGAAAAAGAAGGACGUGGAGAAGGCCCGGGCCCACGAGUGGAUGUGGGCUCGAGACGCCUUGGAAAAGCUCUGUCGUCGGUAGGAGAGAGAGGGGCUCCCGAGGGAGCCAUCGCCGGAAACGCCUGACGACGACGACGAUGAUGAAGAUGAUGACGAGGAUGACGGCAUGGCUGCCCGCCUCGGCUUCAGCCCGGGCUUGAAGUUAGGCCAGGAGCCGUCAGUCCCCGGAGUCGGGACGCCGAGGUCCUGGCCCGAAGAGCGGGGGCAGACCGAGAGGGUACUUGACCCCUCGGCCGGGGGAGUUGAGGUGACCCCGGGGAGUCUGGCCGAGGCGUCUGUUCCCCGAGAGCCGUCGCCCACGCCGGCAGCGCAGGAGAGCGACCCUCAGGUCGCCGUGGCAGUGCCUAGGCAGUCCGUCUCCCGGGCGUCCAAGGCGCCCAAAGCAAGGGUGGUGCCGAAGCUGCCGGCGAGGCGGACCUCGGCGGCGCCUUCGGGGGUCGAGAUUCGAGAGACCUCCCCUCAGGCUCGGUUGAUCAUGGCCCAGAGCGGGUAAGUAUCUUGGAACGUCUUCGUCCUGGCUUUUCAUUCGUAUGUCCCGACCGCGACCUUUCUUUCCUCCUCAGCAAGCGAAGCCAUGGCCUGACCGAUCUGGCUCCCCGAAAGGCCCUUAAGACGGCAUCGGCUUCCGCAGCCGGUGCCGCUCCGGGCCUUGCUGUUCAGCUGACCUUCUCGCAAGGCGCUCCACAGCAGGGGGCUCAGGCGGCACCAGUCGCCGUGGAGCGAGUUCCCGAGGCCGGCUCUUCUGCCGAGGCGGCCAUCGUGCUAGAGGAGGCGGCUGACGCGGACGUGGCCCCGGCCCCACCGGACGUGCCGGCGGUGCUGGCACCUGUUGCUACUGAAGCCGCUGCCGUCCCAGUCGAGGAGCGACCUGUUGCUGCCGACGCUGAGAUGGCCGAGGCGUCGGCGCUUGGUGCCUCAGAGGAGGGGGGAGUGGAAACGCGAUCCGUCCCGCCCAGCGGCAGCCUUAUCGCUGUGCGGCGGGGCUCCAAGGGUCGGCGCCAGUUGCUCCGGUUCCGGACCCGUGGGGCCUCGGAUCCCUUCUUCGUUCUUGACGAUGAACGGGAGGAGCAGUCUUGGGACGAGCUCCGCGAGUGUGCCGAAGCAACGGUGGGGUCGCUCCGGUCGUCGCUGGAGGUUUUCUGCAGGGACGUCCCCAAAAUCCUCCAGGUAAUGGUUUCAGGCAUACCUUUUUUUGUGACCAAGGCGUCUUUUGUGAUGCCCCGCUUCCUUCCCUCAGGAUCUGACGGAUCUGAGCAUCGCCAAGUCGUCGUUCAUCCGCCACGAGGUCGACGUCUGGGGCUCGCUGCGAUCCCUGAGGACCUCGCUCGCCGGGGCUACUGCACGCCUCUCUCAGCAGGGCGCCGAGGCGGCGGACCUUCGGUUGCUCUGCACCGAUCUGAGAGCCGAGGCGGCAGCGGCAGGCGCAGAGGCGGCAGCGGCACACGCAGAGGUGCGACGACAGCAGUCGGAGUUCGACCAGGUCGUCAAUGAGCGAGACCAAUCUCGGGGCCGGGCUGCCGAGGCUGAAAGCUGGGUCGGAGCCCUUUCAGCCGACCUAGCCGUAGCCCAGGUCACAGCCUCGGAGCAGCGUGCCCGAGCCGGAGGUACGCCCUGGCCAUUUUCGAUUUCCGUUUCAGCUUGUUUCCUCCGCUUGUGUUUGAGAUCUUUCGUUCCGGUUGUUCGCAGAGCUCGAGUCCGCCCUUGAUGAGUCCGCCAAGGCGCUUGCCGAGGCGCUUGCCGGGGCGGCCGAGCAGAGGGAGGCCGACCAUGCGGCCAUGUCCGAGGCCAUCUCGGACUUCUGCCGGGUCCUUGGCUUCGGCGACGUCCCCUCAGGAAGCUCCCCUCAAAGUCGCCUACAGGCCUUGGGCGAUCAUGUGCGCGGCAGACUCCGCGAGGCGCUACACCACGGCGUCAGGCGGGCCUUCGCCGUGCUCGCUUCCCACUACGUCGUGGACCUGGAGCGGGUCAGCGAGGGGUAUUGCCUUCCUGACGAAGAUGAAGCCACCCUGGCAGAGGUCCAGAGGCUCGACGCGGCCCCCGCGGUCCGAGCGCAGUGCUGGCGACCACCUUCGAGGCAGAGAUCCUCCCGCCUGCGCCGUCGUCCGAAGCCGGGAUGGAUUUUGCCGAGGGCGGGGACGAAGCCGAAGGCGCGGCUCCUUCCCCGGGCGACACCUAACUCUGUCGGAGCAGUUUCUGUUGGAUGCACGUGCGUCUUUUUGCGACCGCUGAGGCCUGAACACUUUAUUAUCGUUGCAUAAAGUCGUGCCCCUUUUCCUUUCAUCUUGCGUGUCCGGCCCCGCCCGUCAGUAGCAGGGUGGCUUCCCCAGGUAGGAGUCACUUUUCGUGGUGGGUGACGAGUGAGGUGUCCGUAACCCAGAGGCGUAGGAGUCCCUCGGCUCAGUCAGCCUUGCCACUUACAUGCACCCGCGUUCGCUCCUUGGGGUCCUGCUUCCGACAUAGCCAGGGGAACGCAAAAGCCUUUUCGAUUGAAAAUUUUGACGCAGAGGGGUUCCCCCUUUUUAGCCCCCGAGGGAGGGUCGGGCUCUGCCGAGGCAAGGCUGACCCUUCCUUGAUGACUAAAACUUGCGUGGGGGCGAGGUAUGCGAACAACUUGAAAGCAUCUUAAGGGUAGAGGCGACGUAGCCGUUAGACGUUCCAAGUGUUGGUGCAGACCUCGCCUUGACUAUCGGCCAAUUUGUUUGUUCCGGGCUUCAGAACUUUGGCGAUGACGAGCGGCCCUUCCCAGGGGUGCGUGUAGCCCCCGGGUGUCUCCAACAAGGGCUCGGGGUGCUGUGCGAUGGUCGCAAGCCCCCGAGUGUACCUCUCGUAGGGGCUCCUGGCCUUUGGCGAUGGAAAUGCAUCACUGGAGGAAGCCUGAGGGGCUGCGGUGGUGGAGCUCCUUCCCAUCUCCCAGCAAGACGAACGACUUGGCGCGCCGCGCCAACCACCGAGCUUUGGCUCGGUCGAGGGGUAGCUCUCCUCGGUGGAGAUAUUGCAGGUACGGGGUCUGCCAGUUUCGAUUAGGCGUGACCCCGCUUCGCUCCUCCUCGACGUGCAGUGCCUCACCCUCGGGGGCCGAGGGUACCUCGGGCCGAACCAUGGGUACCUCGGACCGAGCCAAGGGUACCUCGGGCUGGGCCGAGGGUGCCUCGGGCUCGGGCGUGUCAUCGAUCUUGACGGAGGGUUGAUGCAGGUCUCGGGAGAAGGCUUCUGGGGGAACCGUUAUUCGCCCCGAGGCGGUACAGAGGCAGGCCUCUUUCGCCGAGGAGCGAGAUGAAACGGCUCAGGGCCGCAAGACAUCCCAUGACUCUCUGUACGCCUUUCAAGUCCUUGAUGGGCCCCAUGCUGGUGAUGGCUGCGAUCUUCUCCGGGUUGGCUUCGAUGCCCCGCUCGGAGACGAUGAACCCCAAGAGCAUGCCUCGGGGUACUCGAAGACACACUUUUCAGGAUUAAGCUUCACGCCUUUCGCCUUGAGACAUCAGAAUGUCACUUCAAGGUCGGAAAGGAGGUCGGAGGCUUUCCCCGUCUUGACUAUGAUGUCAUCGACGUAGGCCUCGACCGUCCGGCCAAUGUGUUCGCCGAACACAUGGUUCAUGCACCGCUGGUACGUCGCGGAGUGCUACGUGUCUAGCGGAGGAGAGCUAGCGCCCUAAGUACAUGCCGUCGUGGCAGCCGGAGAGGUUUUGGCACCUGGUUCGUAUGGUGUCGUGGCCGUCGGAGGAGCGCUAGAGCCUGGCGGAAGGACAGCUGUCGGGACUGUCGAGUCCUUGCUGACGUCCUCUUGCUUCCGUAAGGGGGCUGAGAGCCGCCGUCGUCACAGAGCGUGCAGGGCGCCAUCAUUGCCUAUCUGGCGGAGCGUGCCAGAUGGGACGCCGGUCUUGUUCCCCGUAGCCUGAGUCAGCUUGGGGUAGGGUAAUGAUGGCGCCUCCUGUCGACGUGGUCGGUCCGCGCCCUAGGUUGGGCGAUGUGGAGGCUCCUCCGAGGUCGAGGUCGAGUCUGUCUUCCGUGGCCGUGGUCGAGUCCGAGCCCCUGGGUUGGGCGAGGCGGAGACCGUCGGCUGAGGCCAGGGCUGAGUCCGAGCCCUAGGGUCGGGUGAAGCGGAGUUCGUCAUCUUCUGGGGCUGAGCCCAAGUCUGAGCCCUGGGUCGGGCAGAGCGGAGUUCGCCGUCUUCUGGGGCUUAGCCGAAGUCCGAGCCCUGGGUCGGGUGGAGCGGAGUUCGCCGUCUUCAGGGGCCUAGCCCGAGUCCGAGCCCUAGGUCGGGCGGAGCGGAGCUCGCCGUCUUCCGGGGCUUAGCCCGAGUCCGAGCCCUGGGUCGGGCGGAGCGGUGUUCGCCGUCUUCAGGGGCUUAGCCCAAGUCCGAGCCCUGGGUCGGGCGGAGCGGAGUUUGCCGUCUUCUGGGGCUUAGCCCGAGUCCGAGCCCUGGGUCGGGCGGAGCGGAGUUCGCCGUCUUUAGGGGCUUAGCCCAAGUCCGAGCCCUGGGUCGGGCGGAGCGGAGUUUCCAAUGGUGCCUAAGGCCGGGCCUGACUGCCUGUCAGCCUCACUCUGUCUAGUGGCACUGCAGCCGGUGCGGCACAGGCGACGCUAUCCUUCUGUCAGGUCGGUCAGUGGAGCGGCGAAGUGACUGCGGUCACUUCGGCUCUGUCGACUGAAGGGUGCGCGUCAGGAUAAAGGUGUCAGGCCACCUUUGCAUUAAAUGCUCCUGCGAUUUGGUCGGUCGGCGCGGCGAUUUGGUCAGGGUUGCUUCUUGGCGAAGACAGGGCCUCGGGCAAGCCGGAAGUAUGUUCGUCGCUGGAGGGGGGCCUCGGGCGAGACGGAGAUCCUUCGGGGUCGGCUGCCCUUGCCCGAGGCUAGGCUCGGGCGAGGCGUGAUCGAGUCCCUCGAAUGGACCGAUCCCUGACUUAAUCGCACCCAUCAGGCCUUUGCAGCUUUGUGCUGAUGGGGGUUACCAGCUGAGAAUUAGGAGCCUUGAGGGUACCCCUAAUUAUGGUCCCCGACAAGAAGUGUGUGCAGUACAGAUUUAUCAAAAGGUUGAGGGUUCCGACUGUGUCGUUCCUGUUCCUCAAAGUUGAGUAGUGACUGCAAUAAACAAUAUAAAUGGAGUCAGUAUACUUGGGUUCAUCCAAUGUGUAUAUGAAUAUGGUGUAUGUUUGUUACGAUAAUUUACCCCAACAUUAACAUCAAGAAUUAAUCUGUUCGAACUCAUGGAAGUCUGCUAAUUUUUGGCAUCAUCAUCAACACAUUGGAUGAAGCACUGCAUGAACACAUUGUCGAGACACUUCCCAUCGGCAAAAGAUUCAUAUAUAUCAGAACAUGUCGCUAAAUAUUCACCAUAAUCUAUUAUGGUCCUGGGGAAUUUUUUAUAACAAUUAGAGAGGUCGCGUAAAACUACCAGCAUAUAAACAGAUUUUGAUUUUGUCUGUACUUCAUACCUGCUGGUGUCAGAUUGCGUACCACACAAAUAUUCGCGUAGAGCUAACACAGUUUGCAUCUCCGAAUCAAGUGAAACCUGGUCAACCUGAGGAGUGUUUGUAGCUGGAUCAGUUUCAACAGAAACCUAAAAAUAUAUAUGAAAAUAUAUAUAAAAUCUGUGAACAGUUUUGACAACUAUAAUGAAAAUGAAAAUUACUGAGCUGACAUGUUCAGAUGGAGUCUGAUCAAAGCAUGGACCACUGUCGGGGAGAUCUGUUUCUUCCGCUUGUUGGACGCCGCUGGGAGACUAACAAUUAUGGUAUAAAUGGAUUAGAUGUUUAGUAAACUACUAAUAAUAAUAUAGAAAAACAACGAGGCGGUGUACUCAUACCUUUAUUUGCGGCGUCGCAUCAAAUAUCGGCGAGGAAGAUUCCGUAUGUGGUGUUGCUUUAGGAGUGACGUUUGUGUUGGUCGGCAUGUUCUUGCCACUGUCAUCAUGUUUACCCUGAAAAAAUUGUAAUGGUUAUAUGCUAUUUAAAGAAAACGAUGAAUACAACCCUUCAAUGAAAAAUACAAGCAAUAUCAUUGGGGUUGUAGGUGUUUUGUUCUGUUUCAUUAUAUUUGUAUGAACCAGUGGAUCAAUAUCAGCUUCAUCGGGGCAACUUUCUAAUAGUACACGAAUAUGUUGUUGCCUUAACAGUAAUUCAUGUAUAUGUGUGUCUAUCAACUGCGUAUCCUGCUGGGAUGAUGGAGUAGACAUAUCGGGUACAGUUUGGGGGGCCGGACACGUACAUCCUUCUUUACGUAUCAUGUAAACAAAAAAACAUUGUUUUAAAUAAUGGCAUCAAAACGAUAUCGACAAAUGUUUGAAUAACUUUUUUAUAUUGAUGUAAAGACCAUAAAACUGACUAACCAGCCGUCUGGGGAAGAAUAUCAUCUGAUUUUGUAGUUGUUUUCUGCACAUCAUAACCAUCUUCAUUGUCCCCCGACUCAGCACGGAGGACCUCAUCAAUUAACUCGCCAAAAACAUCAGAUAGAUUGUAUUGUUUCUCAACAAUCUGCUGAAGAGUCUGUUUAAUAACUGAACAAGCCUUACCAACCUCUAUAUCAUAAUGUGACAACUUCUCUAUGAAACCCAGGGGGUGGCGGGAUGGAAGCUGAUUCAGCUUGCUUGAUAUCAAAUCCCUGAUGAGCGGGAGUUCGAUGUGAAUUGUGUGUUGUCCAGAUGGGUCAGGACGAGGUACAUCAAAAGUGUUUGUCCUGGUCUUAUGCUGUUGUAAAAUGAAAAUUAUUAAGUAAAUAUACAGCGUAUAACUGAAUAUUAUGUUGAAAUUCUAUGACAAAAAAUAUAUAAAUAGAAUCUUGCCUUAAAUUGUGCUUCAACAGGUGGUACAGCUGUGUAGCAGGUCUCUAUGGUGCUUCAGAACUAAAAAAGGCGUGAAAGAUGGAGUAAAACUUAUACACACAUAUAAAGUGGAGUUUGAUUUGUAAAUAUAAACGACACUGCUUCUAUCCAUGUACCAUAUAUAAGGCAAAUUAAAUUGAUAAAUGUGAUUCAUAUGUUUAAUUGACAAUGCACAGAAAGCGUCAUAAAUAUGCUUACAAACUGGCAUAAACGUAUGUGAAAGUUAUCAUAUGCAGAUAAAAAAAUAUGAUAGACGCAUAAAAAAAUACCGAACAAUGUCCAAAUGGUUCUUGUCCUUGGCGUAUCUUGCCCUUGUCAGCUCUUGUCAGUGCUUGAAUAAUAUUCCUAUCAAAAUAUUUGAUGCGUGGUGUUCCACGUUUAUUCUGAGGUGCAGCUGAGUCAUGAAGAUGAUCCAAAUAAUACAGCUGCAAAAGCAUAACAUGAAUCGUUGCGAGACAUAACAAAGCAUAAUCUACGUGUAUAUGAAUUUUGCAUAAAAAUAUGGCUACAUAUAACAGACAAAAAAGGGAUAUGCUUACAAGAAUGACGAUGGAACAUCCGUAAAUGGUUGUAGAAACAUUUGUAACGCUCCUAGUAUGCCACUUCUUGGCAGCUUGGCAUAAAUCAUUGAAAAUAAGCUGGCACCAGUCCAUCUCGUGGAAACGAUCCAUCUCCUCAGUUAAAAGAACCUCAUGGUUAGUUAUUCCCCAGCUGGCAGUAGGGAACAACAACCUAUUGAACAGUAUCAGGAAUAAGAAUCUGAUGCUUAGAUCAUUGUUAGACCCUUUCCUCAGACGAUCUUGAAGAGCUGCAACCCUAAAAUCUUCUUUCGAUAAACCAAGUUCAACCCUUAAAUUGUUUGCAGCAACAGCUUCAUCAAUGCCUAAUGUCGUUCCUCCACCAGCAUUUGGUAACCCCAAAAUAAGGUGCACCGUCUCCUUUGUAAUUUUGAGCUCCUUCCCUGGGCCGGCUCGAAUUGUCAUGUCAUUAUGGUUAAGCUUUUCCAUCAGCCAAGCUAAAUGAGAUCUACUGCCGAGUGCGUCAACUCUCAUAUCAUGAAUACUGGAGAACCCCCUCCGUGCAAUAGCUUGGCGCUGUCUGUCAUUUAAUAUCUGGAUGCUUACUAAUACGUCUUGGGGAUUGCAUCUCACAUUAAGCCUCUACUGAAAAAAUGUAUACAAUGAAUAGCAUAAACAUUUACAUCUGCAUAAUCACAACUCAAUGUUUAAAUCAAACCUCAAAACAACAUAAUUUCACGCAGAAAAUGAUAUAUUGCCAUUGACCAUAAAUUCUAACCUGUCGGGGGGGUCCACUACUUUCCUCCGCUUUGUAACUAUCUUCUUCAAGACUUUUGGAGGACUGUCAUCAAAGUUACACUUCUUCGAUAAUGGCAUAAAGUCAUCGUCCUCAUUAGCAGCCUGCAUUGUUUUGUGUCUAACAGUUUCCGCCGGAACACGGGGUAUGUCGACACUAAAGCACUCUUGAGUAGACUGAAUUAUAAUCCGUUUUGGAUUAGAUGGAGGUCGGUCUACGUUCUUCAUGUAUGAUGUUCCUGCCAAAUCAAACAACACAUAUACAUAAAAACGUAAUGGAGCAAUAAAAAGAUAAGCGCCAAUCAGUUCAGUUCAGUUCAUGACCAUGCAUUCCAUUACUACACAAAAGCAUGCAGCAGCACUACUAACAUCUAUGCAUGUUGUGCAAAAUACGAACAAAAGGGGGCCGAGAAGCACUGCUAGGGCCCACUAGGAAGGGUUUGGAGGUAGGGAUAGGGAGACGUGCUGCUGCGUUCUUCAUGUAUGAUGUUCGAACCAAAUCAAACAACACAUAUACAUAAAAAACGUAAUGGAUCAAUAAAAAUUCUGCUCAUAUGCAACAUCCAAUUAAUGUAUAAGCUGGCUAUUUCGUGCGUGCUGGCCCCAAUUGUACAGCGAGAUGUUUAUGGCAUAACAUGGUGAUGUAUAUAUCAUAAUUUUGUCAACAAAGCAGCAUAACACGGUAUUGUUUAGUGCAUAAACGUGUGAGACGUUGAAGAGUAUAAAUUUGUGUAUCCGUUUAACAAUAAAUUUAUGCUGAAUUGUUUUUUGAUAAAUCAAACAAUUGAGUUACUAAUAAGGUGAAACCGAUUUACGGUUCAGAUUGUGUAAAUAUGCAAAUGUAAGAGUUGGCGGUUGAGGACUUACCCGAGUGUGGAGGUGCCUGGUGAAAGGGAAAUAGGCUUACACCUUUUCCUAAUUGAUUUUGGUGGUUGAAUUGCCCAACACAAAUAAUUGGACUAACUAGUUUGCUCUAGAUUAUAAGAUUUACAGGUGCCAAAGGUUCACAACAAACCAAUAAAAAGACCAAGAAAGGGUUCAAACAAAGAGAGCAAAAGACUACCGAAGUGUGCCCUGGUCUGGCGCACCUAUCUGUCCGGUGUGCCACCGGACAGUGUCCGGUGCACCUGGGAACUCAACUCUGAACUUGCCACCUUCGGGAAUUCUGGGAGCCGCUCCGCUAUAAUUCACCGGACUGUCCGGUGUAGCACCGGACUGUCCGGUGCGCCAGCAGAGUAACGACUACACAGCGCCAACGGUCGUCUGUAACGAACAAUAAAUGCGCUACAGUGCGCACCUACGCGCGCAGAAGUCAGGACAGGCGCCAGAAGGCGCAUCGGACAGUGAACAGUGACUGUCCGGUGCACCACCGGACUGUCCGGUGGCCAAGCUGUCAGAAGCUCCAAUGGUCAGAACCCAACGGCCGGGUGACGUGGCUGGCGCACCAGACAGUGUCCGCUGGCGCACCGGACUGUCCGGUGCGCCAUGCGACAGCAGCCUUCACCAACGGCUAUUUUGGUGGUUGGGGUUAUAAAUAACCCCAACCACCCACCAUUCAUUGCAUCCAAGUUUUCAGCCUUCACACCUCAUACAAGAGCUAUAGACUUCAUUCAGGACACAUACAAAGAGAUCAAAUCCUCUCCCAAGUCCAAAGAUCAUUCCAAUCAAAUAGUGACUAGUGAGAGAGAGAUACUUGUGUUCAUUUGAGCUCUUGUGCUUGGAUUGCUUUUCUUCUUCCUUCUUUCUUGAUUCCAAUUCAAUUGUAACCAAGGCAAGAGACACCAAUUGUGUGGUGGUCCUUGUGGGACUUAGUGUCCCGUUUGAUUGAGAAGAGAAGCUCAAUCGGUCUAAGUGACCGUUUGAGAGAGGGAAAGUGUUGAAAGAGACCCGGUCUUUGUGACCACCUCAACGGGGAGUAGGUUUGCAAGAACCGAACCUCGGUAAAACAAAUCACCGUGUCAUCCGCUCUUAUUCGCUUGUGAUUUGUUUUCGCCCUCUCUUUCGGACUCACAUUUAAUUCUAACGCUAACCCGACUUGUAGUGUGUGCUUAAGUUUAUAAGUUUCAGAUUAGCCUAUUCACCCCCCUCUAGGCAACUUUCAAUUGGUAUCGGAGCUCGGUACUUCAUUAGAGCCUAACUGCUCGAAGUGAUGUCAGGAGAUCACGCUAGGGGUGGGCACUUUUUUACCGUAAACCGAAAAUCGAACCGAACCGUACCGAACCAAACCGAAAUUUCGGUUUUUUUGGUAAUUCGGUUCGGUUUCGGUUUUUAGAUCUGGGAAUUUCGGUAUUCGGUAUCGUAAUCGGUUUUCACCGUAUACCGAACCGAAAUACCAAAAAAACCGAAUACCAAACUUUAUGAAUUCAAAAUUUUGACUAUUUGAUUAUGUAAACUAAAUGUGUAAUGCAAUCAAAUUGUUAUUCACUUAUUUGUAUGUGAUGUAUGAUAUAUCUUGAAAUGUUUAUACCUAUAUAAUUUUUACUUUUUAAAAUUAUGUGUAGUGUGUUGUCUUGUAGCCUUCUUAAGUAUAAGUUUGGUAUUCGGUUUUUACCAAAAAACCGAAGUAAAAAACUGAAACCGAACUUAUCGGUUUUCAUUUUCUAGAAAACCGAUCGGUUUCUAAUAUUUGAAAAACCGAAGUUUUUUAAAACCGAAAAAUCGAACCGAAAUUCCAAAAAAACCGAAUGCCCAGCCCUAGAUCACGCCAAGAAGGAGAUGGUGACCGGCGAGAAGCCCGCCACAAGCCACGGGAAGGCUCCAUCAAAGGAGUUCGGCAACAAAAAGAACGAGGGAUCCCCUUCAUGCAUUAGGACGCACAAGAGUGGCGAGAAGAAGAAGAAAAUGAAGAAAGUGGUCUACUACGAGACCGACUCUUCAUCGCCCUCUACAUCGGGAUCCGACGCCGCAUCCGUCAAUUCUAAGCGCCAAGAGCGCAAGAAGUAUAGUAAGAUCCCCCUAUGCUACCCUCGCAUUCCUAGACAUACUCCAUUACUUUCGGUCCCAUUAGGCAAACCACCGAUGUUUGACGGUGAAGAUUAUUCUAGGUGGAGUAAUAUGAUGAGAUAUCACCUAACCUCACUCCACAAAAGCAUAUGGGAUGUUGUUGAGUUUGGAGUACAGGUACCAUCCGUAGGGGAUGAAGAUUAUGAUGAGGACGAGGUGGCCCAAAUCGAGCACUUCAACUCUCAAGCAACUACUAUACUCCUCACCUCUCUAAGUCGAGAGGAGUAUAAUAAGGUGCAAGGGUUGAAGAGCGCCAAAGAGAUUUGGGAUGUACUCAAGACCGUGCACGAAGGAGAUGAGGUGACCAAAAUCACCAAGCGGGAAACGAUUGAGGGGGAGCUCGGUCGCUUUAUGCUCAACCAAGGAGAAGACCCGGAAGCCAUGUACAACCGGCUAAAAACCUUGGUGAACCAAGUGCGCAACCUCGAGAGCUCCAAGUGGGAUGACCAUGAAAUGGUCAAGGUUAUUCUAAGAUCACUUGUAUUUCUUAACCCUACUCAAGUACAAUUAAUUCGUGGUGAUCCUAGAUAUAAGCUAAUGUCUCCCGAGAAAGUUAUAGGAAAAUUUGUGAGCUUUGAAUUGAUGAUCAAAGGCUCCAAGAAGAUCAUCGAGCAAGGCGCCACCUCAACACCUGAGGUGCAACUCGUCGCCUUCAAAGCGACGGAGGAGAAGAAAGAAGAGUCUACAUCAAGUAGGCUCCCCAUCGACGCCUCCAAGCUCGACAAUGAGGAAAUGGCUUUAAUCAUCAAAAGCUUUCGCCAAAUCCUCAAGCAAAGGAACGAGAAAAAUUACAAGUCUCGUUCCAAGAAGGUUUGCUACAAGUGUGGUAAGUGUCGGUGUUUUGGGCCCGACCGCACACCCGGGGUUGCCCCUCAAGGUGUUUUUAGGAGUAGGACGGUAUCAACGACUGUAGCAAAAUGGUUCGUGCUGGUCGCACGAGGGACAGUGGACAAGAUUUGCAGGUUCGGGCCGCUUAGAAGUGCGUAACACCCUACGUCCUGGUGAGUAUAUGAGCGUGGUUACAAGAGGGUUCUCCGGAUAGAGGACGUAGAGAGUUUAUGUGGGUAGCUAAGUAGAACAGGGGCGAUCGUUCUGAAGGGGUGCCCCCUAGGUCUUAUAUACUCGACCGUGGGGCAGUACACGUGAGUAUGAUAACAACAAGUAGCUAAAAGAUAGUGAACCUCCUGAGUUUAUCCCUACGUAACCCUUGCCGACUUAUCCUCGCAUGGCUCUGUUGCAUGUGGGCUUCAGCGCGGGAAAGUCGGGUCUCUGUUGCGAUUCAUUCGCCCGACGUUGUGGGCCGUCUGGGUUUGCACUAAUCAGUCUCACGUCUUCUUUUCUUUGUUGGUUGUCCUUCCCUAGGCCCACGAAAGAAUGACCUUACGAAUUAUUGGGCCCUUGGGCCUUUCGUGAGGCCUUUUACUUCUUUAGUGGACCCAGGGGAUAUCUAUCCCCCACAAGCCCCCGAUCUUUGGGUUGAUUUAGAGGUAAUCAACUCAAAGAUCCAAGGUCCAAAAAAUGUCUUCCUGCUGUCUUCUCUAGCUCUGAUCACUCGUUUGACCAAAGUUUGGUUUUGUGCUUGUGCCUUAGAGGUUGGCAUUUUGGAUUGUAAGACUCUGGACUUCAUUGGGUGCACCGGAGGUGCACCCAAUGGGUGUAGCCCCCGACCUUUGAGUAGAUUUUAGAAGAUAAUCUACUCGAAGGUCUUCUUCCCAAGGUUAUCUCCAUUCGCGCUCCUGCAUCUCGGUUGAGGAUCGGUCUUUUCAGUCUUGCUCUAUGCCUUAGAAGUCGGCGCCAUAUCGGUUUAGAGUAAUACUCCAUAGGGUGCACCGGAGGUGCACCCAAUGGGUGUAGCCCCCGACCUUCAAAUGGAUUUUUUAUGGAUAAUCCAUUCGAAGGUCUUCCUUUCGCUUGUGGAAACUGUUGUGAAGCUACUUUGCAUUAUGCUUUGGAGGUCAGCAUUAUGUCAUCAAUAUUUUGCUGCAGAGGUCAGCGUAUAUUUUGUCUUUAGCAGCCGAGUUUGCAAUCCAUCCAUAUCUUGCUAGGUAGUGCAAUUUAUUUGCUUCUGCGAUUGAUUGGACGUUUGACGGACGUUCUUUGUCUAGUCUUCACGUCGCUUCUGUCGGCCAUAUCUUGUACUUUGCUAGCUAUAUUUGGCUUUCCACUGAUCCUUACUGAUAUCUCAUUUUUGUCUUGAGGUAUUCACUGCGUGCCCUGCACGGAUGUGACCGUUUUGAAAAAUAUACUGAUAAUUCCUGGGCGUCCCCCCCCCAAUGGGUGUGGGCAAGGGACGGCUUGGUACGCUGAGUGUUUUAGCCGGUUGCCUCUGAGUAGUAAUGCGAUGGGACGGCUAGUGUAAUCAUAUCCUUUGCGCUGUUGACUAGAGUCCCAAUGGGUGUAGUGUUGCAUGAAACGGCGUCCGCCGUCUGACGUGUCUUCAGAUGGGUGGAAGUGCUUAUUGAAUGCCUUGCGACUGUUCAGUGACCGCGGUUAGAAGUGAGCGGUUGCCUUUCCCUUCUAUAAAUAACCCCUUUGCUUCUCUGGUUUCUUCACAUCUCUUCGCUGCUCCUUACUGCCUUCUUUUCCUCUCCUUUGUCUGUUUCCACCAUGGGCAAGAACAACAAGCGCAAGCGCGAGCCGACUCCUCCAUCGGAGGAUUUCGGUGACUCGGAAUACUCGGAGGAGGAGUUCUCCUCCGAGUCCGAGGGGUCUCCGGCUCCCGUCUCUCCCCCGGCGUCGUCCGAUGACUCGGACGACUCCCAGGGGAUAGCCGCGGAGGUCUGGACGUACAUCCGGGCCGUCGAGCGCUCCGGGCUCGAAGGCUCGGAUGAGUCGGAGUACUCCUCGGAUGAGGAGGACUCGGACGGCGGCGACGAGGGUGAAGGCGACGACGACGAUGACGACGACGACGAUGACGGCGACGGUGACGGCAACGGCAGUGGCAGGGGCGGCGGCGACGGCAGCAGGGACAGCACCAAGGGUGGCAGCAGCAAGGGCAGCACCAAGGGCGGCGGCGGCGGCAGGGGCAGGGCCAGUGGCUAGACGCCACUGGUCUUCUUAGAUGUUAGUAUAGUUUAGUAUAGUUAGAAUAAUGUAGUAGUAAUUAGUGUAGUUUAGUAGUAGUAAUAAUGUAGAGUAGAAGUAGGGAAGUACCAACUCGUGAAGAGUUGGUUUGUAAACUCGUUAACUUCCCUUUAAUGAAGAACUAUCGUUGAUCCCCCCUUUUCGAUGACUUGUCGUUGCUUUUCCUGAAUGUUGAACUGAUUCUUUUAAUGUAGUAGAAACAACGCCGAGCGAUGUGUAGGUUGUCAUCAGCGUUUUAGAAGUAACACCAAGCAAUCGAACACAAGAUCCGCAUUUUAGAGGCAAUGCCGAAUGAUAGAAGGUCGGCAUCGGCAUUUUAGAAGUAAUGCCGAGCGACAGAAUACAGGGUCGGCGUUUUAGAAACAACGCCGAGUGAUUGAAGGUCGGCGUCGGUAUUUUUAGAAGUAAUGCCGAGCGAUUGAACACGUGGUCGGCGCGUUAGAGGACACGCCGAGUGAUUGAAAGUCGGCGUCGGCAUUUUAGAAGUAAUGCCGAGCGAUUGAACACGUGGUCGGCGUUUUAGAGGCAACGCCGAGUGAGUGAAGGUCGGCAUCGGCAUUUGAGAAGUAAUGCCGAGCGAUUGAACACGCGGUCAGCGCGUUAGAGGACACGCCGAGUGAUUGAAGGUCGGCAUCGGCAUUUUAGAAGUAAUGCCGAGCGAUUGAACACGUGGUCGGCGUUUUAGAGGUAACGCCGAGUGAUUGAAGGUCGGCAUCGGCAUUUUAGAAGUAAUGCCGAGCAAUUGAACACGUGGUCGGCGUUUUAGAGGUAACGCCGAAUGAUAGCCAGCUUUACAAGUUAUUUUGAGGAAAAUAACCGAGUGAUGAGGUGGCACGUCGGCUCUCUUGGAAAUAACUGUCGGAUAUCCACGUGGAAUGUUGGAAUUUCGGAGAUGACCGCCGGGUGAUGACUGGGCACUUUUUGAAAGGGUAUCUGGCUCAAGAAUAUCCCUUAAGAGUCGCGCUUUUAGCCGCCUUUGCUUUCCGUGCCCUAGUUCUUGCAUUUCCGCAUCUGAAUCUUCUCUGCCACUCGCCUCCUACUCUGUUUCGCCAGUGAGAAGCAAGAUGGCGCCCAAGAGAAAAACUGCGAACUCGUCUGCUGCAGUGAUCCCCGCAAUCGACCCCAACAGCCAGUUACCCUUCGCAGGUAACCACAUGUCUGUAAUUUCUGAAGCUGAGCUUCUCCGCCUUGUCUCCAUCGGGGUUCUUCCUCCGCGGGAACUAUGUUCUUGGCGGGCUUGCCACGGGACUACUGUCCCAACCAAAGAUACCCACGAGUCAGUAGUUUACACUUCUUUCCUUCUUCGCGGCCUCGGCCUUCCCAUAUCUCCUUUUUUCCGUGGCAUCCUUGAUUUUUAUCACAUCAACCUGACUCAUUUGAACCCUAAUUCCAUUCUCCAAAUCUCUAUUUUCGUUCACCUUUGCGAAGCUUAUCUCGGCGUGCUGCCGCAUUUUGGCUUAUGGAAAUAUCUGUAUCACUGUUGUCCUGGGAUGGCCGGGGGGCAACAUCAGUUGGUCGGAGGUGCCAGUUUGGAGAUGCGCCGUGGGCGGAAGACCGAGUAUCUCGAGAUACCCCUCAAGGACAGCAUUAAAGGUUGGCGUCUGGAGUGGUUUAUAAUUGAUAAUUAUGGAAAUUCUCUCCCUCCCCGCUCAGGAAGACAGCCAGACGUUCGUACUCUGAGUUGGACUGAGUCUCCCACGGAUCAAGAAGUGGCCGAGGCAGGCGUGUUGCUUACUGAAGUCGGAUUACUGAAAGAGAGAGGUCUGACUGCCGAAGCUGUGGUCACAGAUUUCGUUUUCAAAAACAUUCAGCCGCUGAAAGACAGGGCCUAUCCGGCAUAUCUUUACCGAGGGCUGGCCGACUCAACCCGAGUUACCAAUAGGAGAAUUCCUUCUGUUGAUUUGGUAAGCCGACUCGAACUGAUCCUCAGGGGUAAAGUUUCAAACGUUGGUGCUCCAGUGGCUUACUCGGCUUGGAACCUUCCUUCUCCCAAAGCUUUCACCCUUUUUGUGUCCAAUCCACCCGUGACUGAUAGCAAUUUGGGUCUUAGAGUGUGACCUUCUGCCGAGGAAGUCAGUGCUUUGGUUGCUUCGCUCGGGGCAAUUCCUGAUGAUGAACGGCAGGUUUAUUUCGAAGUGCCUCUGAACCCCAGUGAUGCUGACAUAAAUGAUAUGCUCGAUCUGCUAGCCGAGGAUUCAUCCGAUGUUGCUCCUGAUGGUACAUUGGCAGUGGUGCCCCUUCCAGAGGUUGAUGCGACCUUGGAUGUCCCAAAGCCUGUCAGUACUCGCCCGAGGCGCCCUAGCCGAACCAGUCAGCCCGAGCCUUCUGCUGAUGAGCAGAAAAAGAAGAGAAGACGCCUCCGGCGAGUAUCCAGCUUUGACGAGGAUGCCAGUACCUUAGCUCCUGCUGCCGAAGAAAUGACUGCAACUGGCCUUGCUGACAUUGAUCCCAAUGGGUGUGCUCCGCCUGCUGCUGACCCCAAUGAGGAUGCUGUUUGUGCUGUUACUGUGGAGGAUGAGGAGGAAGAAAAUGAAAUUCCAUUAACUCGGAAAAACAGUCGGCAGUUCGUCGCUAGCGGUGGAAGUAGUGGAGUUCCUUCUCCCGCCUUGUCUGCCCUUAUUGGUCUGCAAGAACUGUCCAUGGCCAAUUUUGAUCAAGCUCUAGAGGAUAUGGACCCUGAGAACUUGUUGUUGGAACCUGCAGAUGCUGAUGCGACAGAAACUUGUGCAGCCGUGCCAGAUGCUGGGUUGAGGUCAUCCCGUGCCUCGUCGACCUUAGAGCAUGAUCUCGAGGGUCGGGAUGCUGACCUGGAUCGUUCUGAUCCCAUGGAAGUAGCUGAAGGCCCGUCAACCUUAGAGGUGGUCACGGCAGAGAGCCUGGGUCCCAAGAAUGGCGCUGAUAUAUGCCCAGCCCCCGAGGAUGUCGUCGGGAGUGACUUAGCUCGGGCGAAGAGUGUAGGCCACUGCCCAGCCCCCGAGGGUGUUGCCGGGGAUGAUCCGGCUCAGGUGGGCAGUGCCGACUGUGACCCAGCCCCCGAGGGUGCCCGAGCAGGGUCUCCUUCCUGCACUUCUAUGGACGUUCACGCGGGUUCACCUCCACACUCUGGCGGCAUGGUGGUGGCUCAAACUCCAGAUCAGGGGGUCGCUUUAGAGGGCAGCAUCCCCACUGGUCUGGCGUUAGGCUCUGCUAAAUGUACUGAGCUCGUUCCUGCUGGUCUGCUGCAAGCUGCUUCGGGUGGUGGUCUUACACCUGAUUAUCCACUGAUCUCUCCUGAUUUGGGAAUAUCUUCGUUCUUCUCCAACCUCCAGGUAAUUGUGCUGUAUUGUAGCUUGGUCCCUACAUUGUAUGAACUGUUGCCAUUCUACUCAUCUGUUCUUCUCAUCAGGCUUUAGUGAAUGGGAUGGCCAGCCAGCUGAGAUUGCAGGGUGCUUCUGUCCCGGAAGUGGCUUCGUCUCUUGCAUGCUGGAAUCCAGUGUCGCUUCAACGUCGUGUGUCUGAGUUGGAGGCAACAAAUGCUGGUCGGUGUUCUUUUCCUUCUUCUUCUUUGCCUUUGCUCGUGGAUUGUUUUACCUUCUGACCUUAUUUCAUUUGAUUACCCCUUGAUAGGAAUGACUCGGCAGAUUGCAGUUCUUGAAGAAAAACAUUCCCAAGAUCAAGCUGAAAUGGCUCAACGGUGCGCUGACUUCGAGGAGAAGUAUUCUCAGAGUCAGAUCGAGUUGAGUCAGGUAUCUGCGGCUUUGGAUGAUGCCAACGCUCUGAGUUCUUCUCUUCAUGCUCAGCUUGACUCUGAGAAGGUAGCUUACGAACCCGUGCUUUGCCUUAUCAUGCUCUUGGAUUCUGAAUGAGUUGAUUUUUUGCUUGUAGGAAGAAAAACGCAUCCUUGCUGCUUCUCGCGACAACCUUGACAGAUUGUACCAAGAUUCCAGCAACUCGCUGACCAUCUUGGAGAGGAGCCACCGCUUUACGAUGGAGGAGCUGGACAAUCAGCGUCGUCAGCUGCAAGAAUCCUCGGACGAAGUGACCCGCCUUACACAGUUGCUAUCAGCAAAGGAUACCAUCAUCAAGGGACUCCGAGCUUCUAAGAAAUCCAUUGCUCAAGAGUUAGAAACUGCCCAGCAGGCUGUUAAAGUUGCCGAAGAAACUACUGUCACUUUCAAAGCUCAGCGCGAUAAGGCCCUGGACAAGGCCAUUCGGGCGGGACGAAUCUUGAUGAGAAGACCUGGCGUGGUUGUCCCUGAAGAUAUAAGAGCCGAUGUGAAUGCUGCCCCUGACUCCUCAAAUCGCCCUUCUUCGUCAGUCGUUCCUGAGAAAGACAUUGGAAAAUAAAGAAACAGUUCGCGUGCUCUGAGCACGCAGUUAGCAUGAUCAAGUACUCGUUAAAGGUUAUCGGCUUAUCAUUCAAAUGAGAUCAUCAUUUUCUUAUUGUAUCCGAAUUUCGAAUUUGUGGUAACGCUACAUGAUGAUUAUGAAGUUUGUUUGUGGGAUAUGGAAAUCAUCCCCUGAACUGCAUAAGCGCGAGUAUGCUAUAUCGGUUUAAGCCGUAAAUGACUUUUAGCCGAUAACUCCGUUAGUAGGGUAUAGUGGUCCCCCUAGGUAAAGUAAGCGUGAGCAUGUUGCUCCGCCUUAAGUCGUUGCCGACUUAAGUCGAUUGCUUCGUUUGUAGGGCAUAGUGGUCACCCCGAGUUAAGUAAGCGUGAGCAUGUUGCACCGCCUUAAGUCGUUGCCGACUUAAGUCGAUUGCUCCGUUUGUAGGGCAUAGUGGUCACCCCGAGUUAAGUAAGCGUGAGCAUGUUGCACCGCCUUAGGUCGUUGCCGACUUAAGUCGAUUGCUCCGUUUGUAGGGCAUAGUGGUCACCCCGAGUUAAGUAAGCGUGAGCAUGUUGCACCGCCUUAAGUCGUUGCCGACUUAAGUCGAUUGCUCCGUUUGUAGGGCAUAGUGGUCACCCCGAGUUAAGUAAGCGUGAGCAUGUUGCACCGCCUUAAGUCGUUGCCGACUUAAGUCGAUUGCUCCGUUUGUAGGGCAUAGUGGUCACCCCGAGUUAAGUAAGCGUGAGCAUGUUGCACCGCCUUAAGUCGUUGUCGACUUAAGUCGAUUGCUCUUUUUGUAGGGCAUAGUGGUCACCCCGAGUUAAGUAAGAAUGCAAGUCGAUCAUAAACGAACCGAGUAUCUUUGAAAUCUAUCUUUAUUGAUGACAUAUUUCCACUUUACAGAGUACAUGGUCGCCCCGGGUGUUUUGAAAUACAGCUAGGGGUAAAACUUUCUGAGGUGCUCUAUGUUCCAAGAGUUCCCAACUUCUGUGCCAUCCGUCUGGGUGAGGCGAUACGAUCCGGGCCGAGUGACCUCUGCUACUAUGAAGGGUCCUUCCCAUAAGGGUGAUAGCUUGUGCCGUCCCUCCCCCGUUAGAAUUCGGCGGAGGACGAGGUCUCCUACUGAAAAGAACCGUUGCCGCACAGCCUUAUCGUGAUAGCGCCUUAGAGUCUGCUGGUACCGUGCUGAUUGGAUUACUGCAUUCAGUCGUUCUUCCUCAAGUACAUCAAUAUCCUCCAGCCUGGUGGCCUCAGCUUCCGCUAUGCUUUCGAAGAUCAAUCUUGGCGCCCCAAACUUGAGGUCAGCAGGUAGCACUGCCUCCGACCCAUAGACCAUGAAGAAAGGAGUGUUUCCAUGCAGGGCUCGGCUAGGUUGGGUUCUCAGGCUCCAAACGACAUAAGGUAGUUCUCUUAUCCAUUUUCCUGCGAAUUUUUCAUUCUUAUCGAAGACCCUUUUCCUGAGUGCCUCCAAUAUCAUUCCGUUGGCUCGCUCAACCUGCCCGUUGGCUCUUGGAUGCGCUACAGAUGCGUAUUUGAUCUGAAUGCUUUUUUGCUCGCAGAAGUCAAAGAAUUCUGAGCUGGUGAAGUUGGAUCCUAAGUCAGUGAUGAUGCUGUUUGGUAUCCCGAAUCUGAAUAUUAUAUCCUGUAUGAAUUCCACGGCCUUAGCAGAGGUUAAAGAAGCAAUGGGCUUGAACUCUAUCCAUUUAGUGAAUUUGUCAAUCGCCACCAAUACGUGGGUGUAACCUCCUUGAGCUUUCUUGAAAGGUCCAAUCAUAUCCAAUCCCCAGCAUGCGAAAGGCCAAGUUACUGGUAUGGUCUGUAGCUGCUGUGCUGGCAUGUGCUAUUGCUUUGACAGGUAUUGACAAGCUUCGCAUCUCUGAACUAACUCGGCUGCGUCGUUCUUCGCCGUCGGCCAAUAGAAUCCUGACCUGAAGACCUUCCCGACUAGUGUUCUGGAGGCUGCAUGUAUUCCACAUUGCCCUGCAUGGACCUCCUCCAGAAGUUGCUUCCCAGUGGACGGGAGAAUGCACUUCAUGAGAACACCUGAUGCACCCCUUCUGUAUAAUAUCUCCCCAAUGAGUGUGUAGUGAGCCGACUGUCUGGCAAUGCGCUCUGCCGAGUUCUUGUCGUCUGGUUCUUCUUCGUUCUUUAUGUACUUAAUGAUCGGCCUCCUCCAGUCAUCAGAGUCUGACUCGGGUUGAUCUACGAUGUUGCACUCUUCUGUUUGAUCUAUUGAGAUACUCGGCCGUGUAAUUUCUUGCACGAAAACUCCGGGUGGGACCUGAGUUCGACCGGAUCCGAGCUUGGAUAGUGUAUCAGCUGAUGUGUUACGAUCCCUUUCCACAUGAUGAAAUUCCAGACCCUCGAACUUAUCUUCCAGCUUUCGGACGGCAGCGCAGUAUUUUCCCAUUGAAUCACUUGAACAAUCCCAUUCUUUGUUUAUCUGGCUAAUGACUACCAGAGAGUCUCCAUAUACCAUCAAUCUUUUGACGCCCAGUGAUACGGCGAUGUUUAAUCCGUGUAUCAAAGCUUCAUACUCGGCUGCGUUGUUAGAGGCCGGGAAUAGCAGCUGGAGAGCAUACUUGAGGUGCUCGCCUCCAGGUGUAGUGAAGAGAAUUCCUGCUCCUGCUCCUUGCAGUUUCAGCGAGCCAUCAAAAUACAUUCGCCAUACUUCAGCGGUUUCUGGAUUAUCCGGUACUUGCUGUUCUGUCCACUCUGAUACGAAAUCAACCAGUGCUUGAGUUUUGAUGGCUGUGCGAGGUCGAAACUCGAUAUCAUGGGAUCCCAACUCGCAAGCCCACUUGGCUAUUCGGCCAAUGGCUUCCUUGUUGUGAAGAAUGUCCCCUAUUGGAAAACCAGUAACUACUAUGACUUUGUGGUCGUCAAAGUAGUGGCGUAGCUUGCGGGCAGUUAGAAGUACUGCAUAUAAUAGCUUCUGAACUUGAGGAUACUUUUUCUUCGAUGGACCCAGAACCUCACUGAUGAAGUAGACAGGAUGUUGUACCGGAUAAGCAUGCCCUUCUUCCACUCGUUCGACUACCAACGCAGUGCUUACCACGUGAGUCGUGCAAGAGAUAUAUAGCAGCAAAUCUUCAGCUGGUUGAGUUGGUGUAGCUCGCCGGGGCGGCUUUAGUACUGGUGGUGUUGUCAGGAAUUUCUUAAGUGCAUCUAGAGCUUCUUGUGCUUCUGAAGUCCAUUGAAACUUAUCCACCUUCUUAAGCAGCUUGUAAAACGGCAAGCCUUUCUCCCCCAGUCUGGAUAUAAAUCUGCUUAGAGCUACCAUACAUCCUGUGAGUCGCUGAACCUUCUUUUGUGACCGAGGAGCUUCCAUCUUCAUGAUAGCUUCAAUCUUAUCUGGAUUAGCCUCAAUUCCCCGGUGGCUGACGAUAAAUCCGAGCAACUUUCCUGCUGGUACCCCGAAAACGCAUUUUUCAGGAUUGAGCUUCCAUCUAUAUCUUCUCAGGCUGUUGAAAACCAGCUGUAAAUCUUCGAUGAAGUUUUCCGGAUUCUCAGUUUUGAUCACCACGUCAUCAACGUAAGCCUCCACACGCUUGCCCCAGUGGUCGGCUAGGCAUGUUUGAAUGGCUCUCUGAUAAGUCGCUCCAGCGUUUUUGAGGCCGAACGGCAUGGAGGUAUAACAGAAGGCACCAAACGGAGUGAUGAACGCCGUUUUUUCCUCGUCUUCUUUUGCCAAACUAAUCUGAUGAUACCCGGAAUAGCAAUCUAAGAAAGACAACACAGAACAUCCAGCGGUGGAAUCCACCACCUGAUCUAUCCUCGGGAGCCCGAAGGGAUCCUUCGGACAGUGUUUGUUGAGAUCGGUAUAGUCGACGCACAUGCGCCAAUCCACUUUAUUCUUUUUGAGUACAAGAACAGGAUUGGCUAACCACUCAGGGUGUAAUACUUCUCUAAUAAAUCCAGCCGCGACCAGGCGAGCUAAUUCGGCACGAAUGGCUUCUCUCUUGUCGGGCGUGAAACGACGUAGCUUUUGUCGAAUCGGCCUCGCCUGGGGGUAGACUUUCAGUUUGUGCUCGGCCAGUUCUCUUGGGACUCCCGGCAUAUCCGCAGGUUGCCACGCGAAUACAUCCCGGUUAUCUUGCAGAAACUGGACGAGCGCGCUUUCCUAUUUGUCGUUCAAACUGGAGCUGAUGACAGCCGUCUUGCGCUCGUCAGCGAACCCCAGGUUGAUUCUUUUGGUUUCUUCAGUCGGCCGCAUAGAGGUCGCGGCCUGAGUUUCAUUCGCCGGUACCGUGAGGCCUUCCUCAGGCUUAGAGUUCGCCGAUGUAGAAGGAACCGCCGACGGCUUGGUGGUGAGGGCUGCCUGAAUGGCCACUCGGAAACACUCUGCGGCACCUUGGAAGUCGGCACGCACAGUUAUGAUUCCUCGUGGUCCCGGCAUCUUCAGUAUCAUGUAUGUAUAGUGCGGAAUGGCCAUGAAUUUGGCCAGUCCCGGCCUCCCGAUGAUGGCGUUGUACCCGCAGUCGAAGUUCGCCACCUCGAACCUCAGGAACUCGGUUCUGUAGUUCUCCGGAGUUCCGAAGGUGACCGGCAUGUAGAUGUGGCCCAGCGGGUAUUCCCCUUCCGUCGGCACGAUGCCGAAGAAAGGAGUGUCCGACUCGUGGAGCUCUUUGAGGUGAACUCCCAAGCCUUGGAGUGUACGGGGGAAGGUGACGUUGAUGCUGCUCCCCCCGUCCACUAGCACCUUCUUUACCCGGCUCUCUCGGAUCACCGGAUCGACGAGGAGCGGGUAUUUGCCUGGAUGGUCGAAGUUGAGCCACUGAUCCUCCCGAGUGAAAGUGAUCGGGUGCUCCGACCACCGGUACGGGGCGGGAGGACCGGUGGUCGCCACCAGUAUCUGGCGGUCGUUGAGCUUUUGUUGUCUUUUGUUCUCCUGCGACCCAUGUCCGCCGAAGAUGACGUUGACCUCCCUGUCAACGCGCGGGAAAGCUCCUCCUCCCCCCUCCUCCUGCCGAUGGGGCUGUCGUGGUUCAUCUGGUCCUCCCCUCGGCGGAGGAGGCGGUAGAGGUUGGAAGGGUCGGCCGUGCCCGACGGAGUGCUUGAAGUCCCGGCAGUUUCGAAGGGUGUGGCGCAUGUCCUUGUGGUACAGGCACUGGGCGUCGAGGAUGUCGUCCAGCGUGCGCUCGCCUCCACGAGGUCCUCCUCGGGCGCGAGAGGCGGGUGGUCCGGCGGCGUGUACUUCUUCUCGAGGCCUCUUCUCCCAGCGUUUGUCGGACGGCUGGUUCGCGUCACGUCGUGGCGCUGCCGGUGCAGGCUUUGCUCCUCCGAUGAGAUCCUGGGCCCGCUCGUCGGCGGUGAUGUAGAGGUCGGCUUCCCGGAACAGCUCCUCGGAGGUAGUCGGCGCCUUUUGUAGUAUGGCUCGGACGAAAACCGAGUCAUUGGAUCCUUUGUAGAAGUCCUCGAUCACGGCCGCCUCCGUGACCUCGGGGAUGCGGUUUCUCAUGGUCUGGAACCUUUUAAGGUAUGACCGGAGAGUCUCAUCCCCCCGGCGCUUGAUGGAUUUGAGGUCCCAUGGCUGCGCCGGCUUGUCGGAGAGGGACUGGAAGUUGGCGAUGAAACGUCGACUGAAGUCUCCCCAGUCGUCGAUGCAGUGUCGGGGUAGAUGUCGCAGCCACUGCAGCGCAUCUUGCCCAAGGACGAUGGGCAGAUACGCGGUCAUGACGUCUUCGGAUGCUCCGGCAGCUCGAGCGGCAGUGGUGUAGACGGCUAACCAACCCCCUGGAUCCUGCUUAGGUUCAUAUUUGUCGACAUUGGAUACCUUGAAGUUGGGAGGCCAUUGGAUGGCCCUAAGGCGCGGAGUAAGUGCAGAUACUCCGCACGUGUCCUCCUGUCGUCGGGGAUGACGUCUGUCCCGGGGAGGGGAGUGGUGGUGGCGGUUCCUCGACCGUCCCCGGGUGGUACCGCCAGUUGAAGCUGUUGCCGACUCAGUCCUGGUGGCCUGGCUUUGAGUCGGGAAGCCAUGAUCUCGGUCAUACUCCUCCCGACGGCGAAUUUCGUUCUCAUGCCGCCGUUCGCGCGAAGCAUUGAUGGAGCUUCGCGCGUCUCGGCGACUGUUGAUGGUGUGUCGCAAAUCGUUCGGCGGGUGAGCGAGCGGUAGAAGAUGGUUGGCCGCCUGAGUAAACAGGCGUCGGUAUCCCUCGGCGUCGGGAGUCCGAGGAAGUCCGUCAGCUAUCCGAGCUAGAACGCCUCCGACUUCGCUCGGCGUGUUCAUAGCUCGAGCGAAGUCGGGGUUCAAGUUGCGCCCGAAGAGCGGAUUCUCGCGUCGUUGCCUUGCAUCUUGCUCGGCUUGCUCCUGAGUCCGACGGCGAUCACGUCGUCGAGAGUUCCUUCGUUCCCUGAAGACGCGUUCUUCCGGAGUUUCUCCUAUCUCUGAGACCUCGUCUCGCGAGACAGGCUGCUCCGGAUCCCUUUCUCCAGCUGCGUGAUGUCGUCGAACGUUCCUGCGUCGGUUCCGUCGUCGGCGGGAUUCUCGCUGAGGCGGUUCUUCUCCAGGCGCAGUCGGUUCAUCGUCGGAGAUGGCGGGCGACUCUGCUCUCCCGAUGAAGAGGACGUCGGGGUAGAACGGUAUUGCUGCCGCGGCGACUUUCUUUCCGUUCUCCUUUGAGGUCGGAGGAACGGGAAGAACGACUUGCCUCUCCCUGGUCUCCUUCUUUCUCACGACCCGUGUCCAUUCUUUCGUCGGGGAAGUAGACAGCGGAGUCUUCCGGGUCAGCGAGCUUCUAGCUCCAGCCUCCCCGGAGACGAUCUUUUUCCGAAGAGCCGGAGGUAGCGUCUUUCCAGCAUUUUCGGAGUUUGUUGGAGGAGACUUCUGUUCCGGCAGAUCUGCGAGGCGGUGUAGAAUUCCUUCUUCAUCUGCUACGGACGAGAUUGUCCCGAAGCAGAAUACAGAUCCGGGACGCACGGCGAUUUUGCUGUGGAAGGUGACGGCCAUUGAGCUAGCUUGGAUCGUCGACACACCCCCUACCUGGCGCGCCAGCUGUCGGUGUUUUGGGCCCGACCGCACACCCGGGGUUGCCCCUCAAGGUGUUUUUAUGAGUAGGACGGUAUCAACGACUGUAGCAAAAUGGUUCGUGCUGGUCGCACGAGGGACAGUGGACAAGAUUUGCAGGUUCGGGCCGCUUAGAAGUGCGUAACACCCUACGUCCUGGUGAGUAUAUGAGCGUGGUUACAAGAGGGUUCUCCGGAUAGAGGACUGUUGGGGGCCUUCGUCCUCCGAAGGUCCUCAAAAACAUGAUUUGACAAUAUUUUCCAAGUGAAAUGUACGAACAGGUAUCUUCGGACUUAGAUUAUGAACAUGAAGUACGAUCAGGACGAAGCUUAAGCUAGACGAAGGAGGAUUGAGAUGGAUGGGCUGAUCACCAAGCUGUACGAAGGUUGAUACAGAGCCGAAGGUGUGAGCAGGAAAGCUUCGGCGUGACAGCAAAGAGUGGAACCGACUUAAAGAUGAAAAGGCUAUUCAGACCUCGGUAGACUACUAUAGAAUUAUUAUCAAAUGUAAAGGGCAUGAAUGUAAUUUUGUAAGGGCUGUGUCCCGUGCUUAUAAAUAGGUGAACUGUAUCCCUGUACUGUUCACGCUGACUUGGCAUUCGCUUUUUGCGUCACACUUGUAUUGUCAUUUCCUUCCGAUUGAAGGUACACUUGUGAUUCAAUAAUAUUUUUAUUUAUGCUCAAUAAUAAAUGAUUGUUCAUGUUUUCUUUUAUAUUAUUUAUAUUUUAUCACCUUCGUCAUUGUCUGAUGAGUUUAUGAAGGUAUGUCCUUCAUAACCUUCGUCCGCAAGUCAUUACAUCCUAAGGGAGAUAAUGCUUUGGAGGACGAAGGACAUUAACGAUUAACAUUUUCUAUGUUGCCUUGUUCUUAACUCUUGAAGUGCUUGAGAACAAGUCCCCAACAUUGGCGCCCACCUCCGGUGAACUCACUUCCAUUUCUUGAGCUUUUCAACAUCUUCGGCAAGCAUCACCUUCGUCAUGCCGCCGAAGAAGGCUUCAGCACCAGGGGCUGGCACGCUGCAGCCGCUGGACCCCAAUCAAGACGUCCUUUCUCUUAGAGAGGCACGAAGCCAGAAGAGGAAGGCUACCAGUCCAACACCUCCGGAGGAUGAUCUAGAUCAGGAGAUUCAAAAUCUGGAAAUCCUUCAGCAGCAGGUUCAACGCAAGAAGGAAAAGAUGGCCAGGGUAGCUGAACUGCAGAGGCAGAUAGACGAAGCCUCUGAAGAAGUUCGUCAUCUUGCUCAGGACGAGCAACACCGAAGGCCUCAGCAUCAAGACCUUCAUCAGGAGGGUUUUCCCAACGAAGAUGAUUGGUAUGACAAUUUCCGUCAUGGGAAUUUUGUUUUUGAUGAUGCUUCUCCUCUGUCCGCUGAGCUGCAGGCUACACCUUGGCCCCCGUCCUACAAGCCGCCUCAGCUCCCUGUAUUCGAUGGCCACUCAGACCCGAAGCAGUUUUUGAUGAGCUACGAAGCAACAGUGUCUUCGUAUGGUGGCAAUGCUUCAGUCAUGGCCAAGUCUUUCGUUAUGGCUGUCAGAAGUGUUGCUCAAACCUGGUAUUCCUCCCUUCGACCAGGAACGAUCACUUCAUGGCAGAAGCUGAAGGAUUUGUUGUUAACCAGCUUUCAAGGAUUUCAGACGAAGCCGGUCACUGCUCAGGCUCUGUUCCAGUGCACUCAGGACCACGAAGAAUACCUUCAGGCAUAUGUCCGAAGGUUCUUGCGUCUGAGGGCACAGGCACCAACGGUGCCCAAUGAAAUUGUCAUCGAGGUCAUGAUCAAGGGGCUUCGUCCUGGACCUGCAGCUCAAUAUUUUGCUAGGAAGCCCCCUCAGACUCUGGAGAAGCUGCUCCAAAAGAUGGACGAGUACAUUCGUGCCGACAAUGAUUUUCGCCAAAGAAGGGAGGAGGCUUUCAGAUUUUCUGAGUUUACCAGGGGCUUCGGAGGAAGAUUCUAUCCGAGGCAUGUCAGGUCCAUCCAUAACUCUACUCAAAGUGAUGAUAAGGGGAAUCAGCAGCACAGGCCGCAGCCCUCCUCACAGGCUUCGGGGCAACAACAAAGCUUCUUCCGGCCACCAGCUCCAAGAGGAAGAGGCGCCAGGGGCUUUGGCGGAAGAUUUGGAGAUCAACCAAGGAGAAUAUUUUGCUUGUUUUGCGGUGAAAACAAGGGCCAUACCACCAGGAUGUGCCAUGUUACCAUCCAAAAGCAAAAGGAGAUAGCCGAAGCUGCAGCACAACAAGCUCAGCCGAAGCAGGUCAUGCAUACUGCUUCGUGCCAUGUGCCUUACAUCCCAGAAUACGUAGGUAACCACCCUGCAAUUUCUGUUGCUUCGGCAAGUCAACCUCAAGCUUCCUGGCAACAACCUCCACCUCCACCACCGCUGCAACAAGGCCAACAGCCAGAAGGGAGCCAAUAUGCUCCACACCAAAGGGACUUCAGAGAGCAGUCCGAAGCUCGUACAGUCAACAGCACCGUGCCGGAGUCAAAGCACAUUUAUUGACAAGUAUCCUACUUUGAUAGCAGUCUUUUCCAUUUAGUUCUAUUUUCUGUAUAAUAAAGAACAUUUCGAUUUUCAUGUAAUGGUCUUGUGGUUGGUCAUAAGGGAAAUCUACUUUCUCCGAAGGCUUAAGUUGCUGAAGCUUGAAAGCUUGCGGAGGACCUUCGAAUUAUUAAAAAUCCUUCGAAGUAACAAAAAGUCGUUCUAAGGAACGCAGAGUAAGUUGCUGAAGUUACAAAAAGCCGUUCCAAAGGGAGCGCAGUGUAAGUUUUUUGCUCCAAAGACGUUCCUAAGGGAAUGCAGAGCACACAGCGAAAAGUCAACGCUGAUACCGCCUAAGUAAAAGGCGAAGAAGCUCCAAAGACGUUCCUAAGGGAAUGCAGAGCUUAUACCGCCUAAGUAAAAGGCGAAGAAGCUCCAAAGACGUUCCUAAGGGAAUGCAGAGCUUAUACCGCCUAAGUAAAAGGCGAAGAAGCUCCAAAGACGUUCCUAAGGGAAUGCAGAGCUUACAGCGAAGAAUCAGCGCUGAUACAAAAAUAUUGUGUGGGGAUAUGUGUGUAUCUUUCGGAACAAAUGUCAUCUACGUAACAUAACAUCAUCACAUCAUUUUGCAUAGCAUAAGCAUCAUACAUCAUGUUGCAUAUGGCACAAGAAGGGGACACAAUAUUCAUCUUCGGAAGUAUGCUUUGAAAGAGUGAAAAUCGUGUUAAGUCACAAGGAGACACAAUCUUCAUCUUCGGAGUAUAGCUUCGGAGAAUGUUUUCACGAAGCUUGGAUAUUCUUCAUCUGAGCACUAUGGACAUUGUUGUGAUACAUAAAAAUUUUUCUUCACGAAGCAUGAAAAGAAGGGAAGGUGUUUUUUCGCCGAAGGCUCAAAAGCGGUACGUAUGUAAAGUUUCAUGCAUCGUAAAGAAUUGAAUAAUGAACAGAGACUUGUAUAUUACAUUCAAAUGUACCAAAUAUUACAUAAAUCACACUUCAACUGUUUUUCCUAAUAACACCUACUCUUCUCUUAAUACUACUUCGGCAGCCUCAUUUAGAAGCUGUUCAACAACUUUAUCCACGAUAGUUUCGGCCAUUUGUUUAAUUUCGUCAUCCCCUUUUGUGUGAAGGUCAACAAACGAUCCAGCAGGUUCUGAGGGAAGAGAAUAUUUUUGCAUUACUAUUACAAACCACGAACAAAGUUUGAAAUAAAAAUUACAACACGAUACAAACUAUUAAUUAAUACCUAAUUGACCUUCGGGCUCUGCGCUCUUUUCAGCAGCCUUAGUCACUUCUCUAGCAUCGUGAAUGCCCUUUUCACUUCUUUGAAUAAUUUCUCCUGCCAUUUCUCGGCCACCAUUAUCCCAGAUGUCGGUGAAAAAUUUUCCACCAACUUGGCUAGCUUCGGUCGAGGGGUCUUUAAUAUCUUCAGCGGAUAAAGUGGCUUCGGAUUGCGCAAGCAGCUUAAUAUGAUCACAACCUUUCUUUUCUAGAACAGUAGCAAUUCCUCUGGCGCCCGAAAAUGCGCAGAUAUCACCGCGGCUGCUCAGGAUUUCCUCGAAAGCUUCUGCUUCAUGACUAAUCCAUUCCAAUGGACCUUCGGGAUUGCCUCUGGAGAAGCUUUCUUCACUAGAAAAUGCGCCAACGCUGGCGAAGCUGGAUUUUAUCUUUUUGACGCAUUCUAUAGAUUUAACAUAGCAUUUCCUCUGGGAUGCACGAAGCUCCUGAGUACUUAACUCUAAAUGAUUAACCAAAUGAUCACUAAGCUCUCGUUUUGUUUCUUCAAGCGCACGUUCCUCUCUAGCUCUAGCUAGCUGUUUCUGAAGAUCUUUAAUCUCACGUUUUUGGGCUUCGGCCUGGAUCUUUGAGGCAGCUUCGUCCUUUUUUACCUUGUCUACCAAUGUAAGCAAAAUUUUAUCCUUUUCCAGAGCUUCGUUUCUCAGUUUAAUAACUUCUGACCGAAGGUUGUUGAACGCAAUUUCAUAGCUCUCAUCUUCGGCACUCUUUUGUGCUCUUAAUGCGUUGCUUAGGAUUAAGCCCUAUAUGUAAAGACUUGGAAUAAGAAUAAAAGAAUGAAUUACGUAUUGUAAAAUUUUUUCAAAACGACUAAUUCCCAUACCUUUAGGCUGUUAUACGCAAGACUGUCCGCGAGAUCCUCCUUCGUCAUAGCACAUAAUCCAGCUUCGAGCUUCGGGAACCCCAUACUUCUAGCCAUCUCUCGGCAAACAGAUAAUUCUUUGUUAUCAGGGAGGCAGUAUAGAAAGUCAUCCUCAUUUGUCCCAUUGAACACCACUGCUCCCUUUGGAUAUUUUAACUCUUUGGCAUAGUGAUUAGCUUCAUGAGUCUCUUCUUCAGAUAAUUUUUUCCCCGAAGCAUGUCGUAUGAUAUAAUCGCAUGUGCUGGCAGGAGCUUCGGGGACGGCAGUGUCAAUCUUCUCAACCAAAACUGGUUCUGAUGUUUUUUCGGUUUCCAAAGAUUGUUCCUUGGUGGGCUCUGAAGGCCCAGCUUCAGCUUUAGCUUCAGCUUCAGCUUGUUGCUUUGAAGUUUCAGUAGACGCUUCAGCAAGUUCGACAGUCUUCUUUGGAGUUGUGCUUGAAGACAUAAUUGUUUCCAAGACAUCUAGUACGUUCACCAUUCUUUUUCUUUUUGGGGUCACCAAUGGGCCCUUUUGGAUUCUUCCUGUUUCAGCAUUCGCUGAAGGACUUAAGAUUUCCAAUAUUUUUUGUCCUUCAAUUCUCGAUUUUUCCGCCUUCUCUGCUAAAGGUGCUUCAGAUUUCUCUUCUAUCUUCGGCACUGGAGCUGGUUCUGUAGCUUCAGAGGCCAAGGAAAUUUCACCAAUGAAUUCUGGCACUGUGGCCGGCUCAAUAAAGCGCGCUCGGUGGGUGAGCACCUUCAUCUUUUUCCUUUGCGACGCUGGCUCAUUAGUGGCACUUGUGGUAGAUUCUGCUGCAGAAGAAGUAUUCUUUCUUUUGCGACCCAACACCGGAUAGUGAUAGUCAGGGUAGACAAACCCGACUGCGUCAAAUACCCGGUUGAGUCUUUUCUUCUUUCGGCCUCCGAAGGCUGCUGAUAAUGCAGUGUUCUCGGCCUUCGAAUAUGCCCCAAGCAGUUCGUCACUUAAUGUUUCAAUGCUUUUCAACCAGUCGUCAUCAGGUUCAACAAAUUUAUCCCCGUAUUUGAAUGUGUAUUUUAGUCUGACCAGUCCGCCUUCGUCGGACUCUUUGAUGGUCUCCUUCGGCAUUUCCCACUUUCCUGCAAGUGGCCAUACCCUGAAGGCAAUAUGUUCUUGAAUCAAGUCCCUUGUCCCAAUAAAAGAGCAGACUACGCCGAAGGCUCUUUGGCAUUCCUCGGCUGCUUCAUCCAUUUUAACCUUUGGCCUUCGGAGUCCGAAGCGUUGCCAGAUGGGGCGCAUAAUGAUACUCUUGACAUCUUCUUGCGUUGUCAGGUCAUUCUUUACAUAGAACCAUUCAGUCAUCCAGGCUCCGGGCCAUCUCUUCCGAAAGGUUGGUACAGGGCAGCUUGACCCGGAGCGGGCAACGAAGCUGUAGCACCCAAAGUUGUUGUGAUAUUGUUCUUUCCCCCAGGGCUUCGUCUCAUAUAACAACUCAUGAAUGUUGCAAAAGCUUUUGGCAUUUGGUUCUAAACCUUGGCUUCUCGCAGCCCAGACAAACAUCCCCAUUCUUAUGAUAGCUUCGGGAGUAAUUUGAUGAAGGUAGAUUUGAAAUGUUUUCAGAACUUCAACAACAAAGUUGCUUAGGGGAAAUCGAAGCCCAGCCUUGAGAAAGCUUCGGAAGAUUACGACUUCAUCUUCUUCGGGGGUGGGAGAAGUUUUUUCUCCAGCAUCAGCUCUCACAAUAGAUAUAUCUCGAAAAUAUCGCCCCUUCAUAUUAUCAAUAUGACUCUGCUUAAUGGUGGUUUUCCCGAAAACCGCGUGACUUGGCCGCCGUGGCCGGUCUUCGGACUCUUCCCCACCACUUUCUACAUCGUAGCUGUCGCUGUCACCAGUAUCUUCAGACAAGCCUUCCAGGAUCUCCUUGGUGAUUUUUUCCGUAUUGGUCUCCGCCAUAGCUAUAAGGAACCCCAGGUUCUUCUCUUCAGAGAGACUCAGCUUCAUCUCGGGAUCGGCCUUUUUGUCUUCAGACAUCUUCGGAAAUGCUAAAAACUGUUUUCAAUGCCGAAGCUUCAAAACUAAAAGCUCAGUAAAUUUUUGCGCACAAGAGCUAAAAUUGAGUAAGCGGGGGCAGAUAGCAAGUGUGCGUACCAAAAUGAGUUUGGGGUAUGAUCUUAUUUAUACGCCCAGUGCGGUGAAAGUCGAAAGACCCGCUUGUCAGUGAAUGUUGCUAUUCUAGCAAAGGGAAGGUGUUUUUUCGGACCUUCGGCUUAAGGCCUUCGUCCAUAUCGCAAUCUAAAUUUAUCGCUAACAAAUUAAUAUUGCGAGGGGCUACUGUUGGGGGCCUUCGUCCUCCGAAGGUCCUCAAAAACAUGAUUUGACAAUAUUUUCCAAGUGAAAUGUACGAACAGGUAUCUUCGGACUUAGAUUAUGAACAUGAAGUACGAUCAGGACGAAGCUUAAGCUAGACGAAGGAGGAUUGAGAUGGAUGGGCUGAUCACCAAGCUGUACGAAGGUUGAUACAGAGCCGAAGGUGUGAGCAGGAAAGCUUCGGCGUGACAGCAAAGAGUGGAACCGACUUAAAGAUGAAAAGCCUAUUCAGACCUCGGUAGACUACUAUAGAAUUAUUAUCAAAUGUAAAGGGCAUGAAUGUAAUUUUGUAAGGGCUGUGUCCCGUGCUUAUAAAUAGGUGAACAGUAUCCCUGUACUGUUCACGCUGACUUGGCAUUCGCUUUUUGCGUCACACUUGUAUUGUCAUUUCCUUCCGAUUGAAGGUACACUUGUGAUUCAAUAAUAUUUUUAUUUAUGCUCAAUAAUAAAUGAUUGUUCAUGUUUUCUUUUAUAUUAUUUAUAUUUUAUCACCUUCGUCAUUGUCUGAUGAGUUUAUGAAGGUAUGUCCUUCAUAACCUUCGUCCGCAAGUCAUUACAUCCUAAGGGAGAUAAUGCUUCGGAGGACGAAGGACAUUAACGAUUAACAUUUUCUAUGUUGCCUUGUUCUUAACUCUUGAAGUGCUUGAGAACAAGUCCCCAACAAGGACGUAGAGAGUUUAUGUGGGUAGCUAAGUAGAACAGGGGCGAUCGUUCUGAAGGGGUGCCCCCUAGGUCUUAUAUACUCGACCGUGGGGCAGUACACGUGAGUAUGAUAACAACAAGUAGCUAAAAGAUAGUGAACCUCCUGAGUUUAUCCCUACGUAACCCUUGCCGACUUAUCCUCGCAUGGCUCUGUUGCAUGUGGGCUUCAGCGCGGGAAAGUCGGGUCUCUGUUGCGAUUCAUUCGCCCGACGUUGUGGGCCGUCUGGGUUUGCACUAAUCAGUCUCACGUCUUCUUUUCUUUGUUGGUUGUCCUUCCCUAGGCCCAUGAAAGAAUGACCUUACGAAUUAUUGGGCCCUUGGGCCUUUCGUGAGGCCUUUUACUUCUUUAGUGGACCCAGGGGAUAUCUAUCCCCCACAGUAAGCCCGAUCAUUUUAUCGCUAAAUGCCCUUUGUCUAGUGAUAGUGACAGGGAUAACGACAAGAAGGGAAAGAGGAGAGAAAAGAAGAGGUGCUACAAGAAGAAGGGUGGCGAUGCCCAUGUUUGCCGGGAGUGGGACUCCUCCUCCUCCGACGAGGACGCCGCCAACAUCGCCGUCACCAAAGGCCUCCUCUUCCCCAACGUCGGCCACAAGUGCCUCAUGGCAAUGGACGGCAAGAAGAAGGUAAAAUCAAGAUCCUCCACUAAGUAUGCAACAUCUAGUGAUGAGGCUAGCUCUAGUGAUGAUGAGGAUAAUUUAUUGACACUUUUUGCCAACCUAAACAUGCAACAAAAGGAGAAAUUAAAUGAAUUAAUUAGUGCUAUUCAUGAGAAGGAUGAACUCUUGGAUAGUCAAGAGGACUUCCUUAUUAAAGAAAACAAAAGGCAUGUUAAGGUUAAAAAUGCUUAUGCUCUAGAGGUAGAAAAUGUGAAAAAUUAACUAGUGAGCUAAGCACUUGCCAUGACACUAUUUCCAACCUUAGAAUUGAGAAUACUAAUUUGAUUGCUAAGGUUGAGAAGUCAAAUAUUUGUGAUGAUUCAAUUGCCAAUCUUAGAAAUGAUAGUGCUAGUUCAAUUGCUAAGAUUGAAAAAUUGAAUGCCUCUCUUGCUAGCCUUAGAAAUGAGAAUGAAAAAUUAAUUGCUAAGGCUAAAGACUUAGAUGUUUGCAAUGCUUCUAUUUCCAAUCUUAGAGAUGAGAAUGCUAUUUUACAUGCUAAGAUUGUUGAAUUAAAUGAUUGCAAACCCUCUACAUCUAGCGUAGAUCAUGUCUCUAUUUGUACUAGAUGUAGAGAUAUUAACAUUGAUGCUAUUCAUGAUCACCUUGCUAUGAUUAAACAACAAAAUGACCAUAUAGCAAAAUUAGAUGCUAAAAUUGCCGAGCAUGAACUAGAAAAUGAGAAUUUAAAUUUGCUCGUAGCAUGCUUUAUAGUGGGAGACGCCCUGGCAUUAAGGAUGGCAUUGGCUUCCAACAGGGAGACAAUGUCAAGCUUAAUGCCCCUCCUAAAAGAUUGUCUAACUUUGUUAAGGGCAAAGCUCCCAUGCCUCAGGAUAACGAGGGUUACAUUUUAUACCCUGCCGGUUAUCCCGAGCACAAAAUUAGGAGAAUUCACUCUAGGAAGUCUCACUCUGGCUCUAAUCAUGCUUUUAUGUAUAAGAGUGAGGCAUCUAGUUCUAAGCAAUCAACCUGUGCUAAAUUGACUAAGAAGAAAACUCCUAUUGCAUCAAAUAAACCUAAUAUUUCAUUUAAGACUUUUGAUGCAUCUUAUGUGUUAACUAACAAAUCAGGCAAAGUAGUUGCCAAAUAUGUUGGGGGCAAACACAAGGGCUCCAAGACUUGUGUUUGGGUACCCAAGGUGCUUGUUUCUAAUGUAAAAGGACCCAAGACCGUUUGGGUACCUAAGAACAAGGCCUAAACUUGUUUUGUAGGUUUAUGCAUCCGGGGGCUCAAGUUGGAUCAUCGAUAGCGGGUGCACAAACCACAUGACAAGGGAGAAAAGGAUGUUCUCCUCCUAUGAGAAAAACCAAGAUCCCCAACGAGCUAUCACUUUCGGGGAUGGAAAUCAAGGUUUGGUCAAAGGAUUGGGUAAAAUUGCUAUAUCUCCUGACCAUUCUAUUUCCAAUGUUUUUCGUGUAGAUUCUUUAGAUUACAACUUGCUUUCUGUUUCUCAAUUAUGUAAAAUGGGUUACAACUGUCUUUUUACGGAUAUAGGUGUUACUGUCUUUAGAAGAAGUGAUGAUUCAGUAGCAUUUAAGGGAGUGUUAGAGGGUCAGCUAUACUUAGUUGAUUUUAAUAGAGCUGAACUCGACACUUGCUUAAUUGCUAAGACUAACAUGGGUUGGCUCUAGCAUCGCCGACUAGCCCACGUUGGGAUAAAGAAUCUUCAUAAGCUUCUAAAGGGAGAGCACAUUUUGGGACUAACCAAUGUUCAUUUUGAAAAAGACAGGAUUUGUAGCGCAUGUCAAGCAGGGAAGCAAGUUGGUGUUCAUCAUCUACACAAGAACAUCAUGACGACCGACAGGCCGCUUGAGUUACUCCACAUGGAUCUAUUCGGCCCGAUCGCUUACAUAAGCAUCGGCGGGAGUAAGUAUUGCCUUGUAAUUGUGGAUGAUUAUUCUCGCUUCACUUGAGUGUUCUUUUUGCAGGAAAAAUCUCAAACCGAAGAGACAUUAAAGGGAUUCUUGAGACGGGCUCAAAACGAGUUCGGCUUAAGGAUCAAAAAGAUUAGAAGCGACAACGGGAUAGAGUUCAAGAACUCACAAAUAGAAGGCUUCCUUGAGGAGGAGGGCAUCAAGCAUGAGUUCUCUUCUCCCUACACACCACAACAAAAUGGUGUAGUGGAGAGGAAGAAUAGAACUCUAUUGGACAUGGCAAGGACCAUGCUUGAUGAGUACAAGACUUCGGAUCGGUUUUGGGCCGAGGCGGUCAACACCGCUUGCUACGCCAUCAACCGUCUCUACCUUCACUGAAUCCUCAAGAAGACAUCAUAUGAACUCCUCACAGGUAAAAAGCCCAAUGUUUCAUAUUUUAGAGUCUUUGGUAGCAAAUGUUUUAUUCUUGUUAAAAGAGGUAGAUAAUCUAAAUUUGCUCCUAAGGUUGUAGAAGGCUUUUUACUAGGAUAUGAUUCAAACACAAGGGCAUAUAGAGUCUUUAACAAGUCCACUGGACUAGUUGAAGUUUCUUGUGACAUUGUGUUUGAUGAGACUAACGGCUCUCAAGUAGAGCAAGUUGAUCUUGAUGAACUAGAUGAUGAAGAGGCUCCAUGUGUCGCGCUAAGGAACAUGUACAUUGGGGAUGUGUGUCCUAAGGAAUCCGAAGAGCUUCCACAUGCACAAGAUCAACCAUCUUCCUCAAUGCAAGCAUCUCCACCAACUCAAGAUGAGGAUCAAGCUCAAGAUGAUGAUGAUGAAGAUCAAGAGGAGCCACCUCAAGAGGAGGACAAUGAUCAAGGGGGAGAAGCUAAUGAUCAAGACAAGAAAGAUGAUGAGGGUCCAAGACCGCCACACCCAAGAGUCCACCAAGCAAUCCAACGAGAUCACCCCAUGAACACCAUCCUCAGCGAUAUACAUAAGGGGGUAACAACUCGAUCUCGUGUUGCUCAUUUUUGUGAACAUUACUCCUUUCUAUUGAGCCACACAUGGUAGAGGAAGCACUUCAAGAUUCGGAUUGGGUGCUGGUGAUGCAAGAGGAGCUCAACAACUUCACUAGGAAUGAGGUAUGGUAUUUAGUUCCACGUCCUAAUCAAAAUAUUGUAGGAACCAAGUGGGUCUUCCGCAACAAGCAAGAUGAGCAUGGUGUGGUGACAAGGAACAAAUCCCAACUUGUGGCAAAGGGAUAUUCACAAGUCGAAGGUUUGGAUUUUGGUGAAACCUAUGCACCCGUAGCUAGGCUUGAGUCAAUUCGUAUAUUACUUGCCUAUGCUACUUACCAUGGCUUUAAGCUUUAUCAAAUGGACGUGAAGAGUGCCUUCCUCAAUGGACCAAUCAAGGAAGAGGUCUAUGUUGAGCAACCUCCCGGCUUUGAAGAUAGUGAGUACCCUAAUCACGUCUACAAACUCUCUAAGGCGCUUUAUGGGCUCAAGCAAGCCCCAAGAGCAUGGUAUGAAUGCCUAAGAGAUUUUCUUAUUUCUAAUGACUUCAAAGUCGGAAAAGCCAAUCCUACUCUAUUCACUAAAACUAUUGCAAAUGAUUUGUUUGUAUGCCAAAUUUAUGUUGAUGAUAUCAUAUUUGGGUCUACUAACAAAUCUACUUGUGAAGAAUUUAGUAGGAUCAUGAUUCAGAAAUUCGAGAUGUCUAUGAUGGGGGAGUUGAAGUACUUCUUAGGAUUUCAAGUAAAACAACUCUAAGAGGGCACCUUCAUUAGCCAAACUAAGUAUAUUCAAGACAUUCUUACCAAGUUUGGAAUGAAGGAUGCCAAGCCCAUCAAGACACCCAUGGGAACUAAUGGGCAUCUCGACCUCGACACGGGAGGUAAAUUCGUAGAUCAAAAGGUAUACCGGUCGAUGAUAGGUUCUUUACUCUAUUUAUGUGAUUCACGACCGGAUAUUAUGCUUUCCAUAUGCAUGUGUGCAAGAUUCCAAGUCGAUCCUAAGGAAGUUCACCUUAGGGCCGUAAAACGAAUCUUGAGAUAUUUAGUUUAUACUCCUAAGUUUGGCCUUUGGUACCCCAGAGGAUCCACUUUUGAUUUAAUUGGAUAUUCCGAUGCUGAUUGGGUAGGGUGUAAGAUUGAUAGAAAGAGCACAUUAGGGACUUGCCAGUUCUUGGAAAGAUCUCUGGUGUCUUAGGCUUCAAAGAAGCAAAAUUUUGUAGCUCUUUCUACCGCCGAAGCCGAGUAUAUUGCCGCAGGUCAUUGUUGCGCGCAACUGCUUUGGAUGAGGCAAACCCUUAGGGACUAUGGUUACAAAUUAACCAAAGUUCCUCUCCUAUGUGAUAAUGAGAGUGCAAUCCGCAUGGCGGAUAAUCCCGUUGAGCAUAGCCGCACUAAGCACAUAGCCAUUCGGUAUCACUUUUUAAGGGGUCACCAACAACAGGGAGAUAUCGAUAUUGCAUAUAUUAACACCAAAGAACAAUUAGCCGAUAUCUUUACCAAGCCACUAGAUGAGAAAACAUUUACCAAACUUAGGCAUGAGCUAAAUAUUCUUGAUUCUAGGAAUUUUGAUUGAUGUUUUGCACACAUAGCUCAUUUAUAUACCCUUGAUCAUCUCUUUCAUGUGCUAUGACUAAUGUGUUCUUCAAGUACAUUUCAUGCUGAGUCAUAGAUUGAAAGGGAAUUGGAGUCUUCGGCGAAGACAAGGCUUCCACUCCACUCCAUCGAAUUAUUCAUCCUUCGCCGUCACUCCGCACCGCUCUCCAAUUUGGUAUAAUCUUCACUCCUAUAUUAUUUACCAAAGGGGGAGAAAGUUUGAAAAAGGGCUUAUAUUUCACUCUCAAGUAUCCGUUUUUGGCGAUUCAUGCCAAAGGGGGAGAAAGUAUUAGCCCAAAGCAAAAGGACCGCACCACCACCAAUUUCAAAAAUGUAGUCUUUCAAAUUUGAGUUAAGAAAAGAUUUUUUCAAUUGGUAUCUUAUUUUUGAUUUAAUUUCAAAUUGGUAUACCCUCUUCAAAAUUAAUAUAUAAAAUCCUCUUGAAUACUAAGAGGAGAAUUUCAUCAAGGGGGAGUUUUGUUUAGUCAAAGGAAAAGCAUUUGAAACAGGGGGAGAAAAUUUCAAAUCUUGAAAAUGCUUCUCAAAAUCCUAUUCAUAUACCUUUGACUAUUUGCAAAAAGACUUUGAAAAGAAUUUCCAAAACUUUGCAAAACAAAACAAGUGGUGCAAGCGUGGUCCAAAAUUUUAAAUAAGAAGAAAGCCAUCCAUGCAUAUCUAGUAGAAAUAAUUAUUGGUCUCAUUCCAAGCAACCUUUGCACUUACAUUAUGCAAACUAGUUCAACUCUGCACUUAUACAUUUGCUUUGGUUUGUGUUGGCAUCAAUCACCAAAAAGGGGGAGAUUGAAAGGGAAAUAGGCUUACACCUUUUCCUAAUUGAUUUUGGUGGUUGAAUUGCCCAACACAAAUAAUUGGACUAACUAGUUUGCUCUAGAUUAUACGUUUUACAGGUGCCAAAGGUUCACAACAAACCAAUAAAAAGACCAAGAAAGGGUUCAAACAAAGAGAGCAAAAGACUACCGAAGUGUGCCCUGGUCUGGCGCACCGGACAGUGUCCGGUGCACCAGGGAACUCAACUCCGAACUUGCCACCUUCAGGAAUUCUUGGAGCCGCUCCGCUAUAAUUCACCGAACUCUCCAAUGUAGCACUGGACUGUCCGGUGCGCCAGCAGAGUAACAGCUACACAGUGCCAACGGUCGUCUGCAACGAACAAUAAAUGCGCUACAGUACGCACCUGCGCACGCAGAAGUCAGGACAGGCGCCAGAAGGCGCAUCGGACAGUGAACAGUGACUGUCCGGUGCACCACCGGACUGUCCGGUGGCCCAGCUGUCAGAAGCUCCAGCGGUCAGAACCCAACGAUUGGGUGACAGGCUAGCGCACCGAACAGUGUCCGGUGGCGCACCAGACUGUCCGGUGCGCCAUGCGACAACAGCCUUCACCAGCGGCUAUUUUGGUGGUUGGGGUUAUAAAUACCCCCAACCACCCACCAUUCAUUGCAUCCAAGUUUUCAGCCUUCACACCUCAUACAAGAGCUAUAGACUUCAUUCAAGACACAUACAAAGAGAUCAAAUCCUCUCCCAAGUCCAAAGAUCAUUCCAAUCAAAUAGUGACUAGUGAGAGAGAGAUACUUGUGUUCAUUUGAGCUCUUGCGCUUGGAUUGCUUUUCUUCUUCCUUCUUUCUUGAUUCCAACUCAAUUGUAACCAAGGCAAGAGACACCAAUUGUGUGGUGGUCCUUGUGGGGACUUAGUGUCCUGUUUGAUUGAGAAGAGAAGCUCACUCGGUCUAAGUGACCGUUUGAGAGAGGGAAAGGGUUGAAAGAGACCCAGUCUUUGUGACCACCUCAACGGGGAGUAGGUUUGCAAGAACCGAACCUCGAUAAAACAAAUCACCGUGUCAUCCGCUCUUAUUUGCUUGUGAUUUGUUUUCGCCCUCUCUUUCGGACUCACAUUUAAUUCUAAUGCUAACCCGGCUUGUAGUGUGUGCGUAAGUUUAUAAAUUUCAGAUUAGCCUAUUCACCCCCCUCUAGGUGACUUUCACCUGGAGGCCGGCCGCUUUCGGGACCCUCUGUAGGGGAGAAGCCCAAGGCGACGCGCGGCUCGGUUAAUGCGUAGGGGACGCUAAAGUUGAUGGCGGGUCGGACUCAGCGUUGGAGACGGAGCUCGCGACAGUGGGUGGAUUGCCUAGGGUUCAGCCGCCGCGGUGGAUCAAAUGCGGCUCAGUCUCUGCGGUGGAGAAGAACGAGGGGGCGGCGCCACCGCCUCCGCGAUUCUGGGUCCCUUCCCCGGUGAAGAAGAACAAGGCGACGGCGUCUCCCUCUAUGCGGUGGAGAAGGUGAAUGCGACGGCGGUCGGACGACGGGGGGGGGGAGAAUCUCUAGGGGUUUGGCAGCCACAGUGGAGAAGAAGCUCAUGGCGGCGAUUAAGCUAGGGUUCGACAGCCGCGGUGGAGAAGAAGCAGACGGCGGCGAUUAAGCUAGGGUUCGGCCGCCGCGAGCGUUACGGGUGAGGAGAGCUGAAAAAAAUGUGUGCUCGGCUGCUGGAUUCGUGGGCUCGAUACACAUAAACUGCUGGUGAAAUCAACGCGAAGGCCCAUGGACCGACACAUGGAUUACUAUUUCGUAAACGGAAACAUAAGACAUCAUAAUAUCAAUAUUUAUGUGGGGACUAGUACGACUGCCCAGAUUGCAGGAACACAAUCUUCUCGUGGGCCUGGAUGCCCGAAACACGCACAUACCAAAAAGUGUGUAAACCGUAACACGAAUGAGCAUAACACGUAGUUAUAAUUGACGUAAGCAGGUGGUACAGUGAGCCAAAAAGUCUGCGCACCUGGUCGGUGCGGUGCGGUCCGCGCACCUGGUCGGUUGCUGGUCGGGGCUUCCAAUAGUUAGAGAGAGCCCAGGCUCUAAAUACUAUAUCUAUCUAUAUAUAUGUGCAUUCAUAUUAUCGUCCUGGAUUCUUGGCUGUCGACUGCAUGGCUGACGCAAGCACGCGGGUGCUGGGUCGACCGCGUCCUGGCUGGGGCUUCCAUUAGUAGGGGAAGCCCAGAGCUUCCAUUACCUCUUCCCUAUAUAUAUAGUAUUUAGAGCCCUGAGCUCUCUCUAACUAUUGGAAGCCCCGACCAGCAACCGACCAGGUGCGCGGACCGCACCGCAUCGACCAGGUUGAGAGCACCUAGAGGGGGGGUGAAUAGGUGAUCCUGUAAAACUUGAACUUAAUGCCACAAAAACUUGGUUAAACGUUAGCACAAUAUUGCCAAGUGGCUAGAGAGGAGUCUCAACAAAACACAAUAACCACAAGAGAUCAAUCACAGAGAUGGCACAGUGGUUUAUCCCGUGGUUCGGCCAAGACCAACGCUUGCCUACUCCACGUUGUGGCGUCCCAACGGACGAGGGUUGCACUAAACCCCUCUCGAGUGGUCCAAAGACCCACUUGAAUACCACGGUGUUUUGCUUGCUUUACUAUAUCCCGUUUGCGAGGAAUCUCCACACUUUGGAGUCUCUCACCCUUACAAAGAUGUUCACAAAGAAGCACGGAGUAAUGGAGGGAUUAGCAACUCACACAAGACACAAAGAUCACAGCAAAUACGCACACACAAGACCCAGACUUAAGCUCAAAAGACUAGCACACUAGAACGGAGCUCAAAUCACUAGAAUGUCGAACAAGUGCGCAAGAAUGAAGUGUGAGUGAUCAAGAUUGCUCAAGGAAUGCUUGGUGUUCUCCUCCAUGCGCCUAGGGGUCCCUUUUAUAGCCCCAAGGCAGCUAGGAGCCGUUGAGAGCAAUCCGGGAAGGCAAUUCUUGCCUUCUGUCGCCUGGCGCACCGGACAGUCUGGUGCACCACCGGACACUGUCCGGUGCGGAUUUCCUUCCUUAUUUGGCGAAGCCGACCGUUGGCAGCCUUGGAGCCGUUGGCGCAUCGGACACUGUCUGGUGCACACCGGAUAGUCCGGUGCCCCCUCCCGAUCGUUGGCUCGGCCACGUGUCUCGCGCGGAUCGCGCAGCCGACCGUUGGCCCGGCCGACCGUUGGCCCGGCCGACCGUUGGCUCACCGGACAGUCCGGUGCACACCGGACAGUCCGGUGAAUUAUAGCCGUACGCCGUUAAUUCCUUCCCAAGAGCAGCUAGUUUGCCUGAGCCAGCCUGGCACACCGGACACUGUCCGGUGCACCACUGGACACUGUCCGGUGCACCACCGGACAGUCCGGUGCACCCAAACCGGGCUGGCUUUGGCUGAACAUAGUCAUCUCAUUUCCAAUUCAAUCUUUCCUGUUUCCAGCACUUAGACACAAUACAUUAGUCCAUAAAACAAUGUACUAAGUCUAGAAACAUACCUUUUGACAUGAUUUGCACUUUGUCCACCACAUUGCAUAGAUCAACACAAAAGCACUUGCGUUGGCACUCAAUCACCAAAAUACUUAGAAAUGGCCCAAGUGCAAUAUCAAUUCAAAUAAGAACUCAAAUUUGUUUUGAAUCAAAUUUGACAUAUAUGGAUCAUUCUUUGCCACCACUUGGUUUGUUUUUGCAAAUCAAACUCAAUUUCCUAUCUCUAAGUCAAAUUCACUUGUAGAGACAUAAAGAGAUGUAUUCCAAAAGAAAUUGAUCAAGGAUUUCAAAAACUCCCCCUUUUCCCACAAUCAACACUUCUCCCCACAAGAGGCUAACUUUUGACAAAAGAGACAAUAAAAGAGUUUUGACAAACCAAAAGCUCUAUUCUACUAUUUUCAAAAUUUCUCAAGUGGUAGCUGAUCCAUUUAUUGCUUUGGCCUUUAUUUUCUCCCCCUUUGGCAUCAAGCACCAAAACAGGAUCAAUCUUGGCCCUAUAACCCCAUUGCCUCACCAAAAAUCUUCAACUAAGAGUAAAAGGCAAUAAGAGUACUAAGAUGAACUUGGAAGAAGUUACUCGUUCAUCGGAGUGCAGUGGAAGUCUUGCAUGGUCCAAGUUCACCUUUUCCCUUUCAAUCCUCCUUUGAGACUAAAUUAAGCAAACUCAAGCACACAGUUAGUCUCAAAGGGUCAAGUUGUAGCACAUCUCCCCCUAAAUUUGGGCAUCACUUGCAAAUGGACUUGUAAGGUCCGGGGAGUGUUUGUACAACUUGAGCACCAUAAAUAAACAACAAAAUGCAUAAGGAACAUGAUCAAAGGCAUAAACACAUGUAUGCUAUAAAUCAAUCCAAGUUCCGCGAAUCUAAGACAUUUAGCUCACUACGCAACUUGCAAAAGGUCUGCUCAUCUAAAGGCUUGGUAAAGAUAUCGGCUAGCUGGUUCUCGGAGCUAACAUGAAACACUUCGAUAUCUCCCUUUUGCUGAUGAUCUCUCAAAAAGUGAUGUCGGAUGUCUAUGUGCUUUGUGCGGCUGUGUUCAACAGGAUUAUCCGCCAUGCGGAUAGCACUCUCAUUAUCACAUAGGAGUGGGACUUUGCUCAGAUUGUAGCCAAAGUCCCUGAGGGUUUGCCUCAUCCAAAGUAGUUGCGCGCAACACUGUCCUGCGGCAACGUACUCGGCCUCAGCGGUGGAUAGGGCAACAGAAGUUUGUUUCUUAGAACUCCAUGACACCAGGGACCUUCCUAAGAAUUGGCACGUCCCCGAUGUACUCUUCCUAUCGACCUUACAUCCAGCAUAGUCGGAAUCUGAAUAUCCAAUCAAGUCAAAGGUUGACCCUUUUGGAUACUAGAUCCCGAAACAAGGCGUAGCGACUAAAUAUCUAAGAAUUCACUUCACAGCCACUAAGUGACACUCCCUUGGAUCAGAUUGAAAUCUAGCACACAUGCAUACACUAAGCAUGAUAUCCGGUCUACUAGCACAUAAAUAAAGUAAGGACCCUAUCAUGGACCGGUAUGCUUUUUGAUCAACAGACUUACCUCUUUUGUUGAGGUCGGUGUGUCCGUCGGUUCCCAUCGGAGUCUUUGCGGGCUUGGCGUCCUUCAUCCCAAACCGCUUGAUCAAGUCUUGCGUGUACUUGGUUUGAGAGAUGAAGGUUCCAUCCUGGAGUUGCCUCACUUGGAACCCAAGGAAGUAGCUUAACUCGCCCAUCAUCGACAUCUCGAAUUUCUGAGUCAUCACCCUGCUAAACUCUUCACAAGACUUUUGGUUAGUAGAACCAAAUAUUAUGUCAUCGACAUAAAUUUGGCACACAAAAAGGUCACCAUCACAAGUCUUAGCAAAAAGAGUUGGAUCGGCUUUCCCAACCUUGAAAGCAUUAGCAAUUAAAAAGUCUCUAAGGCAUUCAUACCAAGCUCUUGGGGCUUGCUUAAGUCCAUAGAGCGCCUUAGAGAGCUUACACACGUGGUCGGGGUACCGUUCAUCCUCGAAGCCAGGGGGUUGCUCCACGUACACCUCCUCCUUAAUUGGCCCGUUGUGGAAAGCGCUCUUCACAUCCAUUUGGAACAACCUGAAAGAAUGGUGAGCGGCAUAUGCUAACAAAAUAUGAAUGGACUCUAGCCUAGCCACAGGAGCAAAAGUCUCCUCAAAGUCCAAACCUGCGACUUGGGCAUAACCUUUUGCCACAAGUCGAGCCUUGUUCCUCGUCACCACUCCGUGCUCGUCUUGUUUGUUGCGGAACACCCACUUGGUUCCCACAACAUUUUGCAUGGGACGAGGCACCAGUGUCCAAACUUCAUUUCUUUUGAAGUUGUUGAGCUCCUCCUGCAUGGCCAACACCCAGUCCGGAUCUAGCAAGGCCUCUUCUACCCUGAAAGGCUCAAUAGAAGAGACAAAGAAGUAAUGCUCACAAAAAUUAACUAAUCGAGAUCGAGUAGUUACUCCCUUGCUAAUAUCCCCCAAAAUUUGGUCGACGGGAUGAUCCCUUUGAAUCAUUGCUCGAACUUGGGUUGGAGGUGUCGGUUGUGCUUCUUCCUCCAUUACAUGAUCAUCUUGUGCUCCCCCUUGAUCACAUGCCUCCUGUUCAUCAUCUUGAGUUGGGGGUUGCACCAUUGUUGAGGAAGAAGGUUGAUCUUGCUCAUCUUGUUCAUGUGGCCGCACAUCUCCAAUUGCCAUGGUGCGUAUUGCGGUCGUUGGAACUUCUUCUUCAUCUACAUCAUCAAAAUCAACAACUUGCUCUCUUGGAGAGCCAUUAGUCUCAUCAAAUACAACGUCGCUAGAGACUUCAACCAGACCCGAUGAUUUGUUGAAGACUCUAUACGCCUUUGUAUUUGAGUCAUAACCUAACAAAAACCCUUCUACGGCUUUGGGAGCAAAUUUGGAAUUCCUACCCUUCUUCACUAGAAUGUAGCAUUUACUCCCAAAAACUCGAAAAUAUGAAACAUUGGGUUUGUUACCGGUUAGUAGCUCAUAUGACGUCUUCUUGAGGAGGCGAUGAAGGUAGACCCUGUUGAUGGCGUGGCAAGCCGUGUUCACGGCUUCCGACCAAAAGCGCUCGGGGGUCUUGAAUUCUCCAAGCAUCGUCCUCGCCAUGUCUAUAAGCGUCCGGUUCUUCCUCUCUACCACACCAUUUUGCUAUGGUGUGUAGGGAGCGGAGAACUCGUGCUUGAUCCCUUCCUCCUCAAGGUACUCCUCCACUUGAAGGUUCUUGAACUCGGACCCAUUGUCGCUUCUUAUCUUUUUCACCUUGAGUUCAAACUCGUUUUGAGCUCUCCUUAGGAAGCGCUUGAGGGUCCCUUGGGUUUCAGAUUUAUCCUGCAAAAAGAAUACCCAAGUGAAGCGGGAAAAGUCAUCGACUAUAACAAGACCAUACUUACUUCCUCCUAUACUUAGAUAGGCGAUAGGUCCGAAGAGGUCCAUGUGAAGCAUCUCCAAAGGUCUUGAUGUGGUCAUCACAUUUUUGGUGUGAUGAGAGCUUCCCACCUGUUUGCCUGCUUGACAAGCUGCACAAGGUCUAUCUUUUUCGAAUUGCACAUUAGUUAAACCUAUCACGUGUUCUCCCUUUAGAAGCUUGUGAAGGUUCUUCAUCCCCACAUGUGCUAAGCAGCGAUGCCACAGCCAGCCCAUGCUAGUCUUAGCAAUUAAGCAUGCAUCUAGACCGGCCUCCUCUUUUGCAAAAUCAACUAAAUAAAGUUUGUCGUCUAAUACACCCUUAAAAGCUAAUGAACCAUCACUUCUUCUAAAGACAGACACAUCUAUAUUAGUGAAUAAACAGUUAUAUCCCAUAUUGCAUAAUUGACUAAUAGAUAACAAAUUAUAUCCAAGAGACUCAACUAAAAACACAUUAGAUAUAGAGUGCUCGGAUGAAAUAGCAAUUUUACCUAACCCUUUUACCUUGCCUUGAUUCCCAUCACCGAAUAUUAUUGAAUCUUGGGAAUCCUUGUUUUUGACGUAGAAGGUGAACAUCUUCUUCUCCCCCGUCAUAUGGUUUGUGCAUCCGCUGUCGAUAAUCCAGCUUGAACCCCCGGAUGCAUAAACCUGCAAGGCAAAUUUAGGCUUGGGUCUUAGGUACCCAACUCUUGUUGGGUCCUACAAGGUUAGCACAAAUAUCCUUAGGGACCCAAAUGCAAGUUUUGUCUCCCUUGCAUUUUGCCCCUAAUUUCCUAGCAAUUACCUUCCUAUCCUUUCUACAAAUGGCAAAUGACGCAUUGCAAGCAUGAUAUAUUGUAGAAGGUUCAUUAAUUUUCCUAGGAACAUUAACACCAUUUCUCCUAGCUACAUUUCUACCAUGCAUAUAGGAAGAAUUAGAAGCAAACAUAGCGUAUGAAUCAUAAACAUGUGAAUCAAAAGCAUCAUAACUUCUAUUUGCAUUUCUAGCAUGUCUCCUAUCAUGAUACAUAAAAGCAUGGUUCUUUUUAGCACUACUAGCCAUAGGGGCCUUUCCUUUCUCCUUGGCGGGGAUGGGAGCCUUAUGGCUUGUUAAGUUCUUGGCUUCCCUCUUGAAACCAAGUCCAUCCUUAAUUGAGGGGUGUCUACCAAUCGUGUAGGCAUCCCUUGCAAAUUUUAACUUAUCAAAUUCGCUUUUACUAGUCUUAAGUUGGGCAUUAAGACUAGCCACUUCAUCAUUCAAUUUAGAAAUUGACACUAGGUGUUCACUACACUCAUCAAUAUUAAAAUCUUUACACCUAGUGCAAACCACAACAUGUUCUACACAAGAUGUUGAUUUAUUAGCUAUUUCUAACUUAGCAUUCAAGUCAUCGUUUAUGCUUUUUAAACUAGAAAUAGAGUCGUGGCAUGUAGACAAUUCACAAGAAAGCAUUUCAUUCCUCUUUAUUUCUAAAGCAAGGGAUUUUUGAGCUUCUACAAACUUAUCAUGUUCAUCAUAUAAGAGAUCCUCUUGCUUUUCUAGCAAUCUAUUCUUAUCAUUCAAAGCAUCAAUCAAUUCAUUUAUUUUAUCCACCUUGGUUCUAUCUAGACCCUUGAAUAAACAUGAAUAAUCUAUUUCAUCAUCAUCACUAGACUCAUCCUCACUUGAAGAAGCAUAAGUACUAGUGUUACGAGCGCUUACCUUCUUUUCCCUUGCCAUGAGGCAAGUGUGAUGCUCGUUGGGGAAGAGGGAUGACUUGUUGAAGGCAGUGGCGGUGAGUCCUUCGUUGUCGGAGUCGGACGACGAACAAUUCGAGUCCCACUCCUUGGCAAGAUGUGCCUCGCCUUUUGCCUUCUUAUAAUUCUUCUUCUUCUCCCUCUUGUUCCCUUCUUCCUGGUCACUAUCAUUGUCGGGACAGUUAGCAAUAAAAUGACCAACCUUACCACAUUUGAAGCAUGAGCGCUUCCCCUUUGUCUUGGUCUUGCUUGGCUGCCCCUUGCGACCCUUUAGCGCCGUCUUGAAGCGCUUGAUGAAGAGGUCCAUCUCUUCAUCAUUGAGCCCGGCCGCCUCAACUUGCGCCACCUUGCUAGGUAGCGCCUCCUUGCUCCUCGUUGCCUUGAGAGCAAUGGGUUGAGGCUCAUGGAUUGGACCGUUUAAUGCGUCGUCGACAUAUCUUGCCUCCUUGAUCAUCAUUCGCCCGCUUACAAAUUUCCCAAGAACUUCUUCGGGCGACAUCUUGGUGUACCUAGGAUUUUCACGGAUAUUGUUCACCAAAUGUGGAUCAAGUACAGUAAAGGGCCUUAGCAUUAGACGAACGACGUCGUGGUCCGUCCAUCGUGUGCUUCCGUAGCUCCUUAUCUUGUUGAUAAGGGUCUUGAGCUGGUUGUAUGUUUGGGUUGGCUCCUCUCCCCUGAUCAUUGCGAAUCUUCCAAGCUCGCCCUCCACCAACUCCAUUUUGGUGAUUAAGGUGACGUCGUUCCCCUCAUGUGAGAUCCUGAGGGUGUCCCAGAUCUGCUUGGCAUUGUCCAAGCCGCUCACCUUAUGAUACUCGUCCCUGCACAAGGAGGCUAACAACACAGUAGUAGCUUGUGCAUUUCUAUGAAUCUGUUCAUUAAUAAACAUAGGACUAUCCGAGCUAUCAAAUUUCAUUCCACUUUCCACAAUCUCCCAUAUGCUCGGAUGAAGAGAGAACAGGUGACUACGCAUUUUGUGGCUCCAAAAUCCGUAGUCCUCUCCAUCAAAUUGAGGAGGUUUGCCAAGUGGAAUGGAGAGCAAAUGAACAUUUGUACUUUGCGGAAUACGAGAGUAGUCAAAAGAAAAGUUCGAAUUAACCGGUUUCCUUCUCUCGUAGUCGUUGUCGUCGUUGUCCUUUUGGGAAGAAGUGGACUCAUCGCUGUCGUCGUAGUAGACGAUCUCCUUGAUGCGUCUUGUCUUCUUCUUCUUCCCAUCUUUACGUUUGUGGCCCGAGCCCAAGUCUGUAGGCUUGUCAUCCUUGGGCUCGUUGACGAAUGACUCCUUCUCCUUGUCAUUGAUCACAAUCCCCUUGCCCUUAGGAUCCAUCUCUUCGGGCGGUUAGUCCCUUUCUUGAAGAGAAUGGCUCUGAUACCAAUUGAGAGCACCUAGAGGGGAGGGGGUGAAUAGGUGAUCCUGUAAAACUUGAACUUAAUGCCACAAAAACUUGGUUAAACGUUAGCACAGUAUUGCCAAGUGGCUAGAGAGGAGUCUCAACAAAACACAAUAACCACAAGAGAUCAAUCACAGAGAUGGCACAGUGGUUUAUCCCGUGGUUCGGCCAAGACCAACGCUUGCCUACUCCACGUUGUGGCGUCCCAACGGACGAGGGUUGCACUCAACCCCUCUCAAGUGGUCCAAAGACCCACUUGAAUACCACGGUGUUUUGCUUGCUUUACUAUAUCCCGUUUGCGAGGAAUCUCCACACUUUGGAGUCUCUCGCCCUUACAAAGAUGUUCACAAAGAAGCACGGAGUAAGGGAGGUGAGAGCACCUAGAGGGGGGGUGAAUAGGUGAUCCUGUAUACUUCAAAAACUUAAGCCACAAAACUUUGAUUAAGUGUUAGCACAGUUAAUGCCAAGUGGCUAGAGAGAAGAUCUUGCACAAUAUGAUAACCACAAGGAGUUCAACACAGAGUAGACACAGUGAUUUAUCCCGUGGUUCGGCCAAGUACAAAACUUGCCUACUCCACGUUGUGGCAUCCCAAUGGACGAGAGUUGCACUCAACUCCUCUCAAGUGAUCCAAUGAUCAACUUGAAUACCACAGUGUUAUGCUUUUCCUUUCAAUAUCCCGUUUGCGAGGAAUCUCCACAACUUGGAGUCUCUCGCCCUUACACUUGAGAUUCACAAAGAAAUACGGAGUAAGGGAGGGAAGCAACACACAGAAAUCCACAGCAAAAUGCGCACACACACGGCCAAGAAUCGAGCUCAAAAGACUAUCUCAAAGUUCUCACUAGAACGGAGCUCGAAUCACUUAAAAUGACAAACGAAUGCGCAAAGACUGAGUGUGGAUGAUCAAGAAUGCUCUAAGGUUGCUUGGUGUACUCCUCCAUGCGCCUAGGGGUCCCUUUUAUAGCCCCAAGGCAGCUAGGAGCCGUUGAGAACAAAUCUGGAAGGCCAUCUUUGCCUUCUGUCGUCGGGCGCACCGGAUAGUCCUGUGCACACCGGACACUGUCCGGUGCCCGAUUUCUUUCCUUAAAUAGUGCAGUCGACCGUUGCUGAUCUGGGAGCCGUUGGCGCACCGGACAUGUCCGAUGCACACCGGACAGUCCGGUGCCCCCUUCCGACCGUUGGCUUGGCCACGUGUCGCGCGCUGAAUCCGCGGCCGACCGUUGGCCCUAGCCGACCGUUGGCUCACCGGACGGUCCGGUGCACACCGGACAGUCCGGUGAAUUUUAGCCGUACGCCGUCGGCGAAUUCCCGAGAGCGGCCACUUCGGCCGAGGCAGCCUGGCGCACCGGACACUGUCCGGUGCACCACCGGACACUGUCCGGUGCACCACCGGACAGUCCGGUGCCCCAGACCGAAACAGCCCCUUGGCUGUACACAGCCACCUCAUUCCUUUUCUUUUUCUUCCUGUUUCCAAUACUUAGACAAGUAUAUUAGUACACAAAAACAAUGUACUAAGACAUAGAAACAUACCUUUGCUUGUGAUUUGCACUUUGUUCAUCCAUGGGCAUAGAUUCACAUUUAAGCACUUGUGUUGACACUCAAUCACCAAAAUACUUAGAAAUGGCCCAAAGGCACAUUUCCCUUUCAAUCUCCCCCUUUUUGGUGAUUUAUGCCAACACAACAUAAAGCAACUAGAACAAGUGCAAAAUCACUUGAAAUAGAACUCAAAUCUAUUUUGAUUCAUUUUUGACAUAUAUGGAUCAUCCUUUGCCACCACUUGGUUUGUUUUUGCAAAUCAAACUCAAAUCUCUAUCUCUAAGUCAAACACACAUGUUGAAGCAUAAAGAGAGUCAUUCCAAAAGAGAUUGAUCAAAGAUUUCAGAAACUCCCCCUAUUUCCCAUAAUCAACACUUCUCCCCACAAGAAGCCAACUUUUGACAGGAGAGACAAUAAAAGAGUUUAACAAAUCAAAAACUCUAUUCUACUAUUUUCAAAGUCUCUCAAGUGGUAGCUGAUCCAUUUAUCGCUUUGGUCUUUAUUUUCUCCCCCUUUGGCAUCAAGCACCAAAACGGGAUCAAUCUUGGCCUCUUAACCCCAUUGCCUCACCAAAAUCUUCUUAAGAAUACAAAGGCAAUAAGAGUCUAAAGAUGAACUUGGAAUAAGUUACCCUCUCAUCGGAGUGCAGUGGAAGUCUUUCAUGGUCCAAGUCCACCUUUUCCCUUUCAAUCCUUCUUCGAGACUAAAUCAUCAAACUCAAGCACAUGGUUAGUCUCAAAGGGUCAAGUUGUAACACAUCUCCCCCUAAACAUGUGCAUCACUUUGCAACGGACUUGUGAGGUCCAGGGAGUGUUUGUACAACUUGAGCACCAUAAUAAGCAACAAAAUGCAAAAAGGAACAUGAUCAAAAGCAUAAAUACAUGUAUGCUACAAUUCAAUCCAGGUUCCGCGAAUCUAAGACAUUUAGCUCACUACGCAACCUGCAAAAGGUCUUCUCAUCUAGAGGCUUAGUGAAGAUAUCGGCUAGCUGGUUCUCGGUGCUUACAUGAAACACUUCGAUAUCUCCCUUUUGCUGGUGGUCUCUCAAAAAGUGAUGCCGGAUGUCUAUGUGCUUUGUGCGGCUGUGCUCAACAGGAUUCUCCGCCAUGCGGAUAGCACUCUCAUUAUCACAUAGGAGUGGGACUUUGCUCAGAUUGUAGCCAAACUCCCGGAGAGUUUGCCUCAUCCAAAGCAGUUGCGCGCAACACUGACCUGCGGCAACAUACUCGGCCUCAGCGGUGGAUAGGGCAACGGAGGUUUGUUUCUUAGAGUUCCAUGACACCAGGGACCUUCCUAAGAAUUGGCACGUCCCCGAUGUACUCUUCCUAUCGACCUUACAUCCAGCAUAGUCGGAGUCUGAGUAUCCAACUAAGUCAAAGGUAGACCCCUUUGGAUACCAGAGCCCGAAGCAAGGCGUAGCAACCAAAUAUCUAAGAAUUCGCUUCACCGCCACUAAGUGACACUCCUUAGGAUCGGAUUGAAAUCUAGCACACAUGCAUAUGCUAAGCAUAAUAUCCGGUCUACUAGCACAUAAGUAAAGCAAAGAACCUAUCAUUGACCGGUAUGCUUUUUGAUCAACGGACUUACCUCCUUUGUUGAGGUCGGUGUGUCCGUCGGUCCCCAUCGGAGUCUUUGCGGGCUUGGCGUCCUUCAUCCCAAACCGCUUUAGCAGAUCUUGCGUGUACUUCGUUUGGGAGAUGAAGGUGCCGUCCUUGAGUUGCUUCACUUGGAACCCAAGGAAGUAGUUCAACUCGCCCAUCAUCGACAUCUCGAAUUUCUGUGUCAUCACCCUGCUAAACUCUUCACAAGACUUUUGGUUAGUAGAACCAAAUAUUAUGUCAUCGACAUAAAUUUGGCACACAAACAAAUCACUAUUACAAGUCUUAGUAAAAAGAGUUGGAUCGGCUUUCCCAACCUUGAAAGCAUUAGCAACUAAGAAAUCUCUAAGGCAUUCAUACCAUGCUCUUGGGGCUUGCUUAAGUCCAUAGAGCGCCUUAGAGAGCUUACACACAUGGUCGGGGAACCGAUCAUCCUCGAAGCCAGGGGGUUGCUCUACGUACACCUCCUCCUUGAUCGGCCCGUUGAGGAAAGCGCUCUUCACAUCCAUUUGGUACAACCUGAAAGAAUGGUGAGCGGCAUAUGCUAGCAAGAUUCGAAUUGACUCUAGCCUAGCCACAGGAGCAAAAGUCUCCUCGAAAUCCAAACCUGCGACUUGGGCAUAACCUUUUGCCACAAGUCGAGCCUUGUUUCUCGUCACCACCCCGUGCUCGUCCUGUUUGUUGCGGAACACCCACUUGGUUCCCACAACAUUUUGCUUCGGACGAGGCACCAGCGUCCAAACUUCAUUUCUCUUGAAGUUGUUGAGCUCCUCCUGCAUGGCCAACACCCAGUCCGGAUCUAGCAAGGCCUCCUCUACCCUGAAAGGCUCAAUAGAAGAGACAAAGGAGUAAUGCUCACAAAAAUUAACUAAUCGAGAACGAGUAGUUACUCCCUUGCUAAUGUCACCCAGAAUUUGGUCGACGGGAUGAUCCCUUUGAAUCAUCGCUCGAACUUGGGUUGGAGGUGCAGGUUGUGCAUCUUCCUCCAUCACAUGAUCAUCUUGUGCUCCCCCUUGAUCACACGCCUCCUGUUGAUGAACCUGUUCAUCAUCUUGAGUUGGGGGUAGCACCAUAGUUGAGGAAGAUGGUUGAUCUUGCUCAUCUUGUUCCUGUGGCCGCACUUCUCCAAUCGCCAUGGUUCGUAUAGCGGCCGUCGGAACAUCUUCUUCAUCUAUAUCAUCACAAUCAACAACUUGCUCUCUUGGAGAGCCAUUAGUCUCAUCAAAUACAACGUCGCUAGAAACUUCAACCAAACCUGAUGAUUUGUUGAAGACUCUAUACGCCUUUGUAUUUGAGUCAUAACCUAACAAAAACCCUUCUACAGCUUUGGGAGCAAAUUUAGAAUUUCUACCCUUCUUCACUAGAAUGUAGCACUUGCUCCCAAAUACACGAAAGUACGAUACAUUGGGUUUGUUACCGGUUAGAAGCUCAUAUGACGUCUUCUUGAGGAGGCGGUGAAGGUAGACCCUGUUGAUGGCGUGGCAAGCCGUGUUCACGGCUUCCGACCAAAAACGCUCGGGGGUCUUGAAUUCUCCAAGCAUAGUCCUCGCCAUGUCGAUUAGCGUCCUGUUCUUUCUCUCUACCACACCAUUUUGCUGUGGUGUGUAGGGAGCGGAGAACUCAUGCUUGAUCCCUUCCUCCUCAAGGAACUCCUCCACUUGAAGGUUCUUGAACUCGGACCCGUUGUCGCUUCUUAUCUUCUUCACCUUGAGCUCAAACUCAUUUUGAGCUCUCCUGAGGAAGCGCUUGAGGGUCCCUUGGGUUUCAGACUUAUCCUGCAAAAAGAACACCCAAGUGAAGCGGGAAAAGUCAUCAACAAUAACUAAACCAUACUUACUCCCUCCUAUGCUCAGAUAGGCGACGGGUCCGAAGAGGUCCAUAUGCAGCAGCUCCAGGGGUCUUGAAGUGGUCAUCACAUUCUUGCUGUGAUGUGCUCCUCCCACUUGUUUACCUGCUUGACAAGCUGCACAAGGUCUAUCUUUUUCGAAUUGUACGUUAGUCAACCCUAUCACGUGUUCUCCCUUUAGAAGCUUGUGAAGGUUCUUCAUCCCCACAUGUGCUAAGCGGCGAUGCCACAGCCAGCCCAUGCUAGUCUUAGCAAUUAAGCAUGCAUCUAGACCGGCCUCUUCUUUUGCAAAAUCAACUAAGUAGAGCUUGCCGUCUAACACACCCUUAAAAGCUAGUGAACCAUCACUUCUUCUAAAGACAGACACAUCUACAUUUGUAAAUAGACAGUUAUAUCCCAUAUGACAUAAUUGACUAACAGAUAGCAAAUUAUAUCCAAGACUCUCCACUAAAAACACAUUAGAGAUAGAAUGCUCAUUGGAAAUUGCAAUUUUACCUAACCCUUUCACCUUGCCUUGAUUCCCAUCACCGAAUAUAAUUGAAUCUUGGGAAUCCUUAUUCUUGACGUAGGAGGUGAACAUUUUCUUCUCCCCCGUCAUAUGGUUUGUGCAUCCGCUGUCGAUAAUCCAGCUUGAACCCCCGGAUGCAUAAACCUGCAAGGCAAAUUUAGGCUUGGGACUUAGGUACCCAACUCUUGUUGGGUCCUACAAGGUUAGUGCAAAUUUCCUUAGGGACCCAAAUGCAAGUUUUGUCUCCCUUGCAUUUUGCCCCUAACUUCCUAGCAACUAUCUUCCUAUCCUUUCUACAAAUAGCAAAGGAAGCAUUUAAAGCACAAUAAAUUGUAGAAGGUUCAUUUACUACUUUCCUAGGAGCAUGAAUAGUAUUCUUUCUAGGCACGUGAUGAAUAGCAUUUCUCCUAGUCAUACUUCUACCAUGCAUAUAGGAAGAACUAGAAGCAGUCAUGGCAUAAGAAUCAUAAGCAUGUGAAUCAAAAGCAUCAUAACUUCUACAAGCAUUUCUAGAAUUUUUUCUAUCAUGAUACAAAAAGGCAUGGUUCUUUUUAGCACUAGUAGCCAUAGGGGCCUUCCCUUUCUCCUUAGCAGGAAUGGGAGCCUUAUGGCUUGUUAAGUUCUUGGCUUCCCUUUUGUAGCCAAGUCCAUCCUUAAUUGAGGGGUGUCUACCGAUCGUGUAGGCAUCCCUUGCAAAUUUUAGUUUAUCAAAUUCAUUCUUGUUAGUCUUAAGUUGGGCAUUAAGACUAGCCAAUUCCUCAGUUAGUUUGGAAAUUGAAACUAAAUGAUCGCUACAAGCAUCAACAUCGAAAUCUUUACACCUAGUGCAAAUCUUAACAUGUUCUACACAAGAUGUUGAUUUACUAGAUUUUUCUAGUUUAGCAUUUAAAUCAUCAUUUAUGCUCUUUAAACUAGCAAUUGAAUCAUGACAUGUAGACAACUCAUAAGAAAGCAUUUCAUUUCUCUUAAUCUCUAAUGCAAGUGAUUUUUGUGCUUCUACAAACUUGUCAUGUUCUUCAUACAACAAAUCCUCUUGCUUUUCUAAAAGCACAUUCUUAUCAUUCAAGGCAUCAAUCAAUUCAUUGAUUUUGUCUAUCUUAGAUCUAUCUAAGCCCUUGAAUAAGCAUGAAUAGUCUAUGUCAUCAUCAUCACUAGACUCAUUAUCACUAGAAGAAGCAUAAGUGGAGUCUCGAGUACUCACCUUCUUCUCCCUUCCCAUAAGGCAUGUGUGACGCUCGUUGGGGAAGAGGGAUGACUUGUUGAAGGCGGUGGCGGCGAGUCCUUCAUUGUCGGAGUCGGAGGAGCAAUCCGAAUCCCACUCCUUUCCGAUGUGUGCCUCGCCCUUGGCCUUCUUGUAAUUCUUCUUCUUUUCCCUCUUGUUCCCCUGUUCCUGGUCACUAUCGUUAUCGGGGCAGUUAGCGAUAAAAUGACCAAUCUUACCGCACUUGAAGCAUGAGCGCUUCCCCUUUGUCUUGGUCUUGCUUGGCUGCCCCUUGUGACCUUUUAGCACCGUCUUGAAGCGUUUGAUGAUGAGAGCCAUCUCUUCAUUAUUAAGUCCGGCCGCCUCAAUUUGUGCCACCUUGCUAGGUAGCGCCUCCUUGCUUCUUGUUGCCUUGAGAGCAAGGGGUUGAUGCUCGUUGAUCGGUCCAUUCAAGGCGUCGUCCACGUAUCUUGCCUCCUUGAUCAUCAUCCGCCCGCUUACGAAUUUUCCGAGUACCUCCUCUGGCGUCAUCUUCGUGUACCUGGGAUUCUCACGAAUAUUGUUCACGAGAUGAGGAUCAAGAACGGUAAAUGACCUUAGCAUUAGGCGGACGACGUCGUGAUCCGUCCAUCGUGUGCUUCCGUAGCUCCUUAUUUUGUUGAUAAGGGUCUUGAGCCGGUUGUAUGUUUGGGUUGGCUCCUCGCCCCUUAUCAUUGCAAACCUUCCAAGCUCGCCCUCCACCAACUCCAUUUUGGUGAGCAUGGUGAUGUCGUUCCCCUCGUGAGAAAUCUUGAGGGUGUCCCAUAUCUGCUUGGCAUUGUCCAAGCCACUCACCUUAUUGUACUCGUCCCUGCACAAAGAGGCUAGCAACACAGUAGUAGCUUGUGCAUUUUUAUGAAUUUGUUCAUUAAUAAACAUAGGGCUAUCCGAGCUAUCAAAUUUCAUUCCAUUCUCUACGAUCUCCCAUAUGCUUGGAUGGAGAGAGAAUAAAUGACUACGCAUUUUGUGACUCCAAAAUCCGUAGUCCUCCCCAUCAAAGUGUGGAGGUUUGCCGAGAGGAAUGGAAAGCAAAUGCGAAUUCGAACUAUGUGGAAUACGAGAAUAGUCAAAUGAAAAGUUCGAAUUGACCGUCUUCCUGUAGUCGUUGUCGUCGUCCUUUUGGGAAGAAGAGGAUUCGUCACUGUCGUAGUAGACGAUCUCCUUGAUGCGCCUUGUCUUCUUCUUCUUCCCAUCUUUACGUCUGUGGCCCGAGCCAGAGUCGUUGGAUUUAUCAUCUUUUGGCUCGUUGACGAAGGACUCCUUUUCCUUGUCGUUGAUCAUGAUUCCCUUCCCCUUAGGAUCCAUCUCUUCGGGCGGUUAGUCCCUUUCUUGAAGAGAACGGCUCUGAUACCAAUUGAGAGCACCUAGAGGGGGGGUGAAUAGGUGAUCCUGUAUACUUCAAAAACUUAAGCCACAAAACUUUGAUUAAGUGUUAGCACAGUUAAUGCCAAGUGGCUAGAGAGAAGAUCUUGCACAUUAUGAUAACCACAAGGAGUUCAACACAGAGUAGACACAGUGAUUUAUCCCGUGGUUCGGCCAAGUACAAAACUUGCCUACUCCACGUUGUGGCGUCCCAAUGGACGAGAGUUGCACUCAACUCCUCUCAAGUGAUCCAAUGAUCAACUUGAAUACCACAGUGUUAUGCUUUUCCUUUCAAUAUCCCGUUUGCGAGGAAUCUCCACAACUUGGAGUCUCUCGCCCUUACACUUGAGAUUCACAAAGAAAUACGGAGUAAGGGAGGGAAGCAACACACAGAAAUCCACAGCAAAAUGCGCACACACACGGCCAAGAAUCGAGCUCAAAAGACUAUCUCAAAGUUCUCACUAGAACGGAGCUCGAAUCACUUAAAAUGACAAACGAAUGCGCAAAGACUGAGUGUGGAUGAUCAAGAAUGCUCUAAGGUUGCUUGGUGUACUCCUCCAUGCGCCUAGGGGUCCCUUUUAUAGCCCCAAGGCAGCUAGGAGCCGUUGAGAACAAAUCUGGAAGGCCAUCUUUGCCUUCUGUCGUCGGGCGCACCGGACAGUCCGGUGCACACCGGACACUGUCCGGUGCCCGAUUUCUUUCCUUAAACAGUGCAGUCGACCGUUGCUGAUCUGGGAGCCGUUGGCGCACCAGACAUGUCCGAUGCACACCGGACAGUCCGGUGCCCCCUUCCGACCGUUGGCUUGGCCACGUGUCGCGCGCUGAAUCCGCGGCCGACCGUUGGCCCUAGCCGACCGUUGGCUCACCGGACGGUCCGGUGCACACCGGACAGUCCGAUGAAUUUUAGCCGUACGCCGUCGGCGAAUUCCCGAGAGCGGCCACUUCGGUCGAGGCAGCCUGGCGCACCGGACACUGUCCGGUGCACCACCGGACAGUCCGGUGCCCCAGACCGAAACAGCCCCUUGGCUGUACACAGCCACCUCAUUCCUUUUCUUUUUCUUCCUGUUUCCAAUACUUAGACAAGUAUAUUAGUACACAAAAACAAUGUACUAAGACAUAGAAACAUACCUUUGCUUGUGAUUUGCACUUUGUUCAUCCAUGGGCAUAGAUUCACAUUUAAGCACUUGUGUUGACACUCAAUCACCAAAAUACUUAGAAAUGGCCCAAAGGCACAUUUCCCUUUCAGGAGGGAUUAGCAACUCACACAAGACACAAAGAUCACAACAAAUACGCACACACAAGACCCAGACUUAAGCUCAAAAGACUAGCACACUAGAACGGAGCUCAAAUCACUAGAAUGUCGAACAAGUGCGCAAGAAUGAAGUGUGAGUGAUCAAGAUUGCUCAAGGAAUGCUUGGUGUUCUCCUCCAUGCGCCUAGGGGUCCCUUUUAUAGCCCCAAGGCAGCUAGGAGCCGUUGAGAGCAAUCCGGGAAGGCAAUUCUUGCCUUCUGUCGCCUGGCGCAUCGGACAGUCCGGUGCACCACCGGACACUGUCCGGUGCGGAUUUCCUUCCUUAUUUGGCGAAGCCGACCGUUGGCAGCCUUGGAGCCGUUGGCACACCGGACACUGUCCGGUGGACACCGGAAAGUCCGGUGCCCCCUCCCAAUCGUUGGCUCGGUCAUGUGUCUCGCGCGGAUCGCGCAGCCGACCAUUGGCCCGGCCAACCGUUGGCUCACCGGACAGUCCGGUGCACACCGGACAGUCCAGUGAAUUAUAGUCGUACGCCGUUAAUUCCUUCCCGAGAGCAGCUAGUUUGCCUGAGCCAGCCUGGCACAUCGGACACUGUCCGGUGCACCACCGGACAGUCCGGUGCACCCAGACCGGGCUGGCUUUGGCUGAACAUAGCCAUCUCAUUUCCAAUUCAAUCUUUCCUGUUUCCAGCACUUAGACACAAUACAUUAGUCCAUAAAACAAUGUACUAAGUCUAGGAACAUACCUUUUGACAUGAUUUGCACUUUGUCCACCACAUUGCAUAGAUCAACACAAAAGCACUUGCGUUGGCACUCAAUCACCAAAAUACUUAGAAAUGGCCCAAGGGCACAUUUCCCUUUCACAAGUGCGUAGACUUUUUGGCUCACUGUACCCCAUGAAGCAGAUGGGAAUAGAAGGCGAUUGAAUAAAAUCAGGAAAAAAAUCUAAUGGAUAACUCAUCAUCAUUCCCAAUAACUAGCUUGUCCUGUAGCUUAAUGACAUCAAACUCUUCUUUAGAAAUGUUGAGAUCCUAUCUCAGUUUUGAAGCAGCGUCAAUUUCACCAUACCAAUCAGUGAAAUCCCUGCCACCUCCAGCACUUGGCAAUCCCAAUAUGAGACGAACUGUCUCUUUUGUGAUCUUGAGUUCUUUACCAGCCCCUGGGUGUAUUGUCAUGUCAUCUGGAUCCAGCUUAUCCAUCAACCACCGUAUGAGAGACCUGCUCUCUAAUGCAUCGGUACACAAAUCAAAUAUACUUUGAAAUCCCAACCUAGCAACAGCGUCACGCUGUCGAUCACUCAUUAUCCAAGUUGACACAAUGACAUCAUACGGGAUGCAACAGAUAUUCAAUUUCUACUGGAAUAAAUGAAUAUGUAUUAAUACAUAGUGUAUAUAUAUUGUUAUAACUAAGGAUAAUAUAGUUCUACAUAUAAUAUUUAUUGGAUGGUUGUAAAUAACUAUAGUCUAACAACACUAACAAAAUAAAAAGCAUACCAAAAUAAUAAUAUAUAAAAUGUAACAUUUGGGUAAUACAACAUUGAUUGUGCACCAAAAUUAACACCUAAACAAAAAUAAAUAUAUGCAUAGUACCUGGUAUUUUCUGGGUGUCCUCUGUUUGGAUGAGCUUGUUUUCAUAAUGUUCUUUGACUUGACAUCAAUAUCAGACUUUGAUCUGCUUGACACAAUGGGGACUUGUGGGGGAGGGAUGUCCAUUUUCAAUACACGAGACUUCUUCUUUGAACGUUUAUUUACUGAAGUGGAGGGUACAGCUGAUCUGAAAUUGCGCUUCAAUGUUGGAGCAUCCAUGAAAUCAUCAUCAGACAAUGCAGAUGGAGUUGUAGGCUGAUUUUUUUUUAUCAGACAAGCUAGUGCCUUUCUAUGGACACGAGUAACUGGUGUUGGCUGAGGAUCAAUCUGCUGCUAGUUAUGGGGAUUGUCAGCAUGUUUGGCUGAGUUGCUAGAUCGUGUGCGUCUUGAAAUGUCAACUGAAAACACCUCCUGACUUGACUCAAUAGUUAAUCUGUUUGCAUUAGAUGGUGAGCGAUCAACAGACCUCAUGAUUCAGCAAGCAAUAUAACUGUUGACAAAAAUGAUUGGAUUUAAGUAAAAUAAUUUAUGCAUAAAUAUAUGCCAAAAACAAUUCGAAUAUUGUAUAUAACUGUAUACAAUGCAUACUACAUAAUACGAAAUGGAGUUACUUAUCUUAAACUACCUUUUCCGGUUAUAUGCCAUAAUAUUAAUGAACCAUGGUUAUAUACAAGCAUAAAUAUUAAUUAACUAUUUCAUAUAAUUGCAACUGGUGCAUGAUAAAAAAUACCUAUUUUCAUUAACUAACUAUACACAAUAUUUAAAUAACUAGUUCAUAUUAAUAUACACAAUUUGAUGAGAUUCAAACAUGGAUAUUUAAAUAACUAGUGCAUAUAUAAUAGUACCUGUGUGCAUAUAUAUAUAAUACAACGGAUGUGUAAAAUAAUAUUUCAGAUAUCGGGAAAAAUACCUAUGUGCAUAACUAUCAUGACCGAUGUUCAUAUAUAGUUGUACCAAUGUGCAUAAAUAGCAUUGCCGAUGUGCAUAUAUUUCAGUACCGAUAUGCAUAUAUAUAUUACUACGGGCAUGUAAAAAAUCUCUGCGAACUCGGGAAGAAAUACCUAAACCAGCGAUGUUGCCGAAGUCUUUGAAGGCCGAGCGAUACCGCGGAUCUAAACGAACUGCAGAGGCUCUUCAAUCGGGGCUCCAGAAUCAAAGAGAUAUGCAAUGAGAGGUUUUUUUGUAAGAUAACGCACCCGAUUGGAGAAAUGUAGAAACGAAUUCAAAUCACACACAACUUUUAACUAAGGGAAAUAUGCAAAACGACUUCAAAUCGACAAAAAUACCUCAAACGGCGACGGAAACCUCGAUGUGUUUCAAGUUGGAGCGAUAACCUGGAACUUCACGGGAAAGCAAUGGCUCUUCAAUAGGGGCUCCAAAGUUCGCAGAUUGAAGGAGCGGAGAUGGAUGGAAGAGGCGGAAGUCGCCUGGCAGUCGCCUCGGCCGCCGGGAUUCAGGGGUUUCCUUCCUGUUCGGCGGAUGCAGAAGCUAAAAACCCCUAUGGACUUGCGUGGGUUUAUCUCGAUUGAUUGUGCGAAGACUGUUUUGGAAACCGGGAAACGGGGGAGACGUGCGUGGGUAACGGAGACAGUGGCUAACGGCGACCGUGACUGUGUAUAUGCUGACCAGGUUUGGUUCAACCAAAAGUGCAUAUUGACUGGCCUGGGCUUUCUCUAUUAUUGGAAGCCCCGUACUCUUUAAUAUAUAUAUAGUUAUAGUAUUUAGAGCCAUGGGCUCUGUAUAACUAUUGGAAGCCCCGACCACGUACCGACCAGGUGCGCAGACCGCACCAGACCCUUUUUGGCUUAUUAUACCUAACUGCUUACGACAAAUUAUAAUACGAGUUAUGUUGAUGUGUGUAAAAAUUUAUGCAAAUAUAUGGGCCAUCACGUAGAUUUUGUCCCGCAUAUUACGUGCAUAGGGCCCACGAUCCGACCCACGCGCUCGCAGUUAUCCAGUCCCACGCCGCCACUAUAAAAACACCCCCACGUCGCCAAGGAUUAGGUUUUAGCGGCGGCGGCGGUUCCCUCGGGCGUGCGAGCGCCGGUGAUAUUGGGGGCCAGUAGCGGUGCCACCCUGAGGCAGGUGACCGACGGCAGUGCUCCACUAGGAACGAGCGACAGCGACGCUCCCGAGGCGGGCGCGCAAGCAGCGACGACGUUCUCGAAGCGGACGUACGGCGGCGGCGCACCCUAGGCCCGAUGGCAGCGGUGUUCGUCCCGUCCGUCUCUGCGAUGGCCACCGCCGCUGCCGCUCUAGCGUCUGUGGCGCCGUCCCCUGCGCCAAAGGCCAACAACAGCAGGAAGGCGGUGGUGCCUGGGAUGACUGGGUACGAGCUGCUCAAGCACGUCAAGGAGUCGGUGGCGCUCAGGGACAUCCUCGUCGUCAUCAUGUCGUCGGAGAACGUGCCCACCCGCAUCACCCGCAGCCUGGAGGAGUUCGACCCGCGCCUCGCCGUAAUUUAGGCCCUAUUUGUCGUUACGAAAUAAAUUGAUGAUGUACGCUAAAAUUUGUACCCAUUUACGCUAUUUUGGUUCACGUUUUACGCUGAAAUUUGACCAAGCCAAAAUCCGUGCACGAUCGAACGUGCGCAAUUUUCACGCCGUAAUUUUUGGGCCCCAUUCGCUGUUACGAAAUAGGUCUAUAAUUUACGUAAAUUUCGUAUUCAUUUACGUUAUUUCGGUUCUCGUUUCAUGAUUAAAUCCACCCGAGCCAGAACCCUAGCACGAUCGGCUGCACGCGAUUUUCACGCCGUAAUUUUGGGCCCCGUUUGUUGUUACAAAACAGAUAUAGGAUUUACGCUAAAUUUCGUAUUCAUUUACGCUGUUUUAGCUCACGUUUUACGCUGGAAUCCGCCCGAGCCAGAACCCGCGCACGAUCGGCUGCACGCGAUUUUCACGCCAUAAUUUUGGGCUCUGUUUGCUGUUACAAAACAGUUAUAGGAUUUACGCUAAAUUUCGUACUCAUUUACGCUGUUUUAGCUCACGUUUUACGCUGGAAUCGGCCCGAGCUAGGACCCGCGCACGAUCUGCUGCACGCGAUUUUCACACCGUAAUUUUAGGCCCCGUUUGCUGUUACAAAACAGAUAUAGGAUUUACGCUAAAUUUCGUACUCAUUUACGUUGUUUUAGCUCACGGUUUACGCUGCAAUCCGCCUGAGCAAGAACCAGAACCACAUACUGCAUGAUUUAUGCUGUCAAGUACACAUCAUUAUGCAGUCGUAAACGCUGUCCACAGUGUCAUAUUCGUUCCACGUGAUUCGGACGUCAAAAGAUUCCUUUAUGCAUGAUUUACACAUCUUUAUAUAUAUAUAUAUCGUAUAUUGCCUUACGCUUAUCGUUCUGGAUUCUUGGCUGUCGACUGCAUGGCUGACGCAAGCACGCGGGUGUUGGGUCGACCGCGUCCUGGCUGGGGCUUCCAUUAGUAGAGGAAGCCCAGGGCUUCCAUUACCUCUUCCCUAUAUAUAUAUAUAUAUAUAUAUAUAUAUAUAUAUAUAUAUAUAUAUAUAUAUAUAUAUAUAUAUAUAUAUAUAUAUAUAUAUAUAUGCAUUCGUAUAUUGCCUUAUGCUUAUCAUCCUGGAUUCUUGGUUGUCGGCUGCAUGGCUGACACAAGCACGUGGGUGCUGGAUCGACCGCGUCCUGGCUGGGGCUUCCAUUAGAAGGGGAAGCCCAGUGCUUUCAUUACCUCUUCCUUAUAUAUAUAUAUAUAUAUAUAUAUAGUAUUUAGAGCCCUGGGCUCUGUAUAACUAUUGGAAGCCCCGACCACCCACCGACCAGGUACGCAGACCGCACUAGACCCUGUUUAGCUUAUUAUACCUAACUGCUUACGACAAAUUAUAAUACGAGUUAUGCUGAUGUGUGUAACAAUUUAUGCAAAUCUAUGGGCCAUCGCGUAGAUUUCGUCCCGCAUAUUACGUGCAUAGGGCCCACGAUCCCACCCACGCGCUCGCAGUUAUCCAGUCCCACGUCGCCACUAUAAAAACACCCUCACGCCGCCAGGGAUUAGGUUUUAGCGGCGGCGGCGGUUCCCUCGGGCGUGCGAGCGCCGGUGAUCCUGGGGGCCAGCAGCGGUGCCGCCCCGAGGCAGGCGACCGACAGCGGCGCUCCACCAGGAACGAGCGACAGCGACGCUCCCGAGGCAGGCGCGCAAGCGGCAACGGCGUUCUCGAAGCGGACGGACGGUGGCAGUGCACCCUAGGCCCGAUGGCAACGGCGUUUGUCCCGACCGUCUCUGCGAUGGCCACCGCCGCUGCCGCUCCAACGUCUGUGGCGCCGUCCCCUGCGCCAAAGGCCAACAACAGCAGGAAGGCGGUGUUGCCUGGGAUGACUGGGUACGAGCUGCUCAAGCGCGUCAAGGAUUCGGCAGCGCUCAGGGACAUCCCCGUCGUCAUCAUGUCGUUGGAGAACAUGCCCACCCGCAUCAUCCCGCUGCCUGGAGGAGUUCGACCCGCGCCUCGCCGUAAUUAGAACAUGCCCACCCGCAUCAUCCCGCUGCCUGGAGGAGUUCGACCCGUGCCUCGCCGUAAUUUAGGCCCUAUUCAUUGUUACGAAAUAAAUUGAUGUUGUACGCUAAAAUUUGUACCCAUUAACGCUGUUUUGGUUCACGUUUUACGCUAAAAUUUGAUCGAGCCAGAAUCCGUGCACGAUUGAACGUGCGCAAUUUUCACGCCGUAAUAUUCGGGGCCCAUUCGCUGUUACGAAAUAGGUCUAUAAUUUACGUAAAUUUUGUAUUCAUUUACGCUAUUUCGGUUCACGUUUUAUGAUUAAAUCCACCCGAGCCAGAACCCUAGCACGAUCGACUGCACGCGAUUUUCACGCCGUAAUUUUGGGCCCCGUUUGCUGUUACAAAACAGAGUAUAGGAUUUACGCUAAAUUUCGUAUUCAUUUACGCUGUUUUAGCUCACGUUUUACGCUGGAAUCCGCUCGAGCCAGAACCCGCGCACGAUCGGCUGCACGCGAUUUUCACACCGUAAUUUUGGGCUCCGUUUGCUGUUACAAAACAGAUAUACAAUUUACGCUAAAUUUCAUACUCAUUUACGCUAUUUUAGCUCACGGUUUACGCUGGAAUCGGCCCGAGCCAGGACCCACGCACGAUCGGCUGCACGCGAUUUUCACGCCGUAAUUUUAGGCCCCAUUUGCUGUUACAAAACAGAUAUAGGAUUUACGCUAAAUUUCGUACUCAUUUAUGUUGUUUUAGCUCACGGUUUACGUUGGAAUCCGCCCGAGGCAGAACCAGAACCACAUACUGCAUGAUUUAUGUUGUCAAGUACAUGUCAUUAUGCAGUCGUAAACGCUGUCCACAGUGUCAUAUUCGUUGCACGUGAUUCGGGCGUAAAAAGAUUCCUUUAUGUAUGGUUUACACAUCUUUAUCCAUAUAUAUAUAUAUAUAUAUAUAUAUAUAUAUAUAUAUAUAUAUAUAUAUAUAUAUAUAUAUGGGUAGGUAUAACGGGAGCCCUGGGCUUCCAAUAGUUAAAGGAAGCCCAGGCCGACCACCCCUACAGACUGGUUCAACCAGCGCGCCCAAACAGGCUGUCGGGUGCGCCACCUGCCCCACGUCUGUUAGCGCAAAAAAAGGAAUGCAUGCAUGAGUCAAACACGAUCCAAUGCAUGCGCAUAAAUUUAGGAAAGAUAUGUGCGGCAGUUUCUGUUUUUAAAAUCUUUUAUUUCCUCCAUAAAUUUAGGAUCGCUGCAACAGCCAUGCAGCUAGACGCGUAAGGACCAUUUUAUGAUAUAUACUGAGACUAAAUAUGCUACACUGUGUUAAUAAUUAUGCAAUUCGAUAUACUGUGUAAAAAUCUGUUACCAGCUGCAUGACACGAAUUUAUGAUAAAAAUAAUGUGCAAUGAAAGGAAAUGAAUUACACGCAUAGAAACAAAAAAUCGUAUUUAAUGUUUUAUUUCCUUCAUAAAUAUAAGAUCCCUCCAACAGCCAUGCAGCUAAAACACAUUAAAUCUAGUUUAUGAUAUAUACUGAUACAAAUUAUACUACAUGGUGUAGGUAUUUAUGCAAUUCGUUACACUGCGUAAAAUAUCUGGCAUGUUGUUCACUGGUGGACGCACCUCCGGGUUGGAGCGUAAUAACAUUAAGUUUUGAGCAUAAAAUCCCUCAAUUAUAAGCGUAUAUACCGAGCCAAUGUGAGAGGUUGAUAGCUCUAGUAGGUUGUUAUUAUGAUCCUAUUUUUAUGGCAGAUCCGAAAAACAUGGCAGUCGCAUGCAUGCGGUUAUACAGAUCCUAAAAUUAUGGCAAAAUGCAUGCAUGAGUCAAUCACGUUCCCUUGCAUGCGCGUAAAUUUAGGAAAGAUAUGUGUGGCGGUUUCUAUUUUAAAUGCUUUAUUUCCUCCAUAAAUUUAGGAUCGCUGAAACAGACAUGCAACUAAAACUCGUAAUGACCAUUUUAUGCUAUAUACUGAUACUAAAUAUGCUACACUGUGUAGAUAAUUAUGCAAUUCGGUAUACUGCGUAAAAAUCUGCUACAGGUUGCAUGCACACGAAUUUAUGAUGGAAAGAAUAUGCAAUGAAAGGAAAUGAAUUGCAUGCAUAGAAACAAAAAAUCACAUUUAAUGUUUUAUUUCCUUCUUAAAUAUAGGAUCCCUCCAACAGCCAUGCAACUAAACGCAUUAGAAAUAGUUUAUGAUGUAUACUGAAACAAAUUAUACUACACGGUGUAGGUAUUUAUGCAAUUCCUUACACUGCGUAAAAAAUCUGGCAUGUUGUUCACUGGUGGACGCAUCUCCGGGUGGAGCGUAAAAACCUUAAGUUUUGAGCAUAAAAUCCCUCAAUUAUAAGCGUAAAUACCGAGUCAAUUAGAGGUUGAUAGCUUUAGUAGGUUGUUAUUACGAUCCUAUUUUUAUGACAGAUACGAAAAACAUGGCAGCCACAUGCAUGCGGUUUCUAUUUUUAUACAGAUCCAAAAAUUAUGGCAAAAUCGUGGGAGUUUUCAUUGCAUGCGCGCAAAUUAAGAACAGCAUAAAUCAAGGAAUUGCCUUUCAAAUGUGCAUGCAGUAAACUGAUAUACGAACUCUGUGUUAAAGCAUAAAAACAUACAGUUUUUAGCGUAAAUAAUACAUGUGGUAGGCAUAAAACACAAUAAACGAAAUGAAAAAUGCGCCGGAUCAUCGCUGCGCGCAUCUCGCCCCUUCCGUGACGUCGCUCGCUCGAACAUCGCGCCUCAUGCGUCGCCGUCGCUACUCGCACGUCGACGGGCGUCGCUUGCUCGCCGGCCUUGGAAGUGCCGCCUCCUCGGGACUUCGGGGACGCCGCCGCUUGCCUGCACAAGGGUCUCGCUGCGGAUCGAGGAACCUCCGCCACCGCGCGUCGAGGUAAUGGAGUUGCGGCCACCGGCCUGGGAAUCGCCGCCACCGCACAAGGGCGCUGCCGCCGCUCGCCCUCUGGAUCGGGGGCCGCCACCGCCGGUCUGGAAACCGCCGCCACCGCAUAAGGGCGUUGCCGCCGCCGCUCGCUUUCUGGAUCGGGGGCCGCCACCGUCGGCCUGGGAACCGCCGCCACCGCCGACCUGGCAACCGUCGAUAAUGAAUCGAGAUGGGGCGUAAAAACUGAUCCCUAGCACUACGGAUUUUCUUUUAUAGACGUCUGGACCUGGUCCGGCUCGACCGGAUUGCACUGUCUGGCCUGGGCUUUGUCUGGCCUGGGCUUCUAAUAACUAAAGGAAGCCCAGGGCUCCUAAUAUACAAUCUAUAUAUAUAUAGAGAGAGAGGAAGCUAUCGCACUCACAAAAUACAGUAGCAGUAGAAAGCUUCGAAAGAUAAAUCAGAAUUGAAGAAAGGGAAAGAAAAAGCAAUCGUGUGAAUCGUCCAGCGCCUGGGAGAUUUCUCUCGAAAUGGGAGCGGGCCCUUCCUAGCUAGAUCUAGAAGCAAUAAUUGUGGACAGCAGUGGAGAUAGCUCGAGAUGUCUCAGGAAUUGGUUGUACUAGCUCAUAUGGAUGGUCUGGUCCUAUAAAUACCCUGCCACGCGCAGGGCUGCAAGCCACCAAGGAAAUUCACAAAGCGAUACUAGCUAGUCCCUACCAAAGCAUACUUCCUGAAACACUCUUGCAAUCCACUGAGUUCUGUUUGUUGAGACGCAUAGAGCUAGAGUCGACAAUGUCGCUCGUGAGGCGCAGCAACGUGUUCGACCCCUUCUCGAUGGAUCUCUGGGACCCCUUCGACACCAUGUUCCGCUCCAUCGUCCCGUCGGCGACCUCCACCAACUCCGAGACUGCCGCCUUCGCCAGCGCCCGCAUCGACUGGAAGGAGACGCCCGAGGCGCACGUGUUCAAGGCCGACCUCCCCGGCGUCAAGAAGGAAGAGGUCAAGGUCGAGGUCGAGGACGG
rnacentral:lncRNA from 1 species